rnacentral:lncRNA from 1 species
UGAAUUUGAUUUUUUAUUGAAUAAUUUGAUAUAUUUCUUGAAUCAAUUUGGAGCUUCUACAACUUGUCAGAGAUCAGUUUCUCCAACAUUCCUUUCCGCGCCAAAAGAUAACCAAGCGGUUGAAUAAGAAUUGAUAUAUACAACAUAAAUACAAGAGUUGUUUUGUCUUUUUACAAUAGGAAUAAUAUAUAAUGCUCGUUAACACUUGCUGAUGAGAAAGUAAAUUCCUCAGAAAUUAAAUGUUUCAGCCAACCAAGGAAGCAGCUUUUCAUGGACCAACUCAGGCCUNNNNNNNNNNNNNNNNNNNNNNNNNNNNNNNNNNNNNNNNNNNNNNNNNNNNNNNNNNNNNNNNNNNNNNNNNNNNNNNNNNNNNNNNNNNNNNNNNNNNNNNNNNNNNNNNNNNNNNNNNNNNNNNNNNNNNNNNNNNNNNNNNNNNNNNNNNNNNNNNNNNNNNNNNNNNNNNNNNNNNNNNNGUGGGCGUGGGUACUAAUCGAAACAAAUGCGUCAAGUGCCCCUUCCUCAUUGGCGGGCUCUCGUAUGAUCUGCAGUUUUGAGGUCGAUUCAUGAAUUAUGAGACGCCAUUUUUGUAACAGGUUAAAAUGGCAUAUAAGUGGAGAAUAUUAAUACCUCAACCAGUGUUUCAUCCACAGAUUCCUUAUUUGCAUAAAUGGACAGUAAAAUAUUCCUCAGUGUUUCCCUGAAGCACCAAUGUAUACACAUCAUAGAUUUUUUUAAUUUUGACUCUAGUGUUUUAGGAUAAUGAACAAUGGACUGAAUUAAGAGAAGAGAAAAUACCUUUGUUUCACACGCUCAAAUAUAGCGGAAGCAAUUGGCCUUUGCUUCAACAAAAAAUCAAUGAACCAAAGCAAUGGUAACAAUAGCUUGAUUCUCCAAUCAUCAACAAUUGCCUUGUUGUUCAUGCCACCAGCACAAUUCAACAGAACAAGCCCUCGAACAAGGGUUUGACUAGAUUCUUAUGGUAGAAAAUAUAGCAGGUUUAUCGUAAACCAUAGAUACCAAAAAGGAUAAUUAGGGACAAGUGUUUCUUUGCAAGCAAGUUGAAGAAUAUCUGAUGUCCAAGGGGAAGUUAAAAUAAAUAUACCUGAGGCAGCGAUAACACAAGCUAGGCUUCCAACAGAAUUACCUAUAAGCACAGUUGGCUUCUCAACAACUUCAUCCAAGAAAUCCAAUAUUAGCUGUAUCAGUGAAUCCCACUCAAGUUAGCAAGGAAAAUAACUAAAGGUCAAGUGAUUGACGACAUAAGUACAGAGAAAGAUCCAACUUCUGGCUAGGGAACAUUGCACACCUGAGCCCAUGCCUCCAUGGUAUAUGAAUAACCAGCUGGCUUAUCUGAAGCACCAAAUCCAAGAAGGUCAAUUGCAUAAACCGUGUAGCUCUUCGCCAGGGUGCCGAUAUUCCUGAAAUUACCUCAGAGAUGACAAGAAAAAUAUCAAUUCCUCACAUUAUUUAAUAGGAUAAAGGAGUAGUGAACACACAAAUUUUCAUUCCCCUCUUCUACGGAGCGGUAAAAUGAAUACUUUUUCACUAGAUUAAGAAUUGGAAAAUGGAAGAAGCCUAUACCCAUAAAAGGGUAAUAUGAAAUGGAACCCUGAAAUUCAGAUCACUGGUUUGUCAUCAUCUAGGUGCAAGGAAUAGAACUAAGUGUUAAUGCCAAUGCACCAUGAAAUAAUGAAUAGACUUUACUUUCAUUAUUCUUUUGCUUCAUUGAUCUUAAUUAAUUAUUAGAAGUAUAACACAUAUAAAUCCAUCCCUGGAGUUCAUAAUACAUAACAGAGUCAGAGAUAUUACAUACAUAAGGUAAAGACAUGCUCCAUACAAAAAAAAAAUAUUACAGUCGAAAAUACCCAGAACAUAAUUUGAAUUGAAUUCACAAUAAAGGAGCUACAUUUUUAUGCACCCAAUAAUCAACCCGCUACACAAUUCACAACAAGAAAGAGCAAUCUUAUCUCGCUAACCUGCGCCAGUGAGGAAUGGAGGCACCAAAGCCAUGGACAAGGAGUAGAGGAGGAGAAUCGGGAUGUGAAUUUGGAGUUGAAGAAACCAAGUAAUUGAUGGAGUACUGACCCUUCCAUUUCCACAUUUUGCAACUCUCCCUUAUCUCAUUAACCUCCAGUUCCAGUGCAGCAGAAGCAGAAUCCCCUCCACUGCUACUGUUAGUAUAACUGAUGGUAACAUUUUGUCUCUUCUUCUCCUUAUUCCUCUGCUGCAACUCCAACUGCAACUGAAACUGCCAAAUCUUAUUGCUCAAUAGGGGCAAGCGCAGGCCUUUUACAUCUCCAUUUCCAUUUCCAAUCCUGAGUGUUGUUAUUGGAAUAAUGAAAGAGGGAGCCCGAGCCCUUACCAUCCACACGCUCAUUCUUUUCUUGCUUUUUCAAUUGAAUAUUUUCUGUGGCCUGGCUUGGCCUGCUCCUCCCCUGCUUCCACCUCUAUGAGACUGUGGCUAUGACAAAAACUUUUUAUGUCCUUAUUUAUUUAUUGGGCUUAUUCCACUAUUUUAUGAAAAUUUUACUGAUAUUCCUCAAAAAUCAAAAUGAUAAUACUUCGUCUAAAAAAUAAUUAUAAAACAUACAUGCUAUGUUUUAAAAUUUUCAAACAAAGAAGAACUUUGUAGAGUUAAUUAACUAGAUUUAUUUUAGUUUACUUUCUUGUGAUUUAAAUUAUUUUAUUAUAUUUAGCUACAAAGAUUAUUUUGUCAUGAGUUUAAAUUGAUUAUUUUGCCCUUAUAAGGUAAAACUAUUAAGAAUUUACUUUAAUUUCAAUAUUUUUCUAAUUUUAUUCCAAACUCAUUGUUUCUAAUACUACUUUACUAGUAUGAGUUUUAAUCUUUAAUUAAACUAAAAUAGUAUCUUUAGGGCACGAUACUCAUGUAAAUUAUUGGGAUGUCAAUUUUAUGUUAUUUACACACUAAAGUAGAGAAAAUCACAAUUAGAUUUUAUUUUAAAAUAUUAUACUAUAAGCCACAAAAUUAGAUACAUAAAUUAUUAGAUACAAUAACUCGUGUUUAUUAUGGUAAUUUAGUCGCUAUAUAUCAUAAUAAUAAAAUACUAAAAUAAAACUUGUAUUAAAGUUUAUGAUUAAAUAUGGUCAAAGAACCCAAGAAGAAAAUCAAUAGAAGGAUCUAAUUUAUUAACUAUACGAAAUUUUUAUUAAUUUGUAUUUUUUAAAAAAUAUUGUGAAUUCAUUGCAAUUAAUAUCUAGAAAUAGGGUUGAUUUAUAAAAAUAGUGGGGUGUAAAAAACCUUAUCCAAAUACUCCAUAAAAAGUGAAAAUUAUCACCUUUUUCGAUGUACUCCUCUUGAAUUUUUUAUUCCUAAGGAUAAACUUCAAUUCAUUCCCAAAUAAAAUGAUAAUCUCUAAUUUGCUUUCAAUGAAACCUCAAUUUAUUCUUUAUUUUCAUACAAAAGAUGAGGGGCAAAUAAGGAAUGUAUUGAUGGAUUUUCUUUUUUUUAAUCUUCUUAACAAUAAAUGGGGUAAAUUGAUAUUUUUAUACUUUUAGGUGAUAAAUUAAAGAUUUUCAUUCUAAAUUGGGGGCAAAUUAAAAUCUAUCUUAUUUCUAAAGGCACCAUGUGACUAUUUUGCCUAACCGAGAGAGCCAUUAUUCAAACACCAAUCUCUUUUUUUUUUUUAACAAACACACUUUCAUUUAUUCUUUAAGCUUUUUUUUUCCCAAAAAAUGAUGAAUAGAUAUUGAAAAUUUUGUUUUCAUUUUUUUAUUGAAAAAAUGAAAAACAACAAAGAUUACUGCUUCCUUGUCCAUACUUUUUCGUCCUAUAUUACCUUAAUUUUAAUCGUUUUCUCUAUUAGACACUAUUAGACACAUUUUUAAAUUCAAAAACACAAAGCAUAGUGCAUCAUUUUCAUUAUAGGCAUUAACACCUGACGUACACAUUCUCCAAAUGGGAUUAAUGGAAAAAAAUAAAUAAAAAAAGGUGACUCCUUCGGCCAAUCUUAUAGGUUCUAACGUUUUGAAGGUAAGUUUUAUCUUGUAACAUUCCCACAAAAUUUAAAAUCAACUGGGACGAAAAUUUUGAAAAUACUAUGAUUAGCACAAGCAUUUCAACAAUACAGGAUGUAAUAAAAGCUCAUUGAGUUGAAACUUGAAAGCAAAAUUAGGGCAAGGUCAUUUCUUUAAAAGAAUAAGGCAAGAUGCACCACAUGAAAUACCUGUGACCAAGCCUCAAAAGAUUCACCAAGCCCAGUAUUUUGCUUGCCCACGGCAUAAUUACACUUGGCUUCCCAAACAAAUAAUUGCUGGAGCUCGGACAAUGCAAGGAUUCAAUUUAACUUCAUAAAUAUCAGCCGGAGCAUAAUUACACUUGGCUCCCUAACAAAUAAUGCUGGAGCUCGGACAAUACGAGUAUUCAAUUUAACCGUACAUAGAUGUGCGGGGUUUUGGUGGUAAGUAAAAAGACGUGCCACUAUCAGUUGAGGAGUGCAUAAGAGGAUUACAUCUAUCAAAUACUAUCCGCCCCCCUCGGCCAAUUCUUCCAUGAAAUUUGUGAGUUCGUGCUAUAGUGCCAUUCCUCGUAGAAGAAUCUGACGGCGGAACAAUACCUGCAGCGUCCAAUUUUUCUGGCACAAGGGGUUUUGUGAACAACAAAACUGGCUCGAGAGGAUCCUGAAACCCCACAGUUACAUUUUCAAAAUGAUGCACUGCUGAUAUUCAGAAAUAAAACAAGGAUAAAACAUUUUCUAAAGUUUACUUAAAUCAUUUUUCUUUCCAACCACAGAUAGGUCAAUAAGUCAAAUACUGGAGCUGACAGAGCGCUGGCAGAAUUAACUACAAACCCACCAGAUUUAUCGUGUUAAUCGAUUGUUUUCAAUUAACACGGUAACCCGGCUCGGGUGUUACCUCUGUUUCUGUCAGUGCUCUGUUGAAUAUUUCUGUUUCAAAAUCAGCAUUCAUAUAUGUAAGUAGUAUGGCAACAGCAAAAUAUCAUGUGUAAUAAUUAGGCUACUAGUUCUGGGUCCAGGAAUAGAGAUAAUCAGAUUAGGAGCAAAAGCUGUAUGUACCAAUUUAUGUAGCCAUGCAUGUGGCACAUGUCGCCGCCUGAACUCUUGCUUCAUGCUUGCUGUAGGAACUGGAACUAGGUUGGAUUCUGUGAAAGGCUGAUUCUCAAUUGCAGUAGAUUGCGAAUGUGGAUGGCUAGGCGCAAGAUCAUCUGAGUCCAUAAAUUCAUCCUCACUUAAACCGAACUUGCAAGAGACAGAUGGAAAUCCAGGAAGUGCCACAUCUUCAAGGAGCUCAAUUUCAUGCUGAUAAUUCAAAGGAGUCGGGCACAAUGUGAGCAGAAAUCAAUAGAUUGUACAUGCACCAUGGUCCAAAUGCAGAGACCAUUUGAAGUUCGGGCCAUGUAGGAAUUAAAUUUUAAUAUGCAAAAAUAAAUAAAUGAAAUUAAAAAAAAAAACAAAAGUUCUUGCAUAAUAUUCUUGGAAACUUCAUUGAGAUAUCAUUUUGCCCUUAGAAUAAGAAGGCCAUGGGCAAUCUGCCCCCAGCACAUUCACCAUAAAGAUCCAGUCUUUUUCAUCGUGACUAAUUGUUAAAAUCUCUUCCAUCCGUUAUUGUUAGCACAAGACAGUUAUUGCACAAGUUCCUAAAACUUCCUAAGAUAGAAGGCUAUUGACAACAUUUCCAACAGCGAUGCAAGAUGAUGCAAUGUAACAUCAUAGCAUACCUUGAAUUUCAUUUGGAUCCUUUGUAGGUUAACUUCCCCCUCCAUGACCUCUCUCUUUUUUUCUUCUCUCUGCAGACAUGACAUUCUAAGGUAAUCAGAACUCCACAUUCUGAAAUCUGAAGCAAUGAAAACGCCAAAUAAUUACAGAAAUUGGUAUUACCGGAAAAAUAAAAGAUCAGUGAACAUUUAUUUUGCUAUUUCAGUUAAAAAGAACACCUUUAUCAAGGCCUCAAGUAUACUCUUUGCUUGGUCAAGGUUGCGUCUGACCUGAGAAGAGUAAAUCCAAAAGAGAAUAUUUCAAUUUUUAAUGAGAAUUAUGAAAAGAUAGUGUACAUAAAAUUUGAACCCCCCCCCCCCCCCCAACCCCCCCAAACAAAAAGAAAAAAAGGUGUUACCAGCAUGUAAAGGUAGACCUUUGGAAAAUAAGAACAUAUUUUUGUUUCUUCAGCAUCAUCACAACAAUAAUUCACCACAAAAAUGAAGGACAAUCUUGUUAUCAAAAGCACCGGAAGACCAGGAAAUAAGCAAAGUAAAUUUCAGCUAAGGAAACUGCAGACAAUAUAUAGUCAUUGUCUUCACACUAUUGUUCGGGCCCUUACAUAUUAACUUAGUGGCAAAUUUAUUUGACAUCAGAGCUAGUUUAAACCAUGAGGCCUUGUGUCCGGCUUCUCCCACGAGAUUACAUCAGUAUCUAAUUCUUCUUCCCGUCUGUAUUUGGGUGAUUGCGCAUUAUUGCAAUUGUCUCUAUUUCUAUGUUCUGUCUCUGCUUAGCCUUGAUCCAUAUGACAGGUACUUUUGCUAGUAGUCACACAUUUGAGGGCCUGUUAGAGAUUUUAAUACUAUUGUUUGGGCUCUAACCUACUAGCUUAAGGUUUUAAAUCAAGCUAUAAAUAAAUAUUCAUAAAUAAAAUUGGAGAUUAAGGACUAUUACAGCAAAAAGGACAUAAAUAAAACAACAUUAAUUUUUAACAAGUUAAAGUCUUGAAUAAAAAAGAACUUGGUGGCAAGAUUAUCCAUUAUCUCAAUUUUCUUCCAGUCUUUCAUUAGAAUGCAAUAAGACAAGCGUUUACACAGAAAAAAGUCAUAGGCUCCUCCAAGGGAAUACAAUGUAUCAAGCUUGGGAAAAUGACUUCAUACAAAUGAAUUGAGUAUAUUGUUUUAAGUUACACAAAGUCCAUAGCGAGGAAUCAGGAUUGACAUUAAAAUAAAGAUAUAGUGCUUACCUGGCGAAGCUUUUCAAAUGAUUGCACGUUAUUCUCCCUCCUUUGCAUCUGAUCAAAAGAUUGGCCAGCGUUAGCAUAUUUGCCAAUUCAGUAGCUUACUUAAGGUCUACAAAAUAUGGGAAAUAUUACUUCCCUGCAUCCCCAUAACCCCCUUCUUUUUUGCGCCCCCCACCCCCUUUUUUCUCCUUUCGAAAAUAAAAGUUUCCAAAAUUACAUACAAACACAGCUAUCUCAGCCACAUACCCUUCGUGUGUGGAGUCUGUGAGCUUUCUCCCUCGGUCUGAAGACAUUAUAUGGGUUGGUAUCAUUAACUGGUGGCGGAGGCUGUACAAGUAGUAUUAAUUAUUAAAAAAAAAAAAAAACUGUCAUUGUCCACUCCAGAAUGCAAAACAAAAACAAAUUAUAUUAGAGAGAUACAUGCACAGAAAACACACACAAACUCAAAGGUACAAAAAGCUGAUUCUACAAUCACCAGCCCGCCCAAAACAAUAUUUGCAAGUACAAUAUUCAAGUUCUUUUAUUUUCAAUGGUUUUGAGGUAACAUUGUAAUGGCUGGUUCAGACCUAUAUAGGGGUGGAUAGGCAUGCUUUGUACAGAAUGGUCCUUAUCUGUUUUUGAAAAAUUAUGUAGAUUUUGUAUCCCUCCCUUUGGCAUUUACCACUUUGGAGGACAGCUGACCUACAUUUCUGAUGUACAAUCCUUCAUCUAAAUCAUCUCUAAAACAUUCUGGCUUUUUACAGGGGGGAAAAAUUCUAAAAAAGAUACAACUUUACACACUGAUAAUGAAAUUUACUAUUUUGAUAAAUGAAAACGAUGGAAAAGAAAUUUGAUGACACCGCAUGUGUCAAACUGCCAAGCAGUGAUCAACAUAAGCACUCUCCAUACAUAACUAAUUGAUAACACUAACCUGCAAACGCCGCAAUAUAGGUUUCUGCCAUCGUUCACGCUGGCCUCAAACAUGAAAUAGCACAAGUGAAAAGCACGUACAAGUACUCACAGUACAGAAAAAACUACUUAACUUGGUUUGCACCAAUAUUUAUGAAUUGAUACAUCAAGUUCAAUGAAACAUUUAAAAUUUUAAACCAUACCUUUUCUUUCCAAUAGUGAUAAACAGACUGGAAGACUGCAUAUCCAACAGUGGUCUGAUCUUUUAAGGCCUGACAUCAAAAAGGGGAUAGGGAAUAGCAAUUGUCACAACUUCUUGAAUCCUUAAUAAAUCAAUCAACAAAGCUACAUAGUGAAAAUAAAACAAAAUGCAGAGACAACCAAAUAUUUUAAACAUGACUCUUUUUCUUUUUCUAGCACUAAAAACUAACAGUUCUAGGCUUAAACGAUAAAUUUUAAAAUGUCAUGCAAAGGAAGGCGUAUACCCACUAAAUCGUAUGAAUCACUAAACAGACAGUAAAAUCACCAGAGACAGACAUUAGUAUUGACUCUUAAGCCAUCUGCAUUCGCAGGUGAUUGAAAAAAGACUAAAUUGCAUGAGUCCAUACAAUUUCACAAACAGCAAAUAGUUAGCAAAUGAUCUGGACAAAUUAGUUUCAUAUAACUAACUAUGUCUUUGGUUAAUCCACAGACACAAAACAACCUUUAAAAUGGAAAUACACAAAAAGUAACUGAGUAGGCUGCUGUGUGACACAACAAAAGAAACAGUUGUGGAAUGUCUAUUGUUAAGUGUCAAAUAGCAGAAGCAAGAAAGGCACUAAUUUACUAAAAGUUCCACAGCCAAGGUCCUUAAUCCUUACCUGCUAGUUCUCAGAAUCUGUAGAGGUCACGGUCUGUUUCAUUACAGUGCGCAGAAAGUAUCUUAUAGUUUUUGUUGUUCUUGUUUAGUGCCUAAUACUCCUAUGAGGUUUGAAUAUUAAUAUAUAUAACUUCCUAUUUCUUAACAAAAAGGCAGGUCAAUCUAAUUGAAUCCAUCUCUUUUGACAGAGACAAGUUUCUGAUCACAGGUAACUCAAGUAACUGGAAUUUAGGAACAAACAAUUUCAUAUGAUAUAGCUAGUCAAGGAACAAUGUGAGGUUGAGCCAUAACCAGCACUGAAAUUAGAGAGCAUUCAAACAGUCAAAACAAAGUAUCACCUCAAUAGCAACACCUAGUUGCAGUAGUAUGGGAAUGGGCGAACCAAGAGUGGGUGUUAUAAGUCCUGCUCUUUCCCGAGCUUUAUGAUCCAACACCUCCAACUUAAACAUAAGAGUCUCAAAUCUGUGGUUCAUGCAUGUAAUCGAAUGAAUGAAUUGGAGAUGAAUAAGAUUUACUGUAUCAUCUUUUAACCCAAAUUAAAUUACAUAAGUUGAAAUUGCAUCCACAUAAAAAUCAUUAGAAAAAAAUUAUAUUAGAUAGAUAUGGUGAACUACUUUUCAGGGGGAAGAAGUUUUUGAUCUCUAUUGAAUUCGUCAAGCCAAUCCUCGUCUUCAUUGUCUAAGUCAUACUCAACAAAAUCCCCAAGCUCAGCCCGAGCUGCCAAUGCCAAUAAUUGAAAUUUGACAAGCAAAGUUAAGUUAAACAAACGUUAUAAUUAUCAAAAUAAUCUGGAUAGAAAAUUUUACAUCAACAACAACAGACCUCCUCUCGCACGUAAAUAGGAAGUUGGCUGAUCAAAUGUCUGAGAAUAGUCCCGUUCAUACGUGUCAACAACCACAAACUGAGGUGUGGGUAUUUCAGAAGCUGACUUCUUGCUAGGGACUUGAUGCACCUGAUGUAUAUACAGUAAGUUCACGGUGAAAUCAACAAAAUGAAACAGUUUUAAGUAUUUUGUAAAUGCUGAAACGUACCUCUUGACUGUCAUGGUCAAACGAAGAGGAAUUGAGACGGAGGAGGUGUGAGUUGCGUGUGGUGGUUGCAGAGGGAGUAGUAUUAGCGGCAGUAGAACUAGUAGGAGGAUUCGUGUCAUUGUUGUCGUCUUCAAAGUCCUUAAAUGACUUAACUAUGGGCAGUUUCUUGUGUAUGUCUAGCGGCCGUGGCCGAAUUGAUAGCCUACUCAUUUCCCUUUACUACUUGAUCUCAUUCAAAUACAAUCCUAAAACAUGCAUUAAAACCACAAAAUGAUGAUUACGACAAUGACAACAACAUUAAUAAUAGCCCAUUUAUAAUUGAAAAGAAAAGAAUAGCAGCACAAAUUAAAUUAUACAACAAAAGUUUUGUAUAUUGAGGUUAGGACAAGAUCUCUGAUAUUAAAGUUAUCUGGCGUUUCUGUUUUCUUUUUCUGUUGGUCUAUUGGCGAUGCUGAUUCUUUGAACCAGAACCAUGCUUUACAGGUUUUCAAUGGACCACAAAUGACCUAGAUAAUCUUAUAUAAAAGAAAAAUAUAAAACAAUUCCACCUCUAAACCUAAAUCUACUUUGUAAUCAUAUCAAUUCACAUCAAUAUAAGCUGGAAAAAAGAAUCAGAACAAGCAAUGAGCACAAAGAUCAAAGACUAAAGCUUCUGCCCUAGUAAUAUUAUAAUAUAGAACAAACUAACCGAAGUAUAUCGAAAAGAAGAUCAAAACAGAAGAAAGGAAAAUAAAAAGUAAAAAAACAAUAUUACUUCUGCGAUGAAGAGCCGUUUCAAAUCACACUUACAGAGCAUAAAUUAACAUGCAUUAACAUAGAGAAAUUAGCAGCUGAAAGGGGAAAAAGAAAAAUCAUCUUUAUCGCAAUAUAAAUCUCGGGUCAAGGGCCAUCGACCCGGCAGUGCUUCGUUGGUCCAUUUAUUUUGGAUCCUUGUGCGAUAUUUCACUUCAUUCGCAGAAAACCCGUUUUCGAAAAUGCGAAGAAGAAGCUUUGAAAGAAAGCUUAAGAUACUCACCUUACAGCGUAAUCCAAGGGCUUUGAGCCAGUAUCAGUGAAGCGAAAAAAGACACCAAAUGUUAGCUCUAUUUACUGGAUUGUAGGGUUUCUCCCGCGAGAAUAGCUCAGUGAAUCGCCCAUUCGUUUACCCUGGCAUAUCUUUUUUGAGAAAAAAAAAAAAAUUGUUUACCCUGGUAUUAAAAUGUUUUAACGGUCAGCACUCAGCAGGACGGCUUUAGAGUUUUUGGGUGCUGACCGCUUUAGAGUUUUGGGGACCUUAUUGGGUUUUAUGAGAUGUUUUUUAUUCUUCAACUUUAAUACCUAAAAGAAAACUAAAAUUUGUCAAAGUCUGUUUAAUAUUUAGUUAUUAAAUUUUAACAUAAUUAAGAAAAUCUUUAAAAAAUUUUAAAAACAAAACCUAAAAAACUGUGAAGAAGAUAUUAUUUUACGUCUAUUAUAAUUAUUAUAAAAAUAAAUAAAUAAGAAAAAUAUUAUUUUAAAAUAUAAUAUCUAGAGUUGUAACACAUAAAAAGUUAAAGAAGAUGAAUUGAUGAUCAGAUAAUGGAUAUGUACAUUAUAUUUCAAGAGACUAAUUUUUUUUAAAAUGACCUAAUUAAUGUAAUAAUUUUCUUUGUAUUGAUUUUUGAGAUUACAAGAUUUUUAAUUGAAAAUAAAAAGGAAUACUAAAAGUCUAAGAUUCUAAUGUUAAAUAAUUAAGAUUUCUUAGAAAAUUGAAAAUUUAAAGAAUUUAUAUUUUUUCCUUGGAAAAACUAAUAGUGAAUGAAUAAAAGAUUAGACAGUAUUAUUAAUUAUAUUUAUGUAACACUAAGAUUAACAAAUAUGGAUAGGCUUUUUCACAAUACAUAAUUUAAAAAAAAAAUUCAUUAAUUAGAGAAUUAUUAAGGCCUUUUUAAAAUAUAGAGUCUUAGGCGAUUGUCUUAUUUGCUUAUACUUAAAGCCACCAAACUUGGUUGAUGGACUUGUUUGAUACAUUUGAAAAAAAAAAAGAAAAGAAACUUCUAGUUUAUUUGAUAAAGUAUCAAAUAUCGAUGACAAAAUUAUAUGUUCACGGUGAUCUAAGUAGUAGUUCAAAAUAGCAAAAUCCAAAUCCGGAUUCGGAUGUAAGUGCGUCCAAUCUGGAUCCAAAUUUAUAUUUUAAAAUCCACAUCCGCAUCUAGAUCCACAAAAAAACAUGCAAAUCUAGAUGUGGAUAAUAGUCUUGUAGAUUAUGGAUGGAUUUUCAAGAUAUCUAGAUCUGCAUUAUGUAUUCAAAUAUAAUUUAAAAUUCAACAAAUUUAUCUACGAAAAUCAAAUAAAAUCGAAUCAUAUUUCAACAAUCAAUAAUUCAACUCCUAUAAUAACAUACAAUACCACCAUAAUUCCACAAAUAAAAAUACCGCAAGAUAAAUCAAAUAUAAAAAAUGAUAUAAAUCCAAGCUUAGCACCACCACAAAUAAAUAAAAACAACACAAAUCCACAUAGAUUACAUUUUAAACCAUCGCAAAUAAAAACAUCACCAUAAAUCCACAUAGGUCUGAUUUUCUUCAUUUAACUUAUAAAAUUUUUUAAUUUAAUUUUAAUUUAAUAUUUAAUUAAAAAAUAAUACAAAUCUUGACAUCUGAUUUUUCGAAUGCAAGUGAUCUGAAUCCGCAUGGAUUUUGAAUUUUAACAUGUAGAUCCGCAUUUUUUAUUGUACCGAUCCAAAUUUUUCCAAAUUUGAAUUUUGCAAAUCUUUGCAGAUCUAGACUGAACCCAAAUCCUUUUGCCAUCUGCAAUAGUGAAGGCAUAAAGAUUUGUGGCAAAGACAGCCAAUCGGCACAUCAAUCAGUUUCCUCAUCAACCAUUUCACUGUCUGUCUUAUUGUCCUGUCCUUUAAUGUUGAUGCCGUUUUUGCUCUUAUUCUGUUCUUCAAAUUUUCUUCUUUCACUUCCAUAACUAAAGGGAGAAAAUUUUUAGGAAAAAAAAAACAAGACCGAGAGCCAGACAUGGAGCUCACGGCAGCCGUGCCGUCCGUGGCUAACCUUGGAUCUCGUGCUAGUAUUGUUCACAACCACGUGUGUACCUCAGACUCGCAGCUCUGAGUGGAUCAGUGCAACAUAAUACUAACGUAAUUGGCUGUCAAGAUUUGUAAACACCGAGACAGUUAUGAGGUAUCUCUUCAUACUUCAUGCAGUGACCUUGUAGUAAUCUCAAAAAGUGAUAUAAGAAACCAAAUUCGGCCAGCACAUAAGGACAGCUGAGUGGAUCAGUACAACAUAAUACUUCUAACAGAUGCAAAAUUUAUCACAUUAACAUUAUUAGAUUGAUGUGAAAUAGAAUAAUAUAAAAUAAACAAAGCAGACUAAUUCCACAUUAAUCAAUCCCAGUGAUCUAGAGUUGUCAGUUGUGUGCCAUCUUCACGUCGACCAAUGUAGUAGAACCAAGCCAAGCAAAUUAGGAUGUCAGUGAGAAUAAGACCAACCACAUCAAAAACAAACUUUGGAGCAAAUAAGCCCCAUACCUGCAAGAAAAGGAUGAUGAAUGGUUGUCAAAAAGUCACCAAAAUUAUGAAGUUCGAAAAUCUACGUGACCAUGAAAGAAAUUCAUUACCAUUAGAUGCCGUCUUUGUAUGAUGACACAAAUGAUGGUGGCUAUGACUGAGGCGGCAGUAAUAAGUCCAUACAUCAAAUACAUCUAAACCAUCAUUUGUAAAAAGAAUGGAAAAAAAGAAAAAAAAAACUCAAUAAGCCUUGCUGCCAAUUAGACAAGUCAAGCACAGGAUAAUCCAACAUAGAUGGCCAUAAUACCAAAGAAGAGCAAAAAAUGAUACAUUUAUGACACAACAUUCGGCUGAUAACCUUACUUGAGACAACUGCAAGUGAAGGAGUCUUCUAUCCUGGUCAGUACGACCCAGCAAUUUUUGGCGUGCAACUAGAAAUGGAAGUCCAAAGACUGGAAUGAUGUGAGAAAACCCAAAGGUAUCAAUUGUAAGAAGGAUUGCUUGUCUAACGAGGACGAACUCAUCAUACCUGAAAGUACGUGCCCUCCCAAAAUUAUUAUCUACAGAACCAUGGAAAUGAGCCCCAAAAUGGGAACAGCAAUAAUGAUGGUGAAAUCAUCAGAAAGAUAAAAUUUAACACAUCAUUCACAUUUGCUACUUUUCCAUUGAGAUUUAAUAUUGGGCCAGCUAGUUCACCUAUUUAUGAUGCAAAAGAUGCAAAUAUCCAAGACUCACCCAAUAAACGCAGCACCAUACCGGAGUCCAUCGAAAGCACACCUGAAGAGAAAGUUGUUACAGGUUAUGGAUCAUACAAACACAUAGAUGACUUGAGCUUUCCUGAACCAAUUACGAUAUUAUAAGAUCUCCUUGUACUAGAAUAAUAAAGCUAUUGAGAAAUAGGAUAAACCGGUUAUAUAAGUUUGUUGGAGCUAAGUUCUGAAACCAAACAAAGAGUAGAAGAGAUAAAUCCAUUAGUAUUAAUAGACCUAAAAUAACAAGCAUUUACUAGUGUCCGGUGACGAAGAAGAGACAAUUACAAUAUAAUAAGAUCUCCUUGUACUAGAAUAAUAAAGCUAUUGAGAAAUAGGAUAAACCGGUUAUCUAAGUUGGUUGGAGCUAAGUUCUGAAACCAAACAGAGUAGAAGAGAUAAAUCCAUUAUUAAUAGACUUAAAAUAACAAGCAUUUACCAGUGUCCGGUGACGAAGAAGAGACAAGUGGCUAACAGACUCCAUUGUGUCACAGAAAGAGGGUCAAAAGUUAGGAUUCCAGCCACUUUAUCAGUAGAACCCCGUUCUAUGUUUCCCAAUCUCAUAAUACAAUAACCUGUCGAGGGAAACAUGAUCAAAUCCUUUUGGAAAAAGUGCAAAACAGUGAUGCUCGUGAAAUCUAUAAAGGAAAAUGAACAUUCUUUAACCUGAUUAAGAAAACAUAAAAUCGAAGGCAAGAGCUAAAGGAGCACAGAAGAGUGGAAGACAAUGUCUCGUAAAGAUGUGAUAAAUAUCAAGUUAAAAGCACCAAUACAUAGAGAUAGCAAAAGUCACCUCCAGUUAUGGUUACUAAAGCAACCAAGGGCCCUUGCUUUCCGGAUAGAACAAUGAUUGUAGAACUGCAGGAAGAUAACAUGGCCAGUGUCUUAAUAAGCAAAUGCAUUUUGCUUUCUAGAUCUCUGUCCUUAUGAAAAAGAGGACUAAAUGCCAGCAAUAAAAGUUGUCCAAGUCCAAUAGCAUAUAUUAUCCUUGGGAUACAAUUUCUUCCAAUCCCUUGAAGCAUCAGCAUUGAACUCAAUACAUCACUUUCUGAUGCCCAAUGUACAGCUAUGAGGAUAUAACAUAAUAUAGUACCCAAUACAACAUACUUCCAGAUGCUGCGACAAGAACUCCUAGCCAUUAUAAUAUACAGCAAGUAAGCCAAAAAAAUGAGAGCUAAAAUUGGUAUAAUUUCAGCCAUGUAUGUCCACACAGGAUGGCCUGGGUCAAUUUCAACCAGCCAUGAAGAAUGGGUACUCAUAAAUAGAGAAGUCGCAGCCUGCUUUGACAACCCAACUUCAAUGGUAAAUCGUAGAAUGGUAAUCAACAAAAGAAAGAUGAUAGCCUGCAAAUAUAUAACUCAACAUCACAAUAACUUUCAAUGGAUUAUCUCAUUAAACCCCAAAAUCAAUACAUAUAUCAAGAAAUUAAAACUAAGUUUGUUUGUAACUUAUUAAAAGCAAGUACAAAGCUUACUGAUACCUACUUCCAUUAGCAUUUUCUCUCUCUUGACUGAAUUACGUAAUUUGAACAUGGCAGUUGUGGCUAACAGAAAACUUGCCACUUUCCCUUCUUCCACUGAACUCAAAGUUUAAAAUAAUACAUAUUAAAGGAAAAAGAAUCAGUCGUCAGAAUAGAAGGUGCAAUCAUGGAACCAGAAGUCAGACAACUUACAAAUAUAACUAUUUGACAGGAAGCUGCAUGCACGGAUCACCACCAUAAACAAAGCAAAAACUAACUUCACAAAUAUCUCAGAAUCUCCAAACAAAAGAGAAAAGCCGUUUACACUUUUAGUCAUCAUAGCAAGGAAAUAGAUUGGUAAUGAGAUCAAAAUAAUCGCAAAACCAAUUCCCAUCAUCUUCAAGUCAAACUCAGUCCAUUUUGAUCGUGCCAGCUCAGCAACAUUCAGUAGGAAUUUAAAAUAAGCAUCAAUUUUCCUUUUAAGAGGUAAGGAUGAAUAACAGCUCUCAUCUUUAAAUGACAACAAAUUCUCAGAGCUACAAGACCAAUUCUCCUCUGCUUGAGCAUACAUAUCUGAUAUGUGUAACAAGUCUUCAGAGGAAAAACCAAUGACAGAUGAAGCUGAAUAGACAUCAAUGUAUCUUUUCACCUACAUUAGCAAUGCAUAACUGGUGAGAAAGAAGAAAAGAACCAAAAAAUAAAUCAAAUCAAAAGCUGCUGUCUGCUAAUAAUACAAAACCUCAAGGACGCCUAAAAUCACCUGCCAAGAAUUGAUGCAGAGUACAUUGCAAUAGUUCUGCAUCCAUUCUUCCUCUUUUUGAUUUGGGCAAUUUCCCUCGAUGUUGUUCUCCAGAUUCCAUGUACCAGCACCCAAAGCAUAUAGCUCAGGGCUGACACGCCCAAUACUGAAAAGAAGAUAACCUUAAAAGAAUAUCAUUUCUGAUAUAAAAAAUAAAAAAUAAAAUUAAGAACGAACAUGAAAGCAAAUUAAUGACACAUCGGGAUAGCAACAAGCUAAAUAACUACUAUGUUUAUGUUUUCUCUCUUACCAGAGGAAAAAUCAACACAUAUCUUAAGAAAAUGGAAGUUAAAAUAAAAAAUCUACGUUUUAUUAUUAUAUUUUGAUACCCAGGAAUCCCUCAACAUUUGUAUGUUCACUGAGUUUAAGUUGGGCAUUACUGCUAGAAAUACCUACAUAAAGGGUAGGUGCUAUUGUUCAUAAGCUCACUCAAGAUAACGAAAUUAUAUUGAACUUCAUGAUGAAAAACAGAUCAAGUGCACUCUGUGGGCAUGUUGUUGACAGAAAUCUUAGGGCUACAAGCAACAGUUUUGUACCAACAUCACUAGCCUGGCCAAAACAAAUUAUGGCGGACUUUAAAGGAAAAUUAAGUCAAGAUGUCAGGUCGUUAUAAAUUUUUGUAGUAGUUAAUAAAAAAUAAUGACUACAAUAACAGUAAUGGGAUGCUUACACGGCACCUUCCAAAAGGAAAGGGGACGCCAAGCAAGGCUGACACUGUUGCUGCAAAAUCAAGCUGUAGCAGAUUUUACUCAAUACAUCGUUUUAAGAAGGGAAAAAAAAAAAAACAAUUCCAAUUAGGUGACGAGAGAAACCCAAAUGAGCCACCCCAGGAAAUAUAAAAUAAAAUAAAACAACUAUUCUAACCUGUUGGAAGGAGCUGAUGCAUGUCUUUUUCUGAUCCUGAAAUUGGAUGAUGAAAAAUGAAAUUGAUGUAAACAAUUAGCAUCCUAAAGGGGUCUCUAAGACAAAAAUGAUGCUAGCAAAUAUGUAGUCAUCAGAAAGCAGAGAGAAUACCAAAUCUAUUUCACAAGAUGAAGAAUCGAAUUCAGAUGGCAUGGUGGAUGGAGGUUUUUUAAAACUCAUGGCAAAAACAGAUGUUUCAACCUGCAACAUGCAAGUCAAGUUAGCAUGACUGAGGAAUUAGAUAAUUAACUCAAUUUCCCAUUCUACAAACAAGAUUGACAUUACACCUCUUCGGCACUUCCUCCACCAUGAUCACCAUUAAUAGUUUGCCCAUGGUCACCCAUCACAAGAAGGAAAGUAUUCUCGUGCAAACCACCCGGUCCAGACUGGUUAUCCAGCACUUCAAUUACUUUCUGAACAAAAAUAAAAGUUGGUCCAAAAACAUAAACAGAAAAUGUAACAAGAGAUAUAAACUCAAAAUAAAUUCCUAUGCAACAAGAAAGGAAACAGAAAAGGUGAACGGAUAUGUCAUUUUAUGUGCCUAAAGAAAAUGUUUUCAAUAAAUCCCUUAUCAUGGAGAAACCAACAGAAAAUUAUUCAUUAAUAAUGAAAAAGACCAACCACUUCUUUAGGCAACAGGUGUUGCACCUCAAGAACCAUUGAUCAAUUUACCAACAAACAUAGACGAAAAUUUCCUGGAAGGAAAAUGCAAGUUCAAGACUAUUUUAAGUGUAACCAAAAAGAAAAUGUAUGUCGCCAACAAACUCACAUCUAAAAUUUCAUUGUACUGCUCCAACUUUUCUAUCAUUGGAACAGAAUCUACACCAAGAAUAUGUCCAGCAUGAUCCUGAACCAAGUAGAACAUAAAAAUUAGUUUAUCUAAAAGAGCCUGCAGAAUUACACAACGGUAAAUUGUGUGAAUGUAAAACCUUGGUAACUUGAUGCAUGUUGUCAAAAAUAUAGAAGAGGAAUAAACUCAUAAUUUGUUGAGAGAAAUAGACAAUUAGGAGAAUGAGAAAAAGGGCAGAAAAAAAAAAACAGUAUUUGACCAUAUUUGCUUCAAAUAAGAACAACCUAGAUCUAUACUAUUCUUUUGGAUACCAACUCCCCAAUUCCUUUUCAAUGCCUUUGAUAACGAUAAAUUCCUUAACCCAAUUCUUCAAUCCAAAAUUCUAUACAAUAAAAAAUUACUCUCAAUACAAUGGAGAAAAGGUUGCAAAAAAACUAAAUAAGAGCUAUUUAUUCAGGUCCUUGAAUCUUCAUCUGUAGAAAUGCUUCCCUGGAAUUUUACGGUGUAUAAUUUUUAUGGGCAUAGCUUGUGUCAAUAAGCUUCAAAAUGUUCCAGGUUUAUACCUAAAAGUGACCAAAUAUGUUUUACAGAGAAAGCGUGUUUACCACACCAAGAAAAUGAGCUAUAAGAACAUCCCAAUCUUCUUCGUACAAAGAUGGAAGUAGAUGCUCAAUGCAUCCGUUGUCUACAUGAAAUAGAAAUACCAUCAAAAUCUCCAUAAUGGAAAGAGAAGAUUAAAGUCGAAUGCACAUAAGAACAUUAAAUAGCCUACCGUAUGAAGAUCUUUAACAUUGAAAGACGGGUAGGGAUAAGAUUUUUUGAAAUGAUGAGGAAAUAACUGCACCCAUGUGUCAUCUCCCAUCAUCACUACUCGCUUUCCAUUUGAAGCCAACUGAAGGUGAGUCAUAGAUUAGAAUAAUUUAUACAAAAUAAGAAGUGCUCCAGGUUGCAUAAACAACAUGUAAUCAAAUAUUUUCAUAAGGAAUACCAAUAUACCAAAAAUAAAAAUAAGUAAAUACGACUUCCACGAAGAGAGAUCAGGAAACAGACCUGGUGUAUCAAGUUAUCUUCAAGAAUAGCUGGAGCACCAAAACUAUUUCCAACAUCAAUAAAAGUUGGCAGACCACCAGUUGUCAAACCCUAUAAAAAAAGGGGGGUAAAAAAAGAGAGACGAAGACAUAACUAAAGUCAAAGAAACUGUAUAUAUGAAACAUGUACAUCAUGCCUUGGGAACUGGAUUUUAAAGAACCUAAUAACUUAGCAGAGAAAGAGCAGAAAUGACCUUCAAUCUUUGCAAACUAGUAGUAGGUGGAUCAGCAAUUGCUUUGAAGAUAUGGGCAGAUGUUUUAGUAGAUGCCAGCUUCUGAAGCACUCGCAAUUUAUCCAUCCAAGGUUUUGAUUCUACAUAAUUUACUUGGGGUUUUAAGCUUGAGCAACAAAUAAAUCAAUUAAAACACUGAGUUGGGAAUAUGUAAAGGGGAAAAUCUGGGUUAUAAAAUUCCACAUAUUGAGAGACAGGGUUGUUUUUAAUGAGAACGGAAAAGUAGCGACAAAGGAGAGUAAAAGGAAUACUGACCUUUGAAGAAGGUACUGGGAGCAACGAAAUCAAAUCUGAAUAGCAAAGCAUGAAACAGGAACACAUAUCAGAUUGAACCAAUUUCAUAAGUAUUAGUUUUUAUUAGAGGUGUUCCGGAUCGGAAUGAGUACCUGAGGGCAUCAAGAACAAUAAUGACAAGACGAUCAACAGCAGGCCUUGUCCAACAGUGUGAAUUAGAUUGGUUUUGAUAGGGAUUUGAUUGACCAGUGAAGCAAGGGGAUUCAGAAACAUCAGAGCAAUUGCUGUAAUACGGGAGCUCAGUUCGAGUUAACAGAAACCCUCGUGUGAAUAUGAGUAUGCCUACUAUGUGUAACAUGGUCAGCAUCACCAUUAUCCUCCAUUUCCCUCUCCUCCACCAAUCCCCCACCUCCAUCAUUUAACUUUUUCUUAUCUUCUGUUAUACUCUACCAAGCGCGAAAUAAUCAUCUCAAAAAAUUCAGUGAGUGAACAUAGAAUGGGAGCUUCAGGGACAGAGAAAUCUGUCAAUUGAGCAAGGCAACUUAAGUUAAAUGUCACUGUCAAGCAAUUUGUAGUAUAUAUGCCUAGAAAGCUGGAUAUUGUCAAGAGUAUCCUGCAAUCUACAAACUUAACCAUUAAAUUCUCUUGAAGAAACAACAAAAGUUGACAAGUUCCUUGCUUUCUUUAUUUAUUUUGCCGCCAUGCCGAGACUGAGACUAAACCCAGAAACAUAAACAACAAAUUAAAUAAAAAUCAGACAAACAAUUAAACGGAAAUAAAGGCAAACUCAAAUUAAAUUCAAAAACACAGGAUAAACUGUCUCUAUCUUUCUCAAAUCCUCUAACUUUUGAUUCUCUCUGAUUCACUCUCCAUGUGAUCACAUCAAAAUCAAAAGCUAUAUUAAAUUCAAGAUCAAAACAGUAAAACAGCUGGAAGCAGUACGUUGUACAAAAAUCCAAACACCUCAAUUCUGAAUCAUUUAGCAAUCCUGGGAGAAUAGACCAAACACAAUAGUAUAAGACUACAGUAGACUAAGCAUUUAGAGUGUUUUAUUAUAUUGCCAUUUUUUUAAGGGAAGCCGAAAUAUAAAAAUAGCAUUUUAACAAAAUGAAUACAUUAGUUUAGUGUUGCUAAACUAAAAUAAACAGUCUACUGUCCUGGAUAAAUACAGAUUCAAGCACAAAUCAUAAAUCACAUUGACACGAAGCCUGAGAGGUUGUAAUAGCAUACAUUAUGGACAAACACAAUGCCAAGAAACCAACAAUUUUAUAUUGAGAAACAAGACGCUGUGUUUGCAUGAAAUAAAUCGGCGCGGCUACCUUGAUCAAAAUUCGGCAACUGAAGAAAUUAUUAAUUAAGACUACGAAACUUGAAAAAUGAGAAAUGAAAAUACCAUGAGAUGAUGAGAUAAACCGCCGGCGGCGUGGCUGGCAGUCCUUGCGGCAGUCGUCGCUAGUCAGAGAGUCCGGGAUGGGUGGCUGUUUGAAGUCUGAAGUGGGAUCACCGUUUCGGUCUUCGACAAAGAGAUGAGAGAGGCUGACAAGCGGCACGGCAGCCAGCUGUCGUCCGCCUCCGGCCGUGGCGGGUGGCGGGUGGAGUGUUAUCGGCGGCGGAUGGGGUUAUGUCUGAGAGAGUGAGAGACGAGAGUGAUGGUUUGUUUGUCUAAACUAUUUAGAACUUCAGGGCUUCUGCGUUUUGAAUCAAAACUCUUGAUUGAAUUUUUGUUUUUCCCUUAAAAUGAAAUUAUUAGUCGCCCAGAGAUUAGAUUAUCAGUUAAUCAUCGAUUACAAAAACAAAAAAAAAUUAAAAACUUUUAUUUUGCAUUCGUCCACUUUUGUGUGUCAUUUCUAUUAUAUAUUUAUUUUUUAUUUAAUAUCUAUGAAGAGGUCAUUGGGCCCUCGGCCAGGUAGUUGGAGUUGUGAGGACAGCGGUUUAAACUUCCACAAAAGUACAGUGAGGGUUAAAUAUUUAUAAGUUAUUUUUAUUUGUAAAAUAUGAGUGAAGAAAAAAUAUUCUUCGUAUGUGAUGGUUAUUUAUUUGUUGGGCAUGUACUUUAUAGAAUUUAAUAUAAUAAUAUAAGUUUUAGUUAUAUAUAUCUGAUUGUGUGUAAUAUCUAUUAUAUAGCCGUUGUAAAUAUUUGUGCAAUAUAGUAAUUUGGUGCGUAACCAAUAUUCAAAAAAAAAAAAUCUACGAAGAGUAGUAAUUUUUCAUCUGAUAAAUAUAAAUUGAAUUAAUUUUUCCUUCCUGAUUAAAUAUGAUCCUUUUUUUUUCUUUCUUUAAUUUUUGUGCUUUAAAUUACAGGUACGAGUGCUUAAAAACAAAGUGCACAAUUAUUUCACUCACAACAUAUAUUGAGUAUUUUUAUUUUCUAUGAAUAAAUGUAUCUUUUAGUGAACAUAAAAUAAAAGCCAUAGUAAAACUCAUGCCAUGCUCAAAGAUAAUAUCUUAUUGUUAAUAAUAAGAAGAGGCAAAUUUAAGUUAUUUUUAAAUAAUGAAAUUAUACUCACUGAAGUAAAAAUGAAAAUAAAGGUUUCGAAUGUACAGGAUGCGUUUGGCGCGCGCGGGUCAAUCAAGAUGUGUUCUGCGCAAAUGGUUCGGACAAAGGCGGCCGAAUUUGACCACUCCUGAAGCCAAGAAAAGACCCGCCCUCGUCGUGGGUCUAAGCGAGUCUGUAAUUUUCUUUUUUGAAAACAAAUUUUAAUUUAUUUAUUUAACGUAGUUUAAUUAUUUGAAAUUAUUUUAUUUAAUAUUUAAUAUAUAAUUACCUCCCAACGACCAGCAUCACCGCCUGGCGCCUGCCAUUGUAUUUUGCAGCCAUCUGCCAAUCUUAGAAAUCAAUUGCUUAGUAUCAUUGCUUAGAGAUUGAGAAAAAAUAAAAUAAAAAAUCAGACACUAGAUAUGACUUAAACAAAAUACUGUAUUUAUAAGCUUCGAUGGUUGUUUCGUUUUAAAAUAAGAGUAAUGAUAUUUAGCCACAUCAGCAUAUAAGAAAGCUAAGCUAGAAACGUCAGGUUUCUUGUGCCAUUUUGAAUUUUUAGAUUUGAAAAUUAAAAAUGGUCUUUAUCAUUAAAAAAUGGUCUUGGCCAUUUCCAUCGCCGACCAGCCUUACAACUCUCCUCUACAGUAUACUUGAUGAUUUUGGACUUUUUUUUCAUCUGCUCAGAUAAUUAAAUUUAGUAUGUUGAGGAAAGUUUUGAUUUUUACUGGGUCGGGAUAGAGGUAAGUGGAUUUGAUAUUGUUGGUGUUCAGUCUUUUGCAAUUUUUUUUUUUUACUACUGGUGUUUUGAUUUUUUUGGUAUGUAUAUUUAAAAAUGAGAAAUUAUCACCGGUAUACACUAAAAUAUCACCGGUAUCCCCUAAAAUGUCACCGGUAUCAAACGUACUACAACACUUUUCACUUGUAUCACUCGUAUACCCUAAAUUGACAAAAGAAUUCUGGCGUCCACCUUUCCGUUUACUACCGUUAAGACAUGCUGACGUCAUAGGGGUAAUAUAGUCUUUUAAUAAAGAAGAGGCUGCAAAGAAAGACGGCGUCGUUUUAAUACCCCGAAAACGCUGCCGUUUCACUGUAACAAAAAAGACAAAACAACGUCGUUUUUUAUUUUGGUUAAAAAAAAAAGUUACAGAGAAACGACAUCGUUUCACUGUAACUCAAAGACAAACAAACAGAAGUGGUCCAUCCUCCCCAUUCUUUAUUCACAUCGAGAGAAGUUUGCAUGCAUAUGAACAACCGGUGCAAGACUGUAUGCAUGGCAGCCAUUUUUUUACUAAAAACCCUCAAUAUUUGACCAUCAAACAAGUUUAAGUGAUAGCUGUGGAGAUUGAUUUGGAACUUGACAGAAGAGUAAGUUGAUUUCAAUCGAAUCCAGCGAGCGAAGCAUCGAGUUGUUAGGUAUGUUCAUAUAUAUAUAUAUAUAUUCAUGCAAUAUAUCUCUUAUCUCUUAUUUAGUCAAUAGAUGUAAGAAAUAAUUUGAAAUUAUCCGAAUUUAUGAGAAUUUAAUUUUUGUUACAAACCCUAGAAUGUUAACAACGAAGAAAUAAGCAGUGGUUAUUUUUUGGGUUAUUUAUAUUCUUAUGUGAUCAAUGUUUUAGGUUUAUAGAAGUGCAUUUAGAUGGUAAAUGAUAUCGGUUCUGGUUUUUGCAUAUUGAGGGUCUAUUGGCUAUUACAUGUAUUUCGUUAAAACUAAUUGGGGCUUUUUUCAACUUGCAUAUUAAGGGUUUGGUUUUUUGCAUAUUGUAUGAUAUUUAUUUCCUACGCUGUGUGUGUAAAGCUUAAAGAAUCCAUAUUUAAGCACAUUCCGUUAUUUUUGGGAUACAGUAGACAUGUUAACAAUGGAGCUAGUGAUUUCUUUCAAAGGAGAAAAACAUCAUGUCGGUAUGAUUAACCCUAAAGAUUGGACUGUUGAUAGAAUAAAGGCUGAGGCAUUGAAGAUAACUACUGUACAUGAGUUAGAUACAGUUGGUAAAAUCUUAUUGACUGUUAUGAACCCAAAUAGUAAAGUCAAGGUUGUUUUAGAUUCUGAAUAUGGGAUGAAAUGUUUAUUUGGGUUUCAUAAUUUGAUGGGUGUUACUACAUUUGAAGUUGAAGUCGUGCCUGUUUUAUGCCCUCAAAAUCCAGAUGCUCCGUUAAUACAAUCAUUGCUGUUUAACUUAGAAGUACACAUGUCUUCAGAAGUUAUAGAUAUCUUGAAUGAUGGAGGUACACCAGAAGUUAGGCAUACAGAUCAAGAAGGGGGGAGUAACAGAGAUGAAUUCAAUGAUAUGCAAAGGGGUUAUGGACACGAAGCUACUGCAACUAUUCAUGAGGGUGAAAUUGAUGAAGACAAACUAUUAUCAGAUUGGUCAGACAAAAGAAGUGACAGUGAUGGUGAGGAACUUGUUGUGCAACCAAUACCUACUAUGCCUGUUGAUGAUAUUGUGUCUAUUGAUGACAUUGACGAUAGUGAGGGCAGUGAGGACAGCCAAUGCGAGAGUGAUAGCGAUGGAGGUGGAGAUGGUUUACUAGAUGAUGACACUAGGGCAGUCAAAAUGGUUGUGAACUCUUCUGAUGAUGACAUCAAUCUUGGCAGUGUGAAGUUUACAAAAUAUUUAGAGAAAUAUGAGUAUAAAUUAGAUGCUGAUGGGAUACAUAGGCUGAGAUUAGGUGAUGUGUUUAGGGAUGUGAAUCACUUUAGACAAGUGUUACAUGAGGUUAUGAUUAGGAAAGGGUUUAAAAUUAGCAUAAAAUAUAGUGAACCGCAGAGAUAUUUUGCAACUUGUAAGGAGGCUGGCUGUCCAUGGUUUGUUAAAGGUGCAAGACUGAAUGAUAGGAAUGGUUUUUGGCUGCGGGGAUAUCAGAAGAAGCAUGAGUGCAAGCUUACCAAGAAAUCUGUGAAAGUUACUUCAACAUGGGUUGCUGAAAUGAUAAAGGGACAUGUUGCUAUUGAUGCAAAUGUCAAGAUAUCUCUUCUCAAGAAUUAUAUGCAAGAAAAAUUCAGGUUGAAGAUUGAGAAGCUCACAAUGUAUAGGGCUAGAGAAAAAGCAAGGAUUCUAGUAUAUGGUGACCAUUCGAAGGGCUAUGAGAAGCUGUUUCAGUACGCUGCAACUAUUCAUCGGGCUGAGCCAGGAGCCAUUUGUAAAGUGUUAUGUGAUGCAGUCACUGUUCCUGAGAAAUGUCUAUUUCAAAGAUUUUUUGUUGCAUUUCCAGCACAAAAAAAUGCUUUUCUGAAUGGCUGCAGACCGUUCAUUGGAAUCGAUGGGUGUCACCUAAAGGGAAAAUAUGGUAGAGUUUUGUUGGCUGCUGUUGCUUCAGAUGCUAAUAAAUGGAUAGUUCCAUUGGCAUUGUGUGUAUGCGAGAUUGAGAACACAGAAACAUGGACUUGGUUUCUUGAUCAUUUGCAUAGCUAUUUAGAUGAUGGAAGGCGGGUAACAUUUAUUAGUGAUAGGCAAAAGGGGCUGUUGAAUGCAAUUCCGAACACAUGGCCUACUCAUAGGGCAUAUUGUAGGCAUGUGUAUGCUAAUUUUGCGAAAGAACAUGCUGGUGCCAACUUGCAGACUCUUUUUUGGAAGGCAGCAAAAAGUAGUAAUAAGCAUGAUUAUGAGGAGGCAAUGGCACAUAUCAAAGAGGAAAAGUUAGCAGCAUAUAAUUGGUUAGAAAGAGAGCUGCAGGGAUACACUUGGUCUAUGCAUACAUACGACAGAAACUGCAAGGUAGAAAAGACUGAUAACAAUGCCUCUGAGUGCUUCAACAGUUGGAUUCUGCCUUAUAGAGACAGGCCUGCUUUGUCAAUGCUUGAGGAAAUUAGAUGCAGACUGAUGAAAAGAUUUACAAAGAGAAGAAAUGAGGGAAAUACUUGGCAAAAAACUAUUGCUCCUAGGAUUUACAAAGAGUUGGAUCAAACUUUCAAGAAAGGAGAAAAAAUGAUUGUGCAACCCUCGAGAGACUUGAAUUUUCAAGUCAUGGAUAAAUCUUAUUAUCCAGCUAGGAGGUUUAUAGUGAAAUUGGAGGACAAGACGUGCGAUUGUGGUUAUUGGGAAAUUGCCGGCUUACCUUGCUGUCAUGCUAUGGCUGCCAUAGGCUAUGCAAGGCAUGAAAUUGAAGAGUAUAUUCCAUUUUGCUUUACCAAGCAAGCCUACAUUAAUACAUAUUCAGUUAUGUUUAGUCCAAUUCCUGAUGAGCGGACAUGGGAGCGUGGCGAUAGGCCCUUAAUUGAUCCCCCAAUUGUGUGGAAAAAGAUGGGGAGGCCAAAGAAAUGUAGGAAGAGAGCAGCCACUAAACCUAAAAAACGCAGCAUGAGAUUCUUUGUCAAUUGCUCGGUUUGUGGUGGCUCGAACCACAAUGUAAGAUCUUGUCCAUUGAGACCAUUGGUUGCAAGGCCAAGCAAAGCUACAAGCACUAAUUCUCAGGUAUCUAUUUAGUCCAUUAGUUUUAUUCAUUUAUGUUUAUUGUUUAUAUUGUCAUCUAACACAGAAGUUGCGUUUUUUCAGCUGUCAAUUGGAAAUUCUUCAGGCCAGUCAGCAGAUCCUUUAAGCCAGCCAUCAAAGCCAACCAGAAUGAGAAAUACAGCGAGGAGAGACCAUGUACCAAGUGAUCGAAGUAAAAGCUCCAGUGCUGGAUCGAUGAAAAGAAAAAGUGCAAAUGCUGUUGGAGUUGCUGGAACAAGCAAAAAAAGAGGUUGAAUUUCGUUUCUUUUUGUUCAUAUUUCAUAAUUGCAUAUAAGGAGCUUAAUUUAUUUUCUUUUCUGUAAUAUAGGAAAGACUUCACAUGUCAACCUAUCCCAAGUCAGCCAAUCACAGAAUCCAUCACAAGCGUCCACUGUCACAGGUGCUUUGUAAUGAGUCCACUGUCACAGGUGCUUUGUAAUGAGUUUGAUGCUCAUUUUGCAAUGUUUUGUUGGAAACAAUCUAUCAACUUCAAUUUCCUUAACUGUUAUGCUAGUUAUGUGAUAUCAACUGAACUUAAUUAUGCUCUUGCAUGAGCUAAGCUAUCGAAUUGGUUUUUGGAAUAUGUAUUUGAAGGAGAUAUGUUGCUAUCUGCAUAUUUUGGAUAUGUUAUGAUUAGAUUAAUAUUUUAGUUGAUAAUUAUGACUGUUGAAUAUUUCUUGAAUACAAACUUUGUGUGUUACAUUACUUUCUCAUAAGGACAAUUACAAAGACACACACUAGCACAAUUAGGAUCCAUUUAAGCUUUCCUUCGAUGCUUUUUAGCCUUUUCUUUAUCUUAACCAAAUCAUCAUUCAGCUUCAAGUUUUGCCCUGGCAUUGCGCCAUUAGUAUUAGGAUAUAUGAGAGAUUCCACAGUGAACCAUUCCCAAAAUCCACAAUGCCUCGCUCCACAAUGCUUCCACCUACAUGACCAAAACAUUGCAUUAGGGUUUUGCAAUGUAGUUGACACCAGAGCCACUGCUUGCACGCCACACUUGCAGUAUUUUGGUUGGCAUUUUACUUUAUCAUAUCUGGUAUGUCCACUAUCAGCAGAACUCGAUGCUUCACUGGAGGCCAUUUUCAUAUGAAUUGCUUGGCAUGUGAUUGCUUGGCAUGUGAUGGAUCAAUGAUUUGUUAAUGUGCUUCUGGUUUUUAGUUGGAAAAGAGUAGCAAAUUGGUUAAAUUUAAAGAGAUUAUCAGGUGUGUGGUGGCUAAUUUCUUGUUGCAAAUUGGUUGAAUGUUGCAAACUAUUUUUUUUGUUGUGUUUUAGGUCAUUAUAUAGCCAAAAAUGUAACCGUUAUUGGCUCCCAACGAUUACAUUUUCAAUUGCUUCACUUUCAGGGCAAAAUUGUCUUUUUAAAUUAAAAGGGUAAAAUAGUCAUUUUGCUCAAAUUCCGUUAAGUUCUUAACAGUAGUAAACGGAAAGGUGGACGCUAGAAUUCUUUUGUCAAUUUAGGGUAUACGAGUGAUACAAGUGAAAAAUGUUGUAGUACGUUUGAUACCGGUGACAUUUUAGGGUAUACCGGUGAUAAUUUCCCUUUAAAAAUUACUAGAAAUUAGUUAUUUGAAAUGUAGAUUUUGUUUGUUUUUCUAUUUAUUAAAUCUAUAGGAUUUGAUGAAGUAUGUCUAUGUGGGGUUUUGAUUCUUUUAGGAUAUUAUUAGAUUUCACAGCUGAUUUUGAGUCCAAUUGACAUAUAUUGUUUCUGUGUUUAUAUAUAUAUAUUAUUUCGGCUGCUUAAUACUAGCGACUUUUGGAGGCCUGUAUGUAUGUUUAAUUGCUGGACAUAUCUAGGAAUUAUUAUUUGGUAGCUGAGAAAUGAAAUAGAAAAAUGAAAUAUUAAAGUUGUUUUUUCUUUUGAUAUAUAAUUUUAUCUGAGUUAACUAGAACGUUUUGUUUUUAGAUCUUUGUUAAACUUUUUAGUGGUUUUAAAGUCAUUUAAGCAAUUGGCCUUUGCUUCAACAAGAAAUCAAUGAACCAAAGCAAUGGCAACCGUGGCUUGAUUCUCCAAUCAUCAACAAUUGCCUUGUUGUUCAUGCUGCCACCAGCACAAUUCAACAAAACAAGCCCUCGAACAAGUGUUUGACUGGAUUUUUAUGGUAGAAAAUAUAGCAGGUUUUCGCAAACCAUAUUAACCGAAAAGGCUAAUCAGGUGCAAGUGUUUCUUUGCAAGCAUGAUGACGAAUAUCUGAUUCCCAAGAGGAAGUUAAAUUAAUAUACCUGAGGCAGCAAAAACACAAGGUAGGCUUCGAAUAGAAUUACGUACAAGCACUAUUGGCUUCUGAGCAGCUUCAUCCAAGAAAUCCAAUAUUAGUUGUAUCGGUGAGUCUCACUCAAGUUAGCAAGGAAAAUAACUAAAGGUCAAGCAAUUGAUGAUAUAAGUACAGGAGUUGUGAAAUAACUUUAAAGGAAAAUAAUUGCUUAUCCUUAACAUUUGUGGAUGCCUACAAUUAUAUGUUCACAGAAGUAAAUAGAAUAAAAAAAAUAGUACAUUAUCAAUAAGAAAAGUUCACUACAAGAUGAAAAUUAUUUUUUGUCAUUUGUGCCUUGUGUACUAAAUUUUGUGUUAUUUUAUUACAUAUAAUAUUAUUCUACGGAAUGCGGGAAGAAAAAAAGUGGGGUCGAUUUAUUGUAAGCCCCAAAUUCAACCGAAGAUCCAAGCGCAAGUUUCAAACUAAACCAACCCAAAGUUUGGGCAACAGUCCAACGCAACCCAACUAAAAUCAUUUUAAUUUGAUUUUAGUUUGGGUUGACUUAGGCUUUGAUAAAUUCACAUGUUGUAUACCAUAAUUAAAAUAAAGUAUCAUUUGUCAUACAUUUUGUUGAUGCGAGAUUCUGGUUCUCCUCGUUCUACGACCAGGCUCUCUGCUCGAUCAACUUCACCACGACCAGGAGGUCUCCUCGUAAGGCUUCUUCUCCAGAGCCUCCUGCGCACACAGACAAGUCAGAGUACGCCGGUUGUUUUCCUGGCGCAAACCCUCCGACGCUCAAGUCAGAUAUGAAGGUUCGGAGAACGCUUGCCACAGAUCUUAUGGCUUUUUCGUAGUUUUCUCUUCUUUAGAAUUUCUUUAGCUCUCUUCUAAUCUCAAAAUUGCUAACCCUUUUACCUUCGUUGGCUACCUUUUUAUAGGCUUCCUCUGAAUCCCAGUUUUCCGCAGUCUACGUCCGUUAUCUUCCCACCUCUCGAACGUGGAUUCCCCAUUUCCGUAGUCGUGGGUGGUUGCGUGGCCUUCGUGCCUAGAUUCUCGGGCUGGAGAGCAUGCCUCGCCAACUGUCGUUGACCGGGUCUCCUCGAAUCAACCCUCAGCGAGAAUACAGCAGGAAUGGCUUUAUGCCUCUUACAGGAAAUUGACCUCGCAGAUGACGUGCUCGUGGAUGAGCAGGAUAUUCCUGCCCCUGUUCCCCUGCUACCUGGCUCUUACAGGACAUACCUGCUCGCAGAAUUCUGCCACUAAACAUCUGCUCAUCACGUCUGGUCUCGUCGGAGUAUUUCCCUCAAACAUUGGUCCCCUAGUUUCUGGUGUUGGGUAAUGUAGUGCACCAGCAGUAGAAACUUGACAGUACUUGCUCGCGUGGGAUUGGAAAAGGCUGCCAAGAGUCAUAUCGCAUUUAAUUGCGGACGAGGUGAUGUGGCAGAAAUCUGCCCCUCUAUUCGAAUUUCAAACCAACGGUUACCAGGCCCUUAGGAUUUGGUGCCGUUAAAUGCUGGCAACCCAAGAGUCCGUCCCCAUUAGGAAACCUAAAUCCUUUCAAACAACAAAUUCAUCAUUCCCUCCGUCUCCGUCUCUGUCUCUCCAGCAAAGAAGCUCCGGUAUACAGGCCUCCAUCUCUGUCUUUCACCGACUGAUCCAUUACUUCAUGUAUUUCUUCUAUCUCCUUGGUCUUGGAUAGUUGUAGAUAAUUUCUCUUCUCUUUGCUUUGCUUGGGGUAGUAGUUGGCGGUGGCGUUUUGGUUAUUAUUUAGGGAAUGUCGAAGGGUAAGGAGAAAGUCGUCGAGAUUGAUGACGACGAAAUAGGUUUCUUGCCUAAUCUAGUCACUGAUCCUGCUUUUGACCCCGGGAUCCCCUUAGAACCCAUUAGGUCUAGUGUCGGGACUAGUGCUAGGAGAUUGUCCCCCUAAACAACCUCUACGAGCGGAAGUAAUGAUGAGGAGAGGUCUUCUGGCUCUGAAGGCACCUUGAGUGAGAAUGGGGAAGGUGAUUCUGGUGAGGUGUCUCCAUCUGGAACAUCACGACCAGAAGAACGGGGUACAGUAGGGGGUAGAGCCUUGUCGCGUGAUUAUGCCAUUGAUUACAUGUCGUGCACGACCACGUUUGACGAGCUCAAUGACCUCCGACUUAGGUAUAGUAUUCCUGGUGAGAUACCUCUUAAGAUCCCAGGAAAGAAGGAUACACCUAGCCGGCCUCCUAGGGGAUACGUUACCCUGUUUCUGGAGAGCUUUAAGUAUGGGCUGAGGUGUCCCUUGCAACCUUACUUUGCCCGAAUACUUAACGGGCUAAAUCUGGCUCCUGGUCAGCUGAACCCCAAUGGGUGGAGAGUGCUCUCUGGUCUGUUCAUAUUGUAGGACAGAUGUUGCCAAAGCGAGCCCACGGUUGAUGAGGUGAAGCACCUGUACCAGCUGAAGAGCAGCCCUAAAGAUGCCGGCUGGUACUACUUCCAAUCUAGUACCAAGAGCAGGAAACCCAUAACUGAUCUUCCAACUGGUGGUGGUGGGACUUGGAAGAGGAAAUUCUUUUUUGCUGGGGGUCCUUGGGGUCAAGUUGCACAAAUAGACGGGAAGGAUUGUCGCGUCCCACCCCGUUUCACGGUCCCAGGUUGCCUGCUCGCUUUAGAUGUCUUGUAUCCAUAAUUGUUCUUGCUGUAUUGGUUUGUCUCUAACCAAGUGUCUGUUUGUGCUGUAGUUUCUUGGGGUGUUCAUUUCCCGCUCAAGCCUGGUCAGCUUAAACGGGUCGAGGCUGUACUGGCCAAUUCCUGCCCAAGCCGAGAACUGCUAACUACGUACAACUUCCUCGAGUCUCACUUAAUACUUCCUGGCCAUAAGAUGGAGGACGCUGUGAUUGGGGCUCUAACCAGGAAACGUUCUCGUCCUCCAGCCACGAAGAGCGACCAGAGUAAGGACGCUCCUGCUGCAAAGCGGGCCAACAUCGUGCAGCAGGUCUCUCCCUUGAAGACUUUACCUCCUCCUCCUGCCAAAACCGGAGAAAUUAGUGGAGCAGCCACUGAUCCUGCUUCCUCUUCUCCUCCUGUUGGGCCUCGGUCUCGUCUACCUGCCAACCGAGCAGAGCACUUGGCCCCCUAUCUCAACGAGCUUUCCAAACUCGUGAGCAAGAAAGACCUCGAGGAUUUUGAUGGUUGUACCCUGGGCGAGCUGGUGGGAGCCAUGCAGUAUAGCGCUUUCCAUCUCAGCUGCAUGACCACCUACUAUAAGGCCAAGGUUGGCCGUUACGACAGGAAGAUGAAGGAGGACAUUCAAUCGGCGACGACCAGAGCUGACGUUGCCGAGAAGAAAGCGGGGGAGCUAAACGUUGAGAACCUCAAGCUGAUAGAGCAAGAAUCUCUUGCUCAAGCAAAAGCCAUUACCCUCGAGGAAGAGCUGACCAAGGUCAAGGAGGAUCUGCAAAGGCAGAGGGCUAUGUAUGAGGCUCAGCUCGAAUCUCUCCGCGAUUCCCACCGAGCUCAGGUCGAGAACUUGGAGAGGGAGGCCGACAACCAAUACGACCAGGGACUUCGGCAUUCCUAUCGUUGCAUUAUGGCCGUCCUCGGGAAGCAGCAUCCUGAUAUGAAGAUGGAUGAUCUUGCAGCUGGUGUUGCUCAACAUAUGGACGAGGAAGUAGCCAAGGAAGAUGCCGAAGGGAUAGAGCAGAUCGUGAUUGAGGAGGAAAGUUCUCCUCCUCGUUCAGUCCCUGCUGACGUUGGCGAGGUGAGCACCCCUGCUGUCGUUGCCGAGGCGAGCACCCCCCCGGACGCAACUGGUGAUACCCCCCCCGCACCUGAGGAGGUUCAGCCAUCCGAUGCUGCUCGGCCUACUGAUCCGCCAUCUUCUUGAACAUUUUUCUCGCGUUGUAAUGAACUACUUUGUUGGUUAUUAAUAGAUUAAUGAAAAACUGCUUUUGAUUACUUUCUUGAGUUGUAAUCAUGAAUUAUUUUUCCGUUUGAGAAUCUCCUCGUCCUUGUCUGGUCGAGCAGGAUCGGGCUUGGCAUAUGGCUUUGCCACCUGCCUUAGAAAAUUUUUCGAUGUUUGGGAUUCUGCUCGCCUCCGCGCGGUCGAGCAGAUCCCGCCAUGUUUGGCUUCUGUCUCGCCAUAAACUGGCUGUGAGACUUGACGAGCCUUUGCAUGCCUCAGAAAUUUUUUCGAAUGCUUUGGAGUCUGCUCGCCUUCACGUGGUUGAGCAGAUCCUGGCAUGCUUGGCUUCUGUCUCGCCAUAAAACAAGCUUUGAGACUUGACGAGCCUUUGCAUGCCUCAGAAAUUUUUUCGAAUGCUUUGGAGUCUGCUCGCCUUCACGUGGUCGAGCAGAUUCUGGCAUGCUUGGCUUCUGUCUCGCCAUAAAACAGGCUUUGAGACUUGACGAGCCUUUGCAUGCCUCAGAAAUUUUUUCGAAUGCUUUGGAGUCUGCUCGCCUUCACGUGGUCGAGCAGAUCCUGGCAUGCUUGGCUUCUGUCUGGCCAUAAAACAGGCUUUGAGACUUGACGAGCCUUUGCACGCCUUAGCAAUUUUUUCGAAUGCUUUGGAGUCUGCUCGCCUUCACGUGGUCGAGCAGAUCCUGGCAUGCUUGGCUUCUGUCUCGCCAUAAAACAGGCUUUGAGACUUGACGAGCCUUUGCAUGCCUCAGAAAUUUUUUCGAAGCUUGGGAUUCUGCAAGCCUUCUCGUGGCCGAGCAGAUCCUGGCAUGCUUGGCUUCUGUCUCGCCAUAAACAGGCUUUGAGACUUGACGAGCCUUUGCAUGCCUUAGAUGAUUUCUUCAAAGCUUGGGAUUCUGCUAGCCUUCUCGUGGCCGAGCAGAUCCUGGCAUGCUUGACUUUUGUCUCGCCAUAAACAGGCUUUGAGACUUGACGAGCCUUUGCAUGCCUUAGAUGAUUUCUUCAAAGCUUGGGAUUCUGCAAGCCUUCUCGUGGCCGAGCAGAUCCUGGCAUGCUUGACUUUUGUCUCGCCAUAAACAGGCUUUGAGACUUGACGAGCCUUUGCAUGCCUUUGAUUCUUCAAGGAUUGGGAUUCUGCUCGCCUUCUCGUGGUCGAGCAGAUCCUGGCACGCUUGGCUUCUGUCUCGCCAUAAAACAGGCUUUGAGACUUUGAUGAGCCUUUGCAUGCCUUUGAUUCUUCAAGGAUUGGGAUUCUGCUCGCCUUCUCGUGGUCGAGCAGAUCCUGGCACGCUUGGCUUCUGUCUCGGUAUAAAACAGGCUUUGAGACUUUGAUGAGCCUUUGCAUGCCUUUGAUUCUUCCAGGAUUGGGAUUCUGCUCGCCUUCUCGUGGUCGAGCAGAUCCUGGCACGCUUGGCUUCUGUCUCGCCAUAAAACAGGCUUUGAGACUUUGGUGAGCCUUUGCAUGCCUUAGGAAAUUUUCACAGUUUCAAGCGAAUGAAAUUCCUCAUUGAUUCAUUUAUUACUGAGAUCGGCUUACAUGAGGUUGCUUUGAAAUAAGAAAUCAAAAAUAGAAAACGGACCCGAACAGAAAAAAAUUUUAAAACAUGAAUGAGUCUUACUAGAAAUAUUUCCUGAGGUGUGCCGCGCUCUAGGGGCGUUUCACCUCGUGGCCCUCCGUGCGAACCAACUUGUAGACUCCGGGUCCGACUAACUGCCAUUCCCGGCUUCCACUCGGGUACCAAGGUAUGUUAUCUGCAUUGCUUCCCUUGCUGCCGAGGAGUAACAGCUUCGUGCGAUUCUCUGGUCUCCUCGUACCACUCCAACAACCCCAUUCACCCGGUACUUGAGAGCCAGAUAAUGGUUGGACAGCACCGCUUUGCUCAUCCUCAGAAAUGGCCGGCCUAGGAUCAUCUGAUAAGGACCUUCCUCAUCCACUACCACAAAGUCCAGUAUCAUUGUCCUUUCUGUCGGGGAGCUCCCAAUCGUGAUAGGCAGCUCGACCACGCCCAGAGGGACCAGCUUUCCUCCUCCAAACCCCUUCAAGGAGGUAUUGGUGUAUUCCAACUUCCGGUCUGCUAUUCCCAUCUCCUCCAAGGUUGACUUAAAUAACACAUCAACUGAACUCCCUGUAUCAACCAGUAUCCGGUCACACUUCUUGCUAGCGACAGUAGCCUUGAUGACUAAAGCAUCCUCGUGGGGGUAUAGAAUUCCUUCCUCAUCUUCAUCCGUCCACAUGAUUGGCACUUGCCUGACCCUUGCUCGUUUGGCUGCUGGGGUGUUGAAGAAUACCUCUUUACUAGUCAUGGCGUAUCUAGCAUAGUUCUUCCUAGAUCUGUUGGAAUCUCCAGCCAAUGUCGGGCCCCCAGCAAUCACCCUUACUGUAGGCUGCUCGUGCCUCAAAUUUCUGCCACUCUGCUCCCCUUCACAUGUCGAGGCCACCAUCGGGAAAGUCCCAUCUACAAACUCGUCCAGGUACCGAUUUCUCACCAAAUUUUCAACCUGGGUCUUGAGAUCUUUGCAUUCUGCGGUGGUAUGGCCAUGAGUGCCAUGGAACUUACAAUGGCGUCCCCUAUCCCUCCUGCCCGGUAGCUUUGUUAUUGGGGCAGGGAGGUACAGCAAUCCUCGGUCCUUUAUGGCCUCGUAUACUUCGUCCAGGGACAUCUUCAAGGAGGUGUAUCGCCCAUACUUCUGGUUCUGGUCAAUCAGGUGCACAGCCCUUUCUCUAUUUGAUCCGUUCUGAGUUGGAGGCGAUGGCAGCAUUUCUGGUCUGCUCCCUCUACUACUGUGGGAGUGUUGAUGAAGACUACCAUAUGCCGAAUCAUGCCUUCUCCAAGGCUCCUUAGCUGGGGAACGAGGAGGGUGCGCCCUGUUGCGCUGAUACUGUGGUGGCCUCUGAUGAGGCUGGUGAGCUGUUAUCCGACCUCCUGUUCCACUACCUGAGGCCUGGAGGUCCCUCCUCCUGAUCGGCCCAUUUCUCGGUAAUGCCCUCUUCUCUUUCUUUUCCAGCCCCUCCAGCUGGUCUGUCUUAAUCCGAGCUGCCUUUUCUUCCUCGAUCUCUAUGUCUCUUUUAGCCUGCUCGUAUGCGGCUGCAUACGUCUGAAUAGCUGGGCUUCUCAAGUUGUACCACAACCUUUCUAUCUUCACUCCCUCUUUCAAUCCCCUUAGUGCCUGAGGAUGGUCGAAGGCUCCCAAAUCGAGGACAGCACGAUGAAACCUCUUGAUGAAUUCCCGAAGGGUUUCUUGCUCCCCUUGCUUCAUGCUUUUCAGCUCCAUCAUGUCAUCUUCUGGUGCCAUUGCCCCACGAAACUGCUCUGCAAACUCCUGGCACAUCUGCUCGAAGGUUUUAAUGCUCCCCCGAGGAAGUUUCCUGUACCAUUCUCGUGCACGUCCCUCAAGGGAUAGUGGGAACACCCUGCACCUUUGGGAUUGAGAUAAUCCUUGUACUCCAGUUAUGUCGUUGAAACGCUCUAUGUGCACCAGCGGAUCCGUUCGUCCCGAAUACCUAAGGUCUGGGAGGCGGAAAUCUCUCGGAAUAACUGCCCUCAUGAUCUCUGUUGCGAGCGGUGAUUCUCCGUCCAGCAUUAUCCUCCAACCAGGAGGUCUGCUCCUUCCUUGCAUGUCGUCAAUUAUCUGCGCUAGUCUGCGCACUUCCUCCUUCAGCUGCACUGCGCGACCAGGGUCACGUGCUGCAGCUUGAUCCCGCUCUUGCUCUACAUCAAGCAAGUGUUGCCUCAACUCCGUUUCCUCUGCAUUUGCCACCCCGUCGUCCUCGUCAAAAAUCUGUCUUGCCGGGGAUUGCUCUUCCUCUCUACGGAAUUCUCCCUGCAGAGGUAUGUUACCUCUCUCACCACCAACUCUCUCGGUGGUUUGACUUCUCCUCGUACUAUCGGGACUUGGAGCCACUCCCCCAACUCUCAUCCUUUCCUCCUGGGUUACCCUUCAUUCACUCCGCAACUCAUGCAGGAUGUUUGUCAGGGUCUCCAUCUGCUUUUCCAUCCGUUCCACCCGGUCGAACAUGGCUUUUUCCCGUGCUUCACUGGCUAUCUCCCUCAGAGUCACGGAAUCGUUAAGCCUCAUAUCACUCCCUUGUGCACUACUUCCUCCUGUCUCCAUUGCUUUUCACUUGCUUCACUCCUCUUCUUGCUAUCAACAGAAGCUUUUUGAUCAGCUCCCCACAGACGGCGCCAAAAUGUUGAUGCGAGAUUCUGGUUCUACUCGUUCUACGACCAGGCUCUCUGCUCGAUCAACUUCACCACGACCAGGAGGUCUCCUCGUAAGGCUUCUUCUCCAGAGGCUCCUGCGCACACAGACAAGUCAGAGUACGCCGGUUGUUUUCCCGGCGCAAACCCUCCGACGCUCAAGUCAGAUAUGAAGGUUCGGGGAACGCUUGCCACAGAUCUUAUGGCUUUUUCGUAGUUUUCUCUUCUUUAGAAUUUCUUUAGCUCUCUUCUAAUCUCAAAAUUGCUAACCCUUUUACCUUUGUUGGCUACCUUUUUAUAGGCUUCCUCUGAAUCCCAGUUUUCCGCAGUCUACGUCUGUUAUCUUCCCACCUCUCGAACGUGGAUUCCCCAUUUCCGUAGUCGUGGGUGGUUGCGUGGCCUUCGUGCCUAGAUUCUCGGGCUGGAGAGCAUGCCUCGCCAACUGUCGUUGACCGGGUCUCCUCGAAUCAACCCUCAGCGAGAAUACAGCAGGAAUGACUUUAUGCCUCUUACAGGAAAUUGGCCUCGCAGAUGACGUGCUCGUGGAUGAGCAGGAUAUUCCUGCCCCUGUUCCCCUGCUACCUGGCUCUUACAGGACAUACAUGCUCGCAGAAUUCUGCCACUAAACAUCUGCUCAUCACGUCUGGUCUCGUCGGAGUAUUUCCCUCAAACACAUUUUAUACAUUAAACACAUAAACGUCCUCUCUGGAAUCUUUGUGGGCAACGCAUACGUGGUAUCUUCACUAAUAAGUGUUGAAUCUUUAGCUUCAAAGGAAAGAAACUAAAAAGGUUUGUAAAUUUACCCCACUUCUACAAAAUAAUUAUAAUGAAUUCACAAUAUUUUUUAAAAAAUUCAAAUUAAUAAAAAUUUUGUCUAGUUAAUCAAUUAAAUCCUUCUAUUAUUUUUUUAUUAGAUUUCUUUGAGUAUAUUUGAUCAUAAACUUGAUAUAAAUUUUACUUUACUAUUUUAGUAUUAUGAUAUAAAAUGGCCAAAUUGUACAAUAAACACGGGUUAUUGUAUCUAAUAAUUUAGGUAUUUAAUUAUGUGAACUAACAUUUUUAAAUGAAAUUUAACUAUUAUUUUCACUAUCUUACGUGUAAAUGAUGUAAAUUUGACAAGCUAAUAAUUUAUAUGAGUAUUGUGCCAUAAAGCCAUUAUGUUUGUUUAAUUAAUGUUUUAUAAUCAUACUAAUAAAGUAGUAUUAGAAAUAAUGAAUUGCUAUAAAAUUAGAAAAUAUUGAAGUUAAAGAAUUAGUUUGACCUUAUAAGGAUAAAAUAAUCAAUUUAGACUUAUGUCAAAUCAAUCUUUAUGAUCAAAUAUAAUAAAAAAAUUUAAGUCACAAAAAGUAAAUUAAGAUAGAUUUGUUAAUUUGUUCUCCAAAGUUCUUAUUUAUUUAUUUUUUUAAAAUAAUGUGUACUUUUUGUAAUUGUUUUUUAAAAAUGGGGUGGAUUUGGAGAUAUCAUUAGCCAACAAAAAAUUUAGUAAGGAUUAAUUUGAUAAUUGCCCAUAAAAAGAAGGCAUGUAGGUGGUGGUAGGGAAGCCUUUUUCCAUUCUAAAAUUACAUGUAAGAAUCUAAUAUAAAAAAGAUAAAUGUGUUACAGGAUGUGGAUAGAAAAAUUGAUCUUCAUUUGGGGAUUCUUGAUCUUCAUUCUUCACUCCACUAAAAUUUAUUAGAGAAUGAGGUGAAAAUUAUGGGCCAAAUAAAAUUAUUAACAUAUAAAAAAAUUUAAAUUAUUAAAAAUAAUAACUAAAAAAAUACAUAUUUGUUAAGAAUUUUGGAAUUAUUUUUCUUCGAGUAAUAAUAUAGCUACAAACUCUUGUACAAACUUAUCUUGUACCAACUAAUGUGGCAUGAUAAAAUUGGUUAAAUUAAAUAUCUCUUAACUCACGUGAUUUAUUUUCAUUAUUUUGUAUUUUUAUUCAACUAAUGAAUUAAUGUCACAUCAAUUUGUACAAAAUAAAUUUGUACAAGAAUUUGUGAUUGUAUCAUCACUCUCUUUUUUUUAAUCUCCAUAAACACAUCAAAAUUAGGGGUGGGAACUGUGGAGUCCACAACCCGCCAAAAAUCUCUAGUCGGCCAAAUUGGACUUUUUAUAGUCAGUCCUCAAAGAAAUUUUGAGAAAGGCAGCAGACAAUGAGUUGAAUGAAAUUACUACGAAACUUCCUUGAAGAUUCAAGGUAGUAGUGGAGGAUUCGAGCGCACAGACACAUUCAAUUCAGUUGAACUGUUUCUAUUAUGGUUUCUUCAUCUUCUUCUCAUCCAUCCACCAGUCUGUGUUUGAUGAGACCCCUAAACAUCAAUUAUGGUGUUUUUGUCAGAUUCAGAGGAGAAGACACCCGUGACAAUUUUACUGGCCAUCAAGUAUGGGUCUUUUGGGAUUUCAAUUUCGAAGCUUGAAGAAAGAUUUAAAGAGAAGUCAGAGAAGCUGCAGACUUGGAGGAAUGCUUUGAAGGAAGCAGCCAGUUAGUCUGGCUUUAAUUCUUAUAACAUCAGGUGAAAAGUUACUUUUAAUUUCGCAUACUAAUAUUUAACACUGUAAAUAAAAUUCACGCAGCACUCUUAGUUAAAUUUUCCAGAUGUUAAACUACACUUUUAAAUUUUUUUCAGGAAUCAAAUUCUAGACUUCUUGAACGUCCCCACUUUUGAACUCCUAUAAAAGAAUUUUUACAGAAUUAAUAAUAAAAGCUCCAAAAGUUUGCAAUAUACUUUAACAAAAUUAAUGGUGUUCUGUCGUUUUUUCCAAUCUCUCAGUCAUUUACCAUGACCAAAAAUAAUAAAUAAAAAAAUAAAAAUAAAAGUAAAAAUAAAAAUCUCUCCCACAUAUAACAUAUCCCUAUAAUUUAAGAGUUAUUAAUUUAUAGGGAGAUUGUAAAGUUCGUUACUUAAAUUAAUAUAUACCACUUAUACAGACUAUUUUCACAAUAUUUAAUAAGUCUCUUGGUACCAUCAUUUUACAAUAUUAUCCUUAUGAAAAAAAAUCAAAACUAUCAGACCUGAGCUUCCGGUCUCCGUUAACUGAAUUUUGGUUGUCGUUGACCAGUACGGGCAAUUCAGUAAUUUCACAAACUUUUGGGAUAAUGUUGUAAUUUCUGAAAUUGGUGGAUAAUUUAGUAAUUUUGGACUAGGGCGGUUAGGUAAUUUGAGAUUUCAAGGGUAAUUCAGUAAUUUAAGUUAUUAAGGGCAUUUUGGUAAUUUCAAAAUUCAAGGGUAAAUUCGUGAUUUCGUACCUUAUGGUUAUUUUUGUAGUAUGAAUUAAGGAUAGUUUAGUAAUUUAGAAUUCUGAGGACAAUUUGGUAAAUUAUGGUGUCGACGGCAUUUUGGUAAUUUUUGGCAUGCAGGGGUAUUUUGGUAAUUUCAUUCAUACGGGAAUAGUUGAUUUUGGGAAAAUGUUUGUUUCGAGCUUUAUUGCGUAAAUUUAGUUGUAUUUCAUGUUACAGAUAACGAUGUCGUUUCCUUAAUUUAGGAGGAACCGCGAACGAGAAUCAAUCCGCAAACGUAACCGAUACUUGAGUUUGAGUGUAAUCAUUGUGAGUGGAAUAUACAAAACCUAUUUUUAUAGUUAAUUAUGAUAGUAAAGCCUAUUUGUGAAAUGAGUAUCUUAAAUAUUUUGAUUUAAUGAUUUUCUUGAAAUGGAUUUUAUUCACGCAAUGAUAUUUUAUUAAAAUGUUUGGUUAAUAGUUUUCCAUAUUGAUUUGAAUAAAGCAUGAUAGUAUUCUUAAGACAAGAAAAAUUCAAAUGUGUUAAUGAAAAGAACAGUAUGAUUUUCAAUAUGAUUAAAAAGUAUAUGGUUAUGAGUAUAAAGAUUGUUUUUGAAAUCAUUAGACAGUACCAUUCCCCUUCAGAUAAUGUGAUACAGAUGAGAUGAGAGUCCUUUAGGGCUCGUCUGAGUACAUAUAGAGGCUUUGGGCUGUGUACUUGGACGCUUUAUCCUUUGGGGACCAGAUUAUGCAGAUACGAGAUAUGAGAUAUGAGACAUAUGAGACGACAUUUUCCUAUCUACCCGUUGCAACUCCGGGGCAUGACGAUUUCCUGAUUGCCCGUCCAUCGAGGUCUGGGUAUGACAAGAUUAUUUGCUUGGGUAAUUGUUUGGUGACAGUUUUCAGAAUUACAGUGUUUGAGAUUACAAUAUGUUAUGAUUUCAUUGAUUUUAUGCAAUAUUAUGUAUUAUUGUUAUAUUAGUACUUGAUUUAAAUUACAUGAGUUUAUUUAAGUUCUUAUGAUAUUUUGAUGAAAUUGAUUUGAGACAGAUUAAAUUAUUUUAAAGUAAAUUUAUUUUCAAAAAUUAUUAUCCACUCACUGAGCUCAUUGAGUUUUAUACUCACCCCGUUUUUAUUAUAUUUCCCCCCAGGAGAUUUGCAGGUACAUUAGUCGACCCAACAACAAUAACUAUUUUUGAAAUUGUGGCCACAUGAUGGUGCUAGGAAUCAUAGAUGUAUUGUUGGGAUAUUUUGGAUUGUAUAAAUUAUUACAUAUUUGUGACUAAGGAUACUCUAUUGUAGUUGACAUUAAAAUAUUUGGGUGAUAUUUGGUAUGUUGAUUAAGGAAGUUGGUCGUGGAGGUUGGUUGAAUAUUGAAUUAUUUUUAGAGUGCUAAUUUUAUAAAUUGUAGGUUUGGGAAUGUCAUCAUUGUAGAGGAGACUCUACCGAAUAAUCUUUAGUAAAACCCUUAAAUAUUAGAUUUAUUAUCGGUUCAAUUAGAUGGGAUUAGAUGACUCGUCCUGAGGUUUCGGGGCAGGUCGUUUUAUCUAUACAUUAAAGGCUCAUAGACUAUUAGAUACAUUGAAGCCCAUAAUACUAAAAAUCUUAAUAGAUAUCUUUUAAUUGGGCUUAAUUUUAUAUGACAGUUUGCAACACAUAAUUAUUCACAUAUAAUCCCAGCGUUGGGUUAAGGAUUUAACAAUCCUAGAUUAAAAAAUCCAACAAAACUAUUACUUAUUUAUUUUAUUUUUUUACAAUAGUUUACAUAUAAUUCAAAGUCCUGUACAAUUGUCUCUCUAUCUUCACAUUAAACAUAAUUAAAAAGGAGAAUUUAUUUCAACAUUUUUUAAUAUGAACCUUUGAGACUUGUUAUCUCAAUUGUCGUAUAAGAAUUGAUUUGAUGUUGGGUUCCAGCAGUACCAGCUUACUUUUACGUAUCUUGGAUGCUAAGUGUAUUGCACAUGGAUCUGGUACUUUGAUGAUAUGAUCAAAAUUGGAGAUUGGAUUUUAGGGUGAGAUAACUGGCUUUUCUCUUUUGAGGGUAAGCUUGUACUUUUAUGGCAUGUGCUUCUUCCAUACCGUUACAUAUCUUCCAAGUCCUCUGAUUGCCUACGGUAGUCAUUAAUCAUCUCGAGCAAUAGUUCACCAAUUUCUUAUUAGGAGAUACAAAUUCAAGACGGCGCAUCUACUGGUGCAAAUUACCAUAUGUUUAAUUCCUUGUGGAUGAAAGUGGUUUGGGAAUUCAUUUUCUUUUUCAAAUCUGGCAGAUGCAUUUGAGUUAAAAAUGUGGUAGAGAUUUCGGGACCAGCAAUCUCUUUGGGCUUCACUCAUGAAGUCCAAGUAUUGCAAAACCUUACAUCCCAAAAUGGUUCGAUUUCACUAUUCUAUUUCCCUAUUUUGUCGACAUUUUUGCUCCAUUUGUUAUGUUGCUAAGCCUCAUAUACACUGGCUAAUUAGAUCUAGUGAUAAUAAUUUCUUGUAUGAUUGUUGUUUGUGGUUUAUACUUCUCUUUCUUUUUAAAAUUGGUACUGCUUCUAUGGUUCCUGUGUCAUUCUUUUGGCGAGGAGCAGUUUAGGAUAGGAGCAGGCUAUUGUCUGUUCUACUUCAAUUGUUGAGUAGAUUUUGUUGAUCACUAUUUUUGCUGUUAGACCGAAUAUUCUUCAUUGGACUCUAUCUAGGGAUGGGAAUUUUUCUAUAAAGACUAUUUGGGAGCUUGUUCGUGGGUCUCGGAUCUGGAAUGAGAUUUUUACUUAUAUUUGGCAGCAACAUAUUCCUAAUGAGGUAUUUUUUGUUAUUGUGGUUGUUGUAUGGUUUCUUAGCUGCGAAUGAUGCCUUGGGCUUGCACCAUUAAGAUAUUCAGGCAGUUAUUUUGUGAAUUGCUCAUUAGUUGCGCAAAUCUGACAACGAUUUUACUCGAUGAUUGGUCUUUGAUACCUUCCUUUCUAUCUCCUCAUACGUUGCUUGUUCACUGGCGGCAUUGUGCCCAUUCUUCGAGACAUUUUCGAGUCCUUCUCUCAUGCUUCAUCCUGUGGCAUGUCUUGAAGCCUUGAAAUGCUUUUAGAUUCGAUUCUAGUUGUCAUUGCUUUUUGAGUGGUUUCGGGCCUUAGACUCGCUAGCUCUGUUUUUGGUUUUAAGUUAUCCCAAUUGAGGGGUGUUUUGGAUACCCAUAUUAGAGAGGGUUUGUAGAUAUUUUGCCUCCUCUUUGACCGGUCGCUUGGUUUCCUAGUUGAGGCUACCGCCUGGCGUGAUGAAGUUAAAUGCGGAUGGUUACUCUAGGGGCACCUCUGGUAUGUCUGCUGCUGAAAGUGUUCUACAUGAUCAUUCGGGAGUAGUAUUAGUUGCUUUUGGUUCUUUCUUAGGGCACCAAUCAAUACUGUUUGCUGAGCUGUUGGCUAUGCUUGAAGGAUUAGAUCUUGUGCUCAGCUUGGGUUUACUGUUCUAGAGUUGGAAUCUAACUUGGCCACUGUGGUUUCUUUAGCUACUUCGCUUAUCUCCUGGGUUGGAUUCAUGCUUUAUUUUCUAGUCCUUUUAUUACUAUCAAACAUGUCUUUUGAGAGGCCACUUCAGCCACUGACUUCAUGGUUGAUUAAGCAUGUACUCAUAAGACUCAUCAGCGAUUCUUCAGCUCUGGGGAUCUUAUAUCUGGUCUAUUUGGCAUUCUUCAUUUAGAUGCUCUCGAGUUCCUUUAUGUUCAACAUUGAUUUCCCUUUGUUGGUUUCUUUUAUAGUUUGUUUUCCUUUUUUUUUUAAAGAAGUUUUGGUUUAUGUCCCCCUCUUCAUAUUCUUUUCAUCAUCUAAUUUUUCUUUCAUUGUAGGUAGAGGUUUGGCCUAAUCCCCCACCUUCAUGAUGGUUUAGAUUAAAAAAGAAAAAACCAAUUUGACGUUAGGUUUGAAUAUCCUAACUAGAGAGGGGCGAGGAUUGCUAAGGAUCCUUUGGUAAUGAGAUUCACAAGAUUUACACAUAAAUCAACUGGAAUAAUAUCGAUUUGUCAUCCUCACAAAUGGUGGAAAUCAGAGAAUCCACUUUUCGUAUGCUUAAAGUUCUUGGGAUUGAAAAAUUGCAACAAGCUAAAAAUGUGUCAUAAAGAUUUUUUCUUGGAAAAUGUUAUAAGAUUCUUCUACAGUUUUACCCUUUUCACCUAUUCCUCUUUCAAUGUGAAAAAAAAUGCAAAUUAGUUUAAACUUUAGAGAAUUUCAGAUGAAAUUAUUUCUGCAUCCAAUUAGAUUGUAUCUACUUGUUUGUCCAUUAUCAUAAUCUUAAUUUAGUAUAUAAUUGUAAUUAUCCAAAUAGGGCUUUUAAGGGGUAAAUAGAAGGGGUGCUAAUAGUCCCACUCUUUCCGCAAUUAUUAUUGUCCUCGAAUAUUUCUCCAACAUUUUAUUUCAUAUUUGACUUCUGCUACUAAUACUAUAACAAAAGACGCUUUUUGACCAACAAAGUGUUGGCUCCACUGGAAAUGAAGUCCCCUUAAGUGGCUUGACUGGGUUUGCUCCCCAGUUCGAGUCGCAGGGAAGUCCCCUUUGUUGGGAGAACAUGUGCCUCUCGAUUCGAGCGGGGACUUCUACUCUGGAUUGUGGUACGGGCUUAAAGGUGCCUCCCACAGUUAGGGCCCUCCCCAGGAUACCUCGUGGUCAAAACCAAAAAAAAAAAAAAGACGCUUUUUGAAUUACAUCAGUUUCUAGUUGCAUUUUAUUGAUAAAUUAGCCGAACGCAGAUUUUUUAUUUCAUAUUUGACUUCAGCUACUAAUAACAUUGUUUGAUGCAACAUUUUAUUUCAUAAUUGACUUCUGCUACUAAAACUAUAAUUCAAAAGAUGCUUUUUGAAUUACAUUAGAUUUUUUAUUGAAAACGAACAAAGGGAUUAUAUUUUACAAUUUAGGAAAUAACUAUAUUUAAUAGAGAUAAUUUUGGGAUAUAGCAUUUACUUUCUAUUGAGAUAUUUUCAUAUAUUAGAUAAAAGUUUACUUAAAAAACAAAAAUUAGACUUCACACGUUUAACAAAUAACUCGAAGGAAUAUGAAUAAGAAUUAUUAAAACAAAAAUGAUAAAUAAGGAUAAUUUUAAAAUUAAAUGCAAUUAAUUGAGAGUUGAUGACUAAUGAGAAAAAUUGGGGGAAAAUAUUAAAAAAUCAACCAACUACUCAUGGUUGAUAGUCAUGACCCACUCAAUUUGAGAAUUAAAAGGACAAAAGCCAUGUGUUGAAAACUAUGGUGUUCAUGGGGAAAUUUCAGGUAAAAGUCUAAAAAGCAGUGAAAUUAUCGUGCAGCGCACGGUGCCUGGACAAUGAGAUGAAGUUGAAAAAUUAUCACGAAACUUCAAGGAAGAGUGCCAAUAGUCUUACUCAUAACGCCGUGUCUAACUCAUAACAUAGAGUAAGAGUUCUACGAAAGUAACGGCAGAGUGCCAAUAGUCUUGACUCAUAACGCCGUGCCUAUAAUUUCAACUGAAAAAAUCUGCCAAGUCGAAAAAUUAGGUGGGCGUUUCAAUAACCCUUGAAUAUUCCAUGAAUCAUUGUCCAGGAAGCUUGGAAAAUGAGAUAUCAGGUCAAUAUAUGCUGCAGAGUCACGCUCAUUUUGGCUUAGUAAUUGUUUUCAUCUGAUCACAAUCUCUCUCUAAUCAAUUCAACUGCUUCUGUUGAUUAUGGCUUCUUUUUCUCGAAACAACAAGAAGUAUGAUGUUUUUGUAAUAUAAGCUGCCUUUUUUUAAGUGGAACUGCAAUUGAAGAACUGCCUUCAUCAAUUGAGCUUCUACUUAGGCUGGAGUACUUGGACCUUUCAGACUGUAAAAGGCUUAAGAGUCUCCCAAGCAGCCUAUGUAAGUUGAAAUCUCUUGAAAUUCUUGAUCUCAGUGGUUGCUCAAAUCUUCAGAGAUUGCCCGAAUGUCUUGGCCAGUUGUCCUCUCUAGGAACAUUGCUUCUAGAGAAAACCAAUAUUGAGAGAAUACCAGAAAGCAUCAUCCAAAUUUCUGUGUUGACUUACCUCCGCUUAAGCUAUUGUGAGAGGCUUCAAUCCGUACCAAAGCUUCCAUUCCUUAUACGAUGUUUAGAUGCCGAUAAUUGCACAUCGCUGCAAUCAUUAUCAGGUUUAUUCCCAAGUUCUGAAUUUUAUAUAUAAGCAGUGUUUUUUUACUAGAGCAAUAAUUUGUAUUCCCAAGUUCUGCAAUCAUUUAGUGCUAUUGUAGCAUUUUCAGACCGUCAUGUAGAUGAUGACAGAUGGUUUUCAUUUUCUUGUGAGUUCAAAAUGAAAACCGAAGAUUGUGAUCCGCAUGUCACGCGGAGAUUUCUGAAGCGCCUUGCUUACGUAGAAUCAGCUCACUUACUUUUGGGGUGCUAUUUUUUCAGUGAGGAGGAUUUCCAUGGUUUUUGGAAAUAUAAUUGCGUUCCUGAGGCAGUCCGCUUCUUUUUUGAUGAUUUUGAUCGUUUUCCAUCUUUGGAGUGCGAGUGCUGCGGGGUGAAAAAAUGUGGAGUCCAUUUACUUUACAUCCCAGAUUCUACGGAUUCAAUGGAAGUUCCAAGCAGAUGUUUCAACUGUUACGAAGAAGGCUUAAGAUUUUCAUGAAUGUAAUUUUAUUUUUUUCUCUUUUGCUAAUCACUAUUAAUAAUUAAAAAAAAAAAGCCAAGAUUAGUCUUGGAACAAAACAUGCAUGUAAUAAUUUUCGAGGGACGUGGUGCAUGUAAUAUUAGAUGAAGGGUAUAGUGAAAGCACGUAUUUAGCAUUGUAAAAUUACUGGCCUUCUUUUCCUGCAGAUUUAAUCUACUUGGCGUGUUAUUUUUUUCCCUAUUUUUUUUUUAAAUGCAGGUGUUUCAUUCAUGAUAUUUUAGGAUAACGAAAAAUGGACUGAAUAGAGAGAAGAGACUUCGUUUCACAUCUUCAAAGAUUGCAUCUGCAAUUGGCCUUUGCUUCAACAAAGGAUCAAUUAGCCAAAGCAAUGGAAACAAUAGCUUGAUUCUCCAAUCGUCAACAAUGCCUUGUAGUUUAUGCCGCCAGCAUAAUUCAACAGAACAAGCCCUCUAACAAGUAUUUGUAUGUAUGUAUGAUCAUUCAUUCUCAAUCAACCACCAAACUGAUGUCUACAAAGCCAUGAGGAUUGUCUCACAAGUCCCUUAUUUUCCCUCUCUUUUGGCCGGAGACCAGUAAACCAUUUGAAAUACGGAUGUGUAAACCAGAAAAUAAAUCACGAAGUUACACACUAGUCUGCUUUCGCACUCAUUCGGAACUAUAAUUGAUACUUGUUGAUGCGAGAUUCUGGUUACGCUCUUCCUACGACCAGGAUAUUUGCUCGAUCAACCUCACCUCGAUCAGGAUCUCUCCUCGUAUGCUUUCUUCUCCAAGUAUUCCUGCGUCCACAGAAACAAGUCAGAGCACGCCGGUUGUGUUCCCGGCGUAAACCCUCCGACGCUCAAGUCAGAUAUGAAGGCUUUUGGAACGCUUGCCACAGAUCUUAUGGCUUUUUGAUAGUUUUUCCUUCUUUUAGAAUUUCCCUUUUCUCUGUUAUAAUCUCAAAAUUGCUAACCCUUUUACCUUCGUUGGCUACCUUUUUAUAGGUUACUUCUGAGCUCGGGCCUCCCCUCCAUUCGCGCUCGUUAUCUUCCCACCUCUCGAACGUGGACUCCCCAUUUCCGUAAUUGUGGGUGGUUGCGUGGCCUUCGUGCCUAGAUUCUCGGAUUGGAGAGCAUGCCCCGCCAACCGUCAUUGACUGGGUCUCCUCGAAUCAACACUUAGCAGGAAUACAACAGAAAUGGCUUUAUGCUUCUUACAGGAAAUUGGCCUCGCGGAUGACGUGCUCGUGGAUGAGCAGGAUAUUCCUGCUCCUGCUCCCCCGGAUACCAGGCUCUUACGGGACACACCGGUUCGCAGAACUCUGCUAUCAGAUAUCUGCUCAUCAUGCCUGGUCUCGUCGAUAUGGUAUGGUGUAUAAAUUAUACUAAAGUGAAGGCUGGAUCAAUAAGAAAUUCAAAAUGUUUCAUCACAUUUGGGGCUUGAUGAUGCCAUAGAAAGACCAUACCAAUUAUGACGAACAGUAAAAUGUGAACAAGAACAAGCAUACAUUUAAGAAAGCAGAGAAGCAUGAUUAAAAUAAAUGAUUCUUCUCACUAUUCUAUGUUGUUGGAAAUGGACCAAAAUAAAAAAGAAACCAUAUAUGGAACGUCACAACAAGAAUAUUUGUGCAUUUGUACAUCAUAGGAUAUUGGGAAGACAUCAGCAGAAAAGUGCAAUUUUUUUUUUUUUGGGGGAAAGGAACAGAGAAGUGCAAGUCAAAAAGGAGAAAAAAUAAAAACAGAGAGAUUAAAAGGAAUGCAAUCUAAUUAAUCGUCUAAGGAGGCUACUAUGCUACAUUUAGCCAUUCGUUGAAUAGGCAACUUGUCUUCUAGUACAACUUUAAAUUUACCAAGAUUGAGAAUUUUCCUUCGGAAGAAAAGUAAUUUGUAUAGUGGCCAUUACCAUCUUCAUCCCAACGGUAAGCAGCUCCAUACUAAGGAAAGAGUGAAAUAGGUGUGCUUUACUUGUAGAAGCUCGUUCCUGUCCAGAGUGAUUAGUAAGUUGUUUCACCAUGACCCCCAUUAUGGUGACUGGAAAAAGAAAAAAAAAAAAUUUGCCCAACACAGAAGUGGCACCCAAGAAGUCCUACUUAAGAGGCUUCAUACCCUGCACAAAUCAGAAAGUUUUUAAAAAUUUUCAUGUUCCAGGUUCCAAAUGAAGAUUGCCCAUUAAAAAAUUACACACAUAAUGUAUGUAAAGCAAUUAAAACAGAAAAACAAGGAUAACCCAGAAACAAUCCAACCAUCAAUAACAUAAAACUUUUGUAAUUCUGGUAAAGUGAAUGAGAAGCAAAACAUACAUUUCACGUAAUAAUGAAGAUACAUCUUUUAAUCAGUUUUUGCUCUUAUUUUAUUCUCGUACUUCCUUCCAAUAACAAUUCAUAAUGCAGGUUGGUAUCUUGAAAAAUUAUAUCAUACAUUUCUCUUAUCAAUGGGGCAGGUUGCUAUUGAACAUUAUUCAUAAACAAAGAGCCAAAUAUGCUUUAAAGCUACUUAAAAAUAUGCCAUCAGGCAUUGACGCAGACACUCAACAACAAAAAAACAGAGUUAUCAGCACUUAACAACACAAAAGUAAAAAAGAAAAUACUCUCACUCAAGUAUUAUAUUUGUUGCACAAAUAAGAAAGACGAUAACAAUUUUAAAUUAACCAACAGGUUGAAUCUUAUCGUAAUACACACUAUCAGCUAUGAAUCAUCCGAUAGAAUCAUCCGUGACAAUGCUCCAGUGCUUAACCUGCCACAUUUAUAAAACCUUAUUUCAAAUAAAAUUACAGUUAAGGGCAAAGAAGAAAUAAACACAUGUAGGAUUUUUUUCCCAACAAAUUACUUACAUUAAUAAUCAAUCCCUUUUUUUUUUAAUUUCCUACCAUUUUAAUUCUUAUCUAACUAAGAUAAAUUGUAUAAAUAUAGAAUAAUCUAUUUUUCUUUUCGUAUUUCUUAUUGAUUAAAUAUUUCGUACUCAAGAUUACUUUCAAAUUACAAUCUAAAAUAUGUGUUAUUUAAGCUAAUGAUUAGCAUUCAAACUUUAUCACCUAGAAAACUUUUUAAUUUGUAUGUAGGAUAACAAUAAGAUUGUAAAAGGGAUGAAAAAUAGCACAAUACUACUUUGAGUUUUAACAAUAAAAAAAGAUUAAAUGAAAAACUAAAAGAGCGUCUUGGAAAAUAAAAUAAAUAUAACUGAAAAAAAAGGUUUCAUUAAGAGACUAGAGGGGUGCCAAUAGUCCAACUUUUAAAAUAAAGUUUUAUCAAUUAUUGAUCCCUUUUUCUGCAAUUAUUAUUCCCAACAAAUAUUUCUCCAACAUUUUAUUUCAUAUAUUUACUUCUACUAUACUCUAACAAAAGACGCCUUUUUGGACUACAUCAGUUUCUACUUUCUAGAUGCAUUUCAUCCAUUGUUCAAUUUCUCUAUUUUUUUUUCUCUAAACAACCACUUUCUGUCAGCUCUCUUAAAAUUUAUUAAGGAAUCUAUGUUGAAGACCAUUUCAUCCUUAGUAUUGUGUAAAUGUAUAAAAAUACAUUUUACACUUUCAAAUUUAAAAUGACCUUCUUUUAGCACAAAAUUUUAAAACAAAUACCUCUAACUAAGCAACAAAAUGUAGAACACAUGAUAAGUACCAUAUCAGCCAUAUAAAAAGUGAAUCACACUAUGAUAUAUGUGCAUUUAUUUUGAAAAAUCAUCACGUAAAUAAUGGUUAUAUUGAAUCUAAGUAAGUGAAUAUCAUACAUGACACAACCCGGCCCAGCCUCUCUGCCGGAUUCGAGGUGAAUCAUGUGAUCUUAUAUCUAAAGCUUGUGAAAUAAAUUUAAUUCAUGAAUGCAUAACACUAGUCUCGGCCUUUGUUAUAAACAUAUAAUAACAUAUGUGACUCAUUCAAAAAUAUAUUCAAAACUUGCACAAUUUACAUCUUACUGUACAUACAUACACUUUAGAUAUAUACAUAUAAACAUAAACAUGCUCAAAAUAUAAGUUAUGCAGUAAUGCGUGUUGUAGCCCAACAUCAACUGAUUAGAAACUGAACUGCACAAAAUCCUAUGAAAAUCUUAAAGAAAUGGGGUAAAUAUGAAAAUAGUAUACUUGUGGCUAAAUGAGUGGAUAUAAUUAUAUAUAUAUAAAUAAAUUAGCGCUCUAGUGCUUGUACAUAAUUGUAUGACAUAACUUCGCACUGAACGCAUUACACAAGCAAACAUGAAAUCAUAUAUUUAUACAUGAUAAAACUGCACCAAAUAAUAUCUAGGAGAAAUAACUCUUCAAUACUCACUGGAAUCAUCGUUGCACAAGUAAAGUAGGGGAAACACCUCUCAAUACUCAGCCGAAUUAACUACAUCACAAGGGCCGAGUAAUCUAACUCUCAAUACACAUACAUAGAGCCUAUGGGGAAGGGUACACAUAUGAUAUCUGGCAAUUACAUCUCAUUAUUCAAUUAAUCAUAUAAUAUCAGUAUAUAUAAUCAUGACAUGAUACUAAAUCAUACUAUCAAGCAUCAAUACUUUGUAGAAUACAUAUAAGUAAUAAUAGUAAUCCACUCACAAAACAUUUUUCACUAUGGGGUUUGUUGGAGCUCCUAUAGAUUCCUUAAUUCUUGAAUUUCUCCUAAAAUAUAGGGUUAAAAAAUUAACUAUUAGAACUGAUAUAAAAACUUUUACAUAUGACAUUAACUAAAUCAUAAUUGUUCAAAUUUCUUAAAUACGUUACCUACUGACUUACUGGAUAUAGAUAUAACUAUCCAACUCUCUUUCCUAUAAUAUUUCCUCUCAAUUCCUCUUUUCAAAAUUAUUUUUCGCUCUCGGUUUUUCUUUUCUUUAUUUUUUCUUCUUCAUCUUUUAUUCUUCUGUUCUUUUCCACUUCUUCUUCAUCUUUUCUUCUUUUGUUCUUUUCCUCUUCUCUUUUCCUUUUGUUUUCUUCCCUUCUCACCUUUUCCUUUCUUUUUCUUUUCUCUUUGAAUUGCUUUGUUUUAGUUUGAUUCUUGAAAAUGGUGACAGUUGCUUCAAUUCUUUACUUUAUACAUAUCCAUUACCUCCAAUCAUGCACGACAAGCACAUAGCAUGCAUGUGCUUUGCUUUAAGCCGAUAGCUUGCUAAUUAGCCACAUGUGCUCCCUUUUGGCUUGCAUGUGCGUCACAAUAAAUGCAUUAAUUGGUUGUAUUAUUUUUAAUGUAUUAUAGAAUUUCUUUUAAUGAAGGACGUAGCCAACAAUUUUAUCCAGUUAAACAUGUUCUUUGACAUAUAAUAUAGUUUAUGGUCAAACAACUCAUAAGUAGUUGAAAUUAAAUUAUUUUCUAAUCUCAAUUUUCCUUUCCUCUCAAUUUUAAAAUACUUUAAAAGAUUUUCAAACAUAAGAUACAAUGGUAUACAAUUGAAGCCUAAUCCAACAUUGAAAGAUUAAAUAAAAUUAAUUUUCAUCACUACUCAAGAGACUUGAAAGGACAUUAAGGUAGCAUUUAUUUUUUAUUUAAAAUCUGAAUAGGUCAGAAUUUGAUUAAAAUCUGAAUGGCCUUGAAUAUAAAGGUUUCAAUAACAUGUUAUUUUUUUAAUAUCUAAAAAUUAAGUGGCAUCUUGUUUGAUUUAUAAUAAGAAGGGAAAUUAUCAUUCGUAUACCCUAAAUUUGUGCUUCUAUAAAAAAAUAUUACAACACUUUAAGGGUGUAUCAAUCAUCCACCCUAAAUUGACAAAAGUUAUCUGCCGACCACUAAACUGUUAGCUACCAUUUGAAAGUUAACGGAACUGUAGCUAAUUAACAAUUUUACCCUUGAAAAUUAUCACUUGUAUACCCUUAAAAUAACUUAUUAUCACUUCUAUACCCUAAAAUUAUCACUUGUAUCAUAUAAAAAGACCAUAUUACCCCCCUGACGUCAUCAUAUUUAAAUGGCAAUUAACGGUUUGGUGGACGGCAGAUACAUUUUGUCAACUUAGGGUGGACGACUGAUAUACCCUGAAAGUAUUGUACUAAAUUUGAUAAUGGAGUAAACUAAGGGUAUACGAUUGAUAAUUUCCCUAAUAAGAAAACACAUUAAAUGUGGUUAUUUAGCGGUUAUGUCUUUAUAGGUCAAAACGAAUAAAAGGGAUUAGGCUUCGUAGUUUAUGAAAUAACUAUAUUGAAUUGAAAUAUUUUUAGGAUAUAGUAUUUAUUUUCCAUUCAAACAUUUUUUUUCAUUUCGGCAAAGGUCACAAAAAUUUACUUUUUAAAUUCAAAUGUAAAUAUCUAAAAAUCAGACAUAUGUUACAAAAAAAACAAAUAGCUAAUUUUUUAAAAAAAAUUAAACUUCAUAUGUUUAAAAUCAACGCUACGAAACAUGAAUAAGAGCUAUUAAAACAAAACAAAAAAGAAUAAUUUUGAAACUAAAUACAAUUAAUUGAGAGAUGAGGACCGAUAAGAUAAAUUCAGAGAUAAAAAGUAACAUAUCACCCUACUUAUUGCUGGCAGUUAUGAGCAUUAAAGCACAGAAGCCGUACCAACAAAGUGGUGGCUCCACUGGCAAUGGGGUCCCCUUAAGUGGCUUGACUGGGUUUGCUCCCCAAUUCGAGUCGUAGGGAAGUCGCCUUUGUUGGGAGAACAUGUGCCUCUCGGUUCGAGCGGGGACUUCUAGUCUGGGUUGUGGUACGGGCUUAAAGGUGUCUCCCACAGUUGAGGCCCUCCCCAGGAUAUCUCGUGGUUAAAACAAAAAAAAAAAAAGCGCAGAACUCGUGUGUUGAAAAGUAUGGUGUUCGUGUGGACUUUUCAGCUAAAAGUCUACAAAGCAGUUGAAUUAAUCAAUCGUCGUGGAGUGCACGGUGCUUGGACAUUGAGAUGAAAUUGAAAAAUUAUCACGGAACUUGAAGGAAGGUUCAUGGCAUCGAUUUAUUCUACAGAGUCACGCACAUUUGGUUCAAUAAUUGUUUUCAUCCGAAUCAAAAUCUCUCUCUAAUCAAUUCAACUGUUUCUGUUGAUUAUGGCUUCUUCUUCUCGAAACAACAAGAAGUAUGAUGUUUUUGUUAGUUUCAGAGGAGAGGACACCCGAGACAACUUUAGUAGCCAUCUCUAUUCUGCUCUGAGUCGACAAAAUAUCCAAACUUUCAUUGAUGACCAACUUAACAGAGGAGAUGAAUUUUCGGAGUCACUUGUGAAUGCAAUUGAAGCAUCAGCCAUUUCAGUUAUCGUCUUCUCAGAAGGGUAUGCAUCUUCCAGAUGGUGUCUCGAUGAACUUGUAAAGAUCCUCGAGUGCAAGAAAGAGUAUGCACAGAUUGUGAUUCCGGUUUUCUAUCGGGUUGAUCCAUCAGACGUGAGAAACCAAACUGGGAGUUUUGGCAAUUCAUUUUCGAAGCUUGAAGAAAGGUUUAAGGAGAAUUCAAAGAAGCUGCAGACAUGGAGGAAUGCUUUGAAGGAAGCAGCCACUUUGUCUGGCUUUCCUUCUCAGAACAUCAGGUGAAAAGUUACUUUUAAUUUCGCAUACUAAUAUUCAACACUGUAAAUAAAAUUCACACAGCACUCUUAGUUAAAUUUUCCAGAUGAUAAACUACACUUUUAAAUUUUUUUCAUGCAUCAAAUUCUAGACUUCUUGAACUUCCCCACUUUUGAACUCCUAUAAAAGAAGUUUUGCAGAAUUAAUAAUAAAAGCUCCAGAAGUUUACAAUAUAUUUUAACAAAAUUAAUGGUGUUCUGUCGUUUUUUAAUCAAUUUCAAUCUCUUACUCAUAUACCACUAGGAAAAAAAAAAUCUCUUCCACAUAUAACAUAUUCUUGUAAUUAAAGAGUUAAUAAUUUAUAGGGAGAUUGGAAAUUUCCUUACUCAAAUCAAUAUAUACCACUUAUUUUGACUAUUUUUACAAUAUUUAAUAACUCUCCUGGUACCAUCACUUUACAAUUGGACAACGAGCAAUCUCCCUUAUUUCAAUUUUAUGCAAAUCCCUUCUAUUUGAAGUUACUGCUGCUAAUUUUAUGUAUUUGGUAGGCUUGAAUCGAAACUUAUAAACGAAAUUGCUAAUCACAUUUUAAAGAGACUGCUGGAUCAAGUUUUUCGGCGGAAUGAUAACAAAAACCAGCUGGUUGGAGUAGAAUCAAGAGUUGAGGAAAUUCAAUCUCUACUAGGUGUUCAGUCGAAAGAUGUUUACGCUUUAGGGAUUUGGGGCAUUGGUGGUAUAGGCAAAACAACAAUCGCUAGAGCUACUUUCGACAAAAUCUCUAGCGAUUUUGAAGGUUCUUGCUUCCUUGAAAAUGUUAGAAAAGAGUCACAAAAACCGGGAGGAUUAGCUUGCUUGCGACAAAAACUUCUUUCAAAUUUAUUGAAAGAUAAAAAUGUGAGUCUUGUUAUUGGUCUUAAUUUUAGAAGGCUCAGCCGCAUGAAGGUUCUGAUUGUUUUUGAUGAUGUGACUGGCUUCAGCCAAUUAGAAUCUAUAAUUGGAAGUCUUGAUUGUUUGACGCCUGUGAGUCGAAUCAUAAUAACCACCAGAAAUAAACAAGUGCUUAGAAAUUGGGGGGUGAGUAAAAUAUAUGAGAUGGAGGCAUUAGAAUAUCAUCACGCUCUUGAGCUUUUCAGUCGACAUGCCUUCAAACAAAACCAUCCUGACGUUGGUUACGAGAAAUUUUCAAGCAAGGUAAUGAAAUAUGCUCAAGGUGUUCCUUUAGCUCUUAAAGUGUUGGGUUGCUUUCUAUAUGAAAGAGAAAAGGAAUUCUGGGAAAGUGCAAUAAAUAAAUUGCAAAGAAUCCUCCAUCCAAGUAUCCUAGAGGUAUUAAAAAUAAGUUACGAUAGUUUGGAUGAUAAGGAGAAAAAUAUUUUCCUUGAUGUUGCUUGUUUCUUUAAAGGCGAGGAUGUAAAUCUAGUAAUGAAAUUCCAUAAUGCAAGCGGUUUCUACCCAGAAAUAGGAAUAAGUGUUCUUGUUGAUAAAUCUCUCAUUGCUAUUGGUUCAUACAGCAAGAUAAGAAUGCAUGAUUUACUACAAGAGCUGGGUAGGGAAAUUGUUCGACAAGAAUCAAUUAAUCUUGGAAACCGCAGUAGGUUGUGGCAUCAUGAGGAUAUCUAUGAAGUUCUUACAUAUAACACGGUAAGCAGUUUGUUGUGGAUAAUUAUUUUGAAAUAUUCUAGCAUUUACAAACUUGAUAUGAAUAUAUUUAUAUAUGCUCGAACUGAUGAGUCUUAGAAUUAAUAGAAGAGCAACAAUGAUUAGAAAAAAACCAUAUCCGUUAGAUGACGUAGCAAUAAAUUAUAAAUGCCAUGACAACUUGCAUAAUCAUUUGCAAGCAUAAUUGAUAUGCCAAUUUGUAUAGUACACAGACGGAAUUUUUAUAUUAAGUAUUACUUGUGUUAUUAUGUUUCUUUGUGCAUUUGCAAUUAAAAGUUUAACUGCCUAGCAAUAACUAAAAACAUGAAUUAUUGAUUUGAGAAAUGAUAAAGAGUCCACUCCAAUCCCACAUAAACUCGACUAAAUAAUAAAUAAAAAGUUGAAUUAUUAACUAAGCUACCUCUAAUUGUGAAUUAGUGAGAAACUUGCCCCAAAAAUUUGACUUGGAGGGGUUGAAGUGCGAUUCAUUGGUGGAAUACACAUAUAUUUCAUUUGAUUUUAACUUUAUUGCUUUUUCAUUUAUUUUUAGGGAACAGAAAAAAUUGAGGGCAUAUGUUUGGAUAUGUCAAAAGUAAAAGAGCUCUGUCUUAAUCCCAAUACUUUCACACAGAUGCCUAAAUUGAGAUUUUUAAAGUUCUAUAGUUCAUCAGUCAAUGGAGAGAACAAAUGUAAGAUAUCUUAUUUGCAAGAUUCCGGAUUUGCUGAAGUGAAAUAUCUUCACUGGUAUGGAUAUCCGUUGAAGUCAUUGCCGUCAAACCUUGGUGCAGAGAAACUUGUGUUACUUGAAGUGCCUGAUAGUGACAUUGAACGACUUUGGGAUUGUGUGAAGGUAUGCAUAUCUUAUUAUAUAUGUGCAAUCUUUCAAUAACAACCUUAAAUUAUUAUACGUGGUAACGAUUUUGUCUUGGCCUCUUUUUUGACCGAGCAGCAUUAUAGUAAGUUAAACCAGAUAAUCCAUGCUGCCUGCCAUAAGCUAAUUGCCAAAAUUCCAAAUCCCACGUUGAUGCCACGUCUGAACAAGCUAGUUACGUUGAAUCUAAGAGGUAGCAAAAGCCUGAAAAGUCUUCCAUCUGGACUUGGAAUUUCUUACCAAACUUGAUCUUUCGGGCUGCUCAAAACUGAAAAGGCUUCCAGAGAUCUCAUCAGGUAAUAUAAGCUGGUUAUUUUUAAGUGGAACCGCAAUUGAAGAACUACCCUCAUCAAUUGAGCUUCUACAUAGGCUCGGGUACUUGGACCUUUCAGAUUGUAAAAGGCUUAAGAGUCUCCCAAGCAGCCUCUAUAAGUUGAAGUCUCUUGGACUUCUUAGUCUCCGUGGUUGCUCAAAUCUUCAGAGAUUGCCCGAAUGUCUUGGCCAAUUAUCCUACCCAAUAAUAUUGAAUCUAGCGAAAACCAAUAUUGAGAGAAUACCAGAAAGCAUUAUCCAACUUUUCGUGUUGGGGUACCUCCUCUUAAGUUAUGGUGGGAGGUUGGAAUCCGGACAAAAGCCUUCAUUCCUUGAACGAGGUUGCUUGGCACUGCAACCAUUUUUAGGUUUGUUCUCUAAGUUAUGAAUCUUACAGGCAAUUUUUUUUGACCGGAGCAGUAAUUUUAAAUUGGAAGGUAAUUCUACUGCAGGAAUUAUUGAAGAUACCCUGAGAAUUCAGCAUACGAACCAUAUGCCCGAUGUACGUUUGCAAGAAAUAUGGCAAGAAGAUUGGCUAAAUGUGUGUCUUUAACUCUCUCUACUUACAAUUUCUACAAUCUUUUUUUUUUUGGGUUUAAAAUUAUGUUUUUUUGGUACAGAGAGGUUUUUCCAUGGGCAAAGGUCAUAUAGUACUACCUGGGAAUGAAAUUCCAAAGUGGUUUGAGUUUCAAAGUGUGGGAUCUUUUAUAACCUUGGAGAUGCCGCCAGAUUCCUUCAAUAAUAGCAGAGUGCAGGGCAUUGCAUUUAGUGCUAUUUUAGCAUUUUCAGACCGUCACGUAGAUUGUGGCAGAUGGUUUUCAUUUUCUUUUGAGCUCAAAGUGAAAACCACCAAAGAUUGUGGUACGCAUGACACACGAUUACUUCAUAGCAGAGUUAAUUAUGUAGAAUCAUAUCACUUACAUUUGGGGCACUAUCUGUUCUGUGAAGAGAAUUUUAAUGGUUUUUGGAAAUGCAAUUGCAUUCUUGAGGCAGUCCACUUUAAUGUUUUUCCCCCUUUGGAGUGCCAGUGCUGCGGGGUGAAAAAAUGUGGGAUCCAUUUACUUCACACCCCAGAUCCUACGUCAAUGGAAGACCCAAGCACAUGUUUCAACUGUAACGAAGAAGACUGAGAUAGGUGUCAUUUUCACUCAACUCACCUGAGUUGUGAAUCCAUUUGCUUAAACAUGUAUGCACUUUUUCAAGUAUCUCUACCAAUUCCAUAUUUGGAAUGGUGCAUUUGAUUCCAUAGUUGAUUUGGUAUCGUCUAUGGUUAGAAUUUAUAUUUACAAAAAUGACUUGUAAGGAAAGGAUUGAAGAUGCCUGUGAACUUAUAUUUCGAUUUAGAUUAUUGUAUCUUUUUCAUGUAUAAAAUUGGAUCCUAUCAUUCACAUAUCAUUGACAUGAGCAAUAUGGAUUACUAAAUCAUUAUUCUUUAUUAUUGUGCUGAAUUUGAUUUUUUAUUGAAUAAUUUGAUAUAUUUCUUGAAUCAAUUUGGAGCUUCUACAACUUGUCAGAGAUCAGUUUCUCCAACAUUCCUUUCGGCGCCAAAAGAUAACCAAGCGGUUGAAUAAGAAUUGAUAUAUACAACAUAAAUACAAGAGUUGUUUUGUCUUUUUACAAUAGGAAGAAUACAUAAUGCUCGUUAAAACUUGCUGAUGAGAAAGUAAAUUCCUCAGAAAUUAAAUGUUUCAGCCAACCAAGGAAGCAGCUUUUCAUGGACCAACUCAGACUUGUCGUCAUGGGGGCAAUGUCCUACUCCUUCCAAUACAAUUAGCUUCACAUUUGAGAGUUUAGAAGGCAGAGAUGAGAAGUAUUUACCAACAGGUCCAUCGAGGGGUGUGAAUGGAUCCUUAUCACCCCAUAAAACUAGUACAGGUAUAGAGAUUGAUGGCAUCAAUUGAACUGGGUUCGGCCCUGGUGGGCCUGUUACAAUCGAAACAAAUGCAUCAAGUGCCCCUUCCUCAUUGGCAGGCUCUCGUAUGAUCUGCAGUUUUGAGGUUGAUUCAUGAAUUCUGAGUAGCCAUGUUUGUAACAGGUUAAAAUGGCAUAUAAGAGGAGAAUAUUAAUACCUCAACCAGUGUUUCAUCCACAGAUUCCUUAUUUGCAUAAAUGGACAGUAAAAUAUUCCUCAGUGUUUCCCUACAGCACCAAUAUAUGAACAUCAUAGAGUUUUUUUUUUAAAUUUUGACUCUAGUGUCUUGGGAUAAUGAACAAUGGACUGAAUAGAGAGAAGAGAAAAUACCUUUGUUUCACACGCUCAAAUAUAGCAGAAGCAAUUGGCCUUUGCUUCAACAAAAAAUCAAUGAACCAAAGCAAUGGUAACAAUAGCUUGAUUCUCCAAUCAUCAACAAUUGCCUUGUUGUUCAUGCCACCAGCACAAUUCAACAGAACAAGCCCUCGAACAAGGGUUUGACUGGAUUCUUAUGGUAGAAAAUAUAGCAGGUUUGUCGUAAACCAUAGAUACCAAAAAGGAUAAUUAGGGACAAGUGAUUCUUUGCAAGCAAGUUGAAGAAUAUCUGAUGUCAAAGGGGAAGUUAAAAUAAAUAUACCUGAGGCAGCGAUAACACAAGCUAGGCUUCCAACAGAAUUACCUAUAAGCACAGUUGGCUUCUGAACAACUUCAUCCAAGAAAUCCAAUAUUAGCUGUAUCAGUGAAUCUCACUCAAGUUAGCAAGGAAAAUAACUAAAGUUCAAGUGAUUGAUGACGUAAGUACAUAGAAAGAUCCAACUUCUGGGUAGGGAACAUUGCACACCUGAGCCCAUGCCUCCAUGGUAUAUGAAUAACCAGCUGGCUUUUCUGAAGCUCCAAAUCCAAGAAGGUCAAUUGCAUAAACCGUGUAGCUCUUUGCCAGGGUGCCGAUAUUCCUGAAAUUACCUCAGAGAUGACAAGAAAAAUAUCAAUUCCUCGCAUUAUUUAAUAGGAUAAAGGAGUAGUGAACACACAAAUUUUCAUUCCCCUCUUCUACGGAGCGGUAAAAUGAAUACUUUUUCACUAGAUUAAGAAUCGGAAAAUGGAAGAAGCAUAUAUCCAUAAAAGGGUAAUAUGAAAUGGAACCCUGAAACUCAGAUCACUGGUUUGUCAUCGUCUAGGUGCAAGGAAUAGAACUAAGUGUUAAUGCCAAUGCACCAUGAAAUAAUGAAUAGAUUUUACUUUCAUUAUUCUUUUGCUUCAUUGAUCUUAAUUAAUUAUUAGAAGUAUAACACAUAUAAAUCCAUCCCUGGAGUUCAUAAUACAUAACAGAGUCAGAGAUAUUACAUACAUAAGGUAAAGACAUGCUCCAUACAAAAAAUAAAAAUUACAGUCGAAAAUACCCAGAACAUAAUUUGAAUUGAAUUCACAAUAAAGGAGCUACAUUUUUGUGCACCCAAUAAUCAACCCGCUAGACAAUUCACAACAACAAAGAGCAAUCUUAUCUCGCUAACCUGCGCCAGUGAGGAAUGGAGGCACCAAAGCCAUGGACAAGGAGUAGAGGAGGAGAAUCGGGAUGUGAAUUUGGAGUUGAAGAAACCAAGUAAUUGAUGGAGUACUGACCCUUCCAUUUCCACAUUUUGUAACUCUCCCUUAUCUCAUUAACCUCCAGUUCCAGUGCAGCAGAAGCAGAAUCCCCUCCACUGCUACUGUUAGUAUAACUGAUGGAAACAUUUUGUCUCUUCUNNNNNNNNNNNNNNNNNNNNNNNNNNNNNNNNNNNNNNNNNNNNNNNNNNNNNNNNNNNNNNNNNNNNNNNNNNNNNNNNNNNNNNNNNNNNNNNNNNNNUCUUUUCUUACUUUUUCAAUUGGAUAUUUUCUGUGGCCUGGCUUGGCCUGCUCCUCCCCUGCUUCCACCUCUAUGAGACUGUGGCUAUGACAAAAACUUUUUAUAUACUUAUUUAUUUAUUGGGCUUAUUCCACUAUAAUAUAAAAAUUUUACUGAUAUUCCUCAAAAAUCAAAAUGAUAAUACUUCGUCUAAAAAAUAAUUAUAAAACAUACAUGCUAUGUUUUUAAAUUUUCAAACAAAGAAGAACUUUGUAGAGUUAAUUAACUAGAUUUUCUUUAGUUUACUUUCUUGUGAUUUAGAUUAUUUUAUUAUAUUUAGCUACAAAGAUUGCUUUGUCAUAAGUUUAAAUUGAUUAUUUUACCCUUAUAAGGUAAAACCAUUAAGAAUUUACUCUAAUUUCAAUAUUUUUUUAAUUUUAUACCAAAUUCAUUGUUUCUAAUACUACUUUACUAGUAUGAGUUUUAAUCUUUAAUUAAACUAAAAUAGUAUCUUUAGGGCAUGAUACUCAUGUAAAUUAUUGGGAUGUCAAUUUUAUGUUAUUUACACACUAGAGAAAAUCACAAUUAGAUUUUAUUUUAAAAUAUUAUACUAUAAGCCACAAAAUUAGAUACAUAAAUUAUUAGAUACAAUAACUUGUGUUUAUUAUGGUAAUUUAGUCGCUAUAUAUCAUAAUAAUAAAAUACUAAAAUAAAACUUGUAUUAAAGUUUUAUGAUUAAAGAUGGUCAAAAAACCCAAGAAAAAAAUUAAUAGAAGGAUUUAACUGAUUAACUAUACAAAAUUUUUAUUAAUUUGUAUUUUUUAAAAAAAUAUUGUGAAUUCAUUGCAAUUAGUUUCUAGAAGUAGGGUGAAUUUACAAAAAUAGUGGGGUGCAAAUACCCUUACCCAGAUACUCCAUAAAAAGUGAAAACUAUAUUACCUUUUUUGAUGUACUUCUCUUGAAUUUUUUAUUUCUAAGGAUAAAGUUUAAUUCAUUCCUAAAUAAAAUGAUAAUCUCUAAUUUGCUCUCAAUGUAAACCUCAAUUUAUUCUUCAUUUCCGUCCAAAAGAUGAGGGGCAAAUAAGGAAUGUGUUCAUGGUUUUUUUGUUUUAAUCUUCUUAACAGGAUCCAGCUACUUUGCGUCAGGGGUUUGGUACCCCAGUCUUUUGUCCUAUAGCGAUUAAGCCUUUAGAUUGGUUGCAAAUAUAGUUGACGGUUGAGAUUUAACAGUUUGAAAAUGGGUAACCGGGUAGAAGAAUAGUAUCAGUAAAACAAAAAAGAAAUGGUAAUGAACGUCUUUCUCCCCACCGCUGAAGUGUGCUGUAAUAUUGAAACUGUUUUCAGAAGCUUCAAUUAGUGGGUCAGUUAAUUUUCUUAGGUUGGGGUUUGGGAAAAAAAGUAUUGAUUUAGAGGGUGAGUGGGUAGAAAGUAGAUUACGGGUACUGUGGCGUAAACUGGGGAUUUAAGUGAUGAAUAAGUUACGCUGUUAGGUUAGAAGUUGUCGUCAUUUGCUGUCAUCUAGGUCAACAUACAACCAUUUGAGUGGUGCUGGAGUAAAGUGAGCAGAGCUAAACUGUAGCGAUUUCUGUGGAGAGUUAUAUUUGGAGGUCAUAUCUGCUCGCAAUUUCGUUGCAAUUAGUUGUCCGCGGGAGCCUUAAUACGACAUUGAGGUAUGUAUUAACUGUGAAAAUUUAUAUGUGGCUCUUAAUUUGAGUGCACGUGUCUAAAUAGUAAACGGUAGUUGAUUGGGUACGCAUGAACAAGUAAAAAUAGGCAUAGAAUGUUAGGUUUGGUUGUAAAAUAGCAAUUGGGAGGAAGAAGUAGAAAUUGGGAAUAUAUUAUGUUAUGAAAAUUGAUAUGUUAGUUAUUAUGCAACUGAUAGAAGGAAACCUUGAUGAGGUGAUUUAGAUUUUGAUAGAUAAAUAUAUGUGAAACAGUAGACAUCAGAUUAAUAAUUAGUGUAUAGGCAUGAAAAGGCAGGAUUAUUUGAACAAGCAAUUCUGGAAAAACCAAACAUUGGUGGUUGUUGUACAAGCAUUGCAAAAAAUGUUAAUAAUUUAUAAUGGCGUAAGUAAUGUAGAAUUUGUUUGGCUUGUACACAAGUGUGUUCAUUUAAGUUGAUGUUAAUUCGUGAGUGGAAUAGGGAUGGUUUAUUCGGUUAUGGAAUGUGAGGUUGGUUUAUUUCGAAAAGACUUUAUGAAAUGUAGUAGACACAGCUGUUGGAAAUAAUUUGCCACAUAUUUAAAUGACAUUGAGAUUUGAAUAAUUGCAUUUCAGCUGACAGGUAAAGGAAAUAAUGUUUAUUCCAUAAUGGAAAACAGUAUAAAUGAUAGAUUAUGGUUGAAAUAGGUUGCAAGAAUGGAUGGAGUGACUAGUCGCAAGCGAAAGGAAUGGGAUUCCAGCAGGUGCAAUGAAUGUGUAGAAGAUGGCAAUGGUGGAGGAAAUGAAGGUGCUCGUUGCAACAAUGGAUUCGUAACUUUUUUGUAAGUUAUGGGGUUUAAUUUAAUUUGGGUAAAAAAAUUAAAGUAAAUGACAGCCGAAGAUGGUAUUUAUGUGAACUGUGAUGAAUAAUGAGUUGUGCUUUGGUUUAUUAAUUUGAUUAGUGGGGAAGCGGUACGACGAAUGAAGGCAAUCGAUGGAAGGGCAUGCAUUACAAAAGAGGUGAGUAAGUUGAAAGUGUAGUCGAUUGUGUAAAAAAUGAAUUUGUGGUUGUUUUUUAAAAUGACUAAAGCAUAUGAGGGGAAUGACUCAGGUUCGAAAGGAAAUUGGACAAGAAUUUAAGAAUUUGCCACCUGAACGGAAAAGCAAAUAUAGAAGUCAGCAGCAUCGAGAAGACAAAUAUGUGGAAGGUGAAGCCAAAUUUCUCACUAGGUGUGCUCCUGAUAGGCUAGCAGCCCUUAUAGCAGAAUUGACAGAGGAACAAAAAGAAGCAGCAUCUGAGAUAGGAUUGGGCAGAUUGAUUCAGCUGAAUUGUGGAAGGCUGAAAAGGAAACUAUGCAGUUGGUUAGUUGAAAGGAUAGACACAGCGAGUUGCACAAUAGAUUUAAAUGAUAGUAAGGUAGAGCUUAGUGGUCCUAGUUUUAGUUACAUAAUGGGAGUUAGUGAUGGUGGAAUACUUCUUCAGUUGGAGGGUGAUAAGUCUCGAGUGGCGGAAUACUUACACAAGUUUAAUGCAACAUCCAGUGGAAUUAACAUUAAAAGAUUGUCAGAUAUUUUACGUAAUUGUAGGGAAGCCGACGAUGAUUUCAAAGUGACAUUUAUGCUAUUUACAUUAUGCACUGUUUUGUGUUCUCCAAUAGGGGUGCACAUCAGUUCGUCAUUUUUAUUUUCGUUGAUCCAUAUUAACUGUAUAAGGAAGAUGAAUUGUGCAACGUUUUGUUUCGAUAGAUUGAUGCAAGGAACAAUUAGGUACAAGGAGGACAAGCUUGCAUACGUUGGUGGUUGUGUCCUAUACCUAGAGGUAAAUAAAUAAUUAAUGUCAUUCCAUCUACCCUUAAUAUUUAACUGAUUUGGUUGUAUUGAUUCGUUGUGAAUAUACCAUUUCUAUUGAGAAGUAAUAUCUUCUAUCUAUGGUUGUAUCAUGUGUCAGUUAUUGUUCUUUAAUUCAAUUGUGUACGGAGGCCUUUAUCGAGAUAGAUUAAUCUGCCCAGUGGCACUAUGGAAUGUUGUCGAGAUAAAGAGGUUGCUGAAGUGGAUAGAGAAGAAAGGGGGUUAUAAAAGCACAAGGGUAAGUUGUUCACGUGAAGACGAACUUGUCGGUAGAGAGAAAGUUACAAUGUUAGGAGCAUUAUAUGAACUUAACUGUGUAAAUUGUGAAUGUGAUUUUACAAAGAAAAUAAUUCUGUAACAUUGAAGUAUGUGUAUACUUUUAUAGUUGGCCAUUAUUGAAAACCCGGCCGGGGGGAGGCCACCUGGUGGAGGCAGUUAUACUUGUUCAGAUGAGGAGUGUAUCAGUGGCGUUAACAGAUAUGAAUGGAGUGCAACACCUUUGAUUGUAGAGGGCAAUGCUUUUGAGGCAGUUGAUACCUGCAGCCUGUCAAAAGGAGUUGUUGGAAACAUUGAUAUUGAAGGUUCAAGUAUACUUUGUUUUGUUAAUAAUGCAUCAGCAGCUGAAAGUCGACAAUCAUGUAGGGAGCAAAACAAGCAUCUAUCACUGCAGUACAGGGCUGGUCCAUUUGUGGUUCCGAUGUCACUACACUCGGAAGAGAUAAUGUUACUGGAAUACAUAAUGGCUGAAGACCUAGACGAAUGGUAAGUAACAAUGUACAUUGACGGCAAAUAUUGGAUACGAAUUAAGAAAUUCGUCGUAAGGAACGGAAACGUACCAUUGAUUUCGGAGAUGUUUAACUUUAUAAAUGGUGCUAACUUAUGUUGUUGGAUUCAGGGAGACACUUGUGAAGACCAAAAGAAAUUGUUUGAGUAGGAAAACCAUUAUGUCAUUAGCACUUCGACAGGUUAUCAAUGCUGAGGUAUGUUUUAAGAAUAUUGUUGGAAGUGUCCUUCAUAUUUGAUGCAUAUGUUUUGUGAUGGAAAUUAUUUAUUGGCCAAACUUGUGAGGUAGUUGUACUGUAACGACUGUAUCAUGAUGGGAAAUUAUUUCGUCUUCUAGGUUAUUUCUACACUGUCCGAAAUGCUGAGUGAGUUCCAGUUGUUCAAUGGCACAACAGGCCACAUUAGUUGGUUUCUGCCGGUGCUUGACAUGGUACAUGAGUGGGCAACUAAAAAUUUCCAACAUGUUUUAUGUUUGACGGAAUGGGGAGUUUAUCGAUAUCUGACUGAUUAUAGUGUGUUAUGAUUAUUUAUGAUUGGAAGUCAGGAUAAUCGCUCGUCCAUUUUGUACGGUGCAAACCUUAUCAUUACUUGAUACAUGAAACUUAUCAAAACUUCACCCCAACUUGCAGGCACAUGUCGCGGGCGACAAUCGUUUGUUGGAGAUGUGGUUACGCAAUAUAGCAUCCAAUAAUCAAUGUUGCACUUACAAGGCCUCAUGUGAUAGGGUAGAGUAAAUAUAGAUGCUUUAUUUUUACUAUAUGAGAUUUGUUUAUAGUAGACUGCAAUAUGAUUGUUAAUGUUUGUACCGGUGGUAAGACAGAUUGUUGUCCCCAUAUGCGAUGGGAUCGGGCAUUGGUACUUGCUAGUAGUUAUUAUUACAGAGCUGCGCGCUGAGAUAUGGGAUCCACUGGCAAGCAGUAUGACGACAAACCUAUUUCUAAUGGAAGUGCAUCGCAUAGUGAGUGUAGCCUUUACUGAAACAGUAUAUGCAGGCUAUCACAACUUUGUAUCUUUUGAAUUUCAUGUUUUCAUUAAUAGCAUUUUAUACAUGGCGAUGAUUAAUGACAAUGAUUUGAUUUUACAGCUUAAAUGUUUGGAUGUGGUUCUGAAAAAUGAGCGGGCAAAUUUAUGUCCUGGUGGUAUUAUAUUUUCGAGUUGUGAAGUUUCACAUCCAUCAUUAAAGGCGAAAGAGCUGCAUGGCAUCGAUUGUGGACUAUAUGUUUGUCUGUUAAUGAAGCAACUUCAUCACAGGCAACGACCUUUGACAAAGGUACUGACAUGAGUAAUUCAUGACUUACCUUAAUAGAUAUGAGGCGUACAAAUCAAGAGAAAUUGCAUUAAUAUGUUUUUGUCUUAGAUGCGGUGCGAUUCAGAUGCAGAACGAUCAAGCCUUAUACUGCAGUUGGUACACUUUCGGGAGAACUUAGUUAAGGAUAAAAUUGUGGAGAGUGCUACCAGCUACCGUAAGCAUAGACAAGCAUUUGUUACCGUAGGAGAAGGAGAAAUAAAAAGACAGCAAAGGCGGAAUAGAUUGAAAUCAAAGAAAAUGGGGCAUGGCCAACGAAGGUAGAUGUUCUGGGAUCGAUCUGUAGAUUGUUGGUUAUUAUGUGGCUAACUAACCAAGUUUGUUGUUGCUGAUAUAUUGCUUUCCAACUGAAGACUAAUAAUUAUCCAUUUAUAUUAAUGGGGGUGGUAGGGUUGUAAUAUACGAAUUACCUUUAUAGCAUCCGGUAAUUACAAUUACAACUAUGUACAUAUGAACUUCUGUUAAUUAAUGAUUGAAAUGUUGUUAUAGCACUGACCAUUUUACACAUACACCUGCAAGAGUAUUAUUAUGGAUUACAGUUUAACCAACAAUUCGUCAGGACAUGUACGGUGUAAGUGGCUGUGGAUUAUUUUAUCAAUAAUGUGGUGCUUGUUAAACUAACAAAGACAACGAAAGUAUAUUGGCAAUGUGUGUACAUUGUGUUACAAAUAUGAUAGUAAUUUCCAGAAGCUACCGUUAUAUCCCCUGUAAUCCACACACUGUGGCCCUGCGUUGUACAAUUGUGAAGGCCGUGCAACAGAUAUUAAUUUUGCCUGCAUAUGGCUAUCAGUAACAUCAUUCAAACUAUUAGUUAAUUACACACAUUUGCAGUGUGAUGGUUAAUGCAGUUUAUCUGUUACCGUUACUGUAAAAGUUGCUUCAUUUUACUAAUUGUAAACCCUUUGACUUAGGAAGAAGUUUGGUUGUUAAAUUAAUAACAUUGACUCACUGUAAACGGAGGUAAGGGUUACUCCAUACUUUCAGAAACCAGGAUUACAUGGUUGAUUCAUAUUCGAUUCCCACCCCAAAUAUUAGCAUACGUACUGGCAAAAGUUGAUGCACUUGCGUUAUGGACAACAUAAUCUGGUAACAAGUGCUGCAGCAUUGUGUCCUCCGUCGAAUCGUUAUCUGUACUCAUUGCAUACGGCUGGGACCACGAAUUUGAACUGGUAGCACGGCUGUUGCGACUUUGCUGUGAGCAAUGUUGGUCGUAUUCGUUGGUCCUGUUAUGUUCUUUUCCCUUGUCUGUAAUUCCUGAACGUCUCGUUGCAGGCAAUGCAGUGUUCUCACCCAUGAACUGACUGCUUUGGUUUGGAUUGUCAUUAUGGUCCCCAUCCGGCUGUAUAAUAAUUUUGCACUUUCGUACGGUAUGUCCUCCAUUCCCACAUCGGCUGCAUUUUCUCUGUUGUGAAGGACCCAUUUUUGGCUUCUUCUCACAUCCUUUUGUCAGUACAACCACGGGGUCAUUAACGUCAAAUCUUCUCCCCAAAUUCCCCUUUGGUCUUUCUUUAGCUAUUUCACAUGACAUGGGCUCCAAUUGCAUGGACAAUUUAUGUAUUCCUGCAAUAGCUAACUCAUAUGCCUCACAACGUUUUGCUGCAACCUUCUGAAGGGUCCGACAAGCAGCAUGAAGGGAGCCCAUGCGUGCGUCAACACUCAUGUAAUGUUGCCUCAAUGUACAUUGGACCUCUGAACUGAGGCCAAGUUUGGCUUUUUUAGUCCAUCGAGCUAAAAUCAUGGAAUGCGGAAUUGAGUCUACAUUUUCUACCUUCAUGACAGCAAACAUAUGCGAACAAGGUAUUCCUAGUGUCUCUAUCAUCAGACAGUCACAAGACACAUUAUCCCAUUUCCCUUGUAUGUUAACCCGCCAUUCCUCAUUUGAAACUUUCCACUUCUUCACUGUGAAUGAUUUAGAUUUUUCUUCGCACGACACUUGUACGGCUAUAUGCAUCCCUUCUUGCAGUAUUUGAUCCCUCACCAGUCGAAAUAUUGGUCUGGUAUAAACAUCGGCAGCCGCUCACUCAAACGGCUUCAUAUGCGUCAUAAGCACAGGCUGGUCGUCUGCACUGUCAAAAUCAUCCUUCCCUUCAACCUCUCGUUGCCUAUCUAUUAGCCUAUCCAUUUGCUUCACAAAUGCUAUGAGCCGUAGUUUGAUGCUCACAUAAUGGUUAAGAUAUGCAUUCAAUCCUUCUGAUCGUUGAGUGCUUCUCAUUCCACCGAAGAAUUCCCCCCUCAAAUAUGCUUCAGCCCACAUAGUCUUCUCCCUAUACAUCUUCAAAACCCAUUCAUGGGUUUCAACAUUGUGGCGUUCAACCAUUUCUUUCCACUUUUGUUCAUGGGUUUCAACAUUGUGGCGUUCAACCAUUUCUUUCCACUUUUGCUCAAACCGAUCUUUGGUAUAUGCUCGCAACAUGCAUCGACUAAAAAAGUCUGAUGUGAACUCUUUGUUCACAUUAGCUUGUGCAUUUCGGCCAAGAUGCCAACAACAAAGCCUGUGAUGAGAAUGUGGAAACUUCUUCGAUAUAGCAUUCCGCAUGGCCUUAUCACCAUCGGUGAUAACUGUUUUUGGUUGUUUCCCCUCCAUUGCUGAUAAGAACGUGUGCAAUAACCAAGUGUACGUGUGUUCAGUCUCAUCUGACAACAAUGCAAACCUGAAAACAAUGGUCCUCCUAUGGUGAUUUACACCUAACAACACAACAAACGGCUUACGAUAGGCAUUUGUGCGGUAUGUCGCAUCAAAUGCAAUAACAUCACCAAAAAUGGCAUAAUCUGCACGUGCUCCACCAUCACACCAAAAUAGAUCCCCUAAUCUGUUAUUCUCAGUAACUGUGAAGUCAUGAUAGAAUGCGUGAUCCGCACUCUUCUUCCCUUCUAGAUAUGACAAACAUGUCUCCGCGUCAGAUUCCUUCAACUGUCGCCAUUUGUGAUCGUCCAAUCGAUUUUGGACAUCUCUCCUCAAAUAUCCAACCUCCCUGUACCCACCACACCUCUCCACCAUAUAUUCGUGUAUCUGUGAAGGCCUUACUCCCACUUUAUUCAACGAAGAUGCAGCUGCUAGAUCUGGCUCCGUUAUCCUUCUGUGAGAUCUGAUGUAGUGUACUUGCUGUGGAGGUGUUAAGGGGUGAUUAUGUUUGCCAUUAAAAUGAGUACAUACCCAUCCACUUUCCCCCUGUUUGGCCCCAAUUCGAAACUCAACCUCGCACCCUGUUCUUGUUAUAGGUCUUGCCUCUCGUUUUCGAUUAUCUCGAGCUAAAAACUUAUGACUCCUAAACCCCUGCUUACUGCAUACCCAAAUCCUUCCAAUUAACAUACCUUUUGUGUUCCAUCUCUUAUUGUGCCUUCUGACCCCAAAUCCUAUGGCCCUUGCAUAUUCAGUGAAAAAUAAUUCAGUUUUUUCUUCUGAUGCAAACUCCUUCCCAACAACAUCCAUUGAUUUCAGGACCUCGUAAUUAGUUGUCUGUCCCUCGGUAGUGCCUAUCUCCCCAUGUAAAUGGCUUUGUGAUGGAUUGUUUUCAGAUGGGAUUGGUGCUUGUUCAUUUGCUCCCCCAGUAAGUGUUGGAAGUUCAUCGCCUGACUCAUCCGGGCAGCCGUCUUCACUAUCUGAAUAGCUUCCAGUUUCAACGACGUCAACAAUUUCAUAUGCAAUGUCGCUGUCCGCUUCACUAUCUACAUCAGAAGACAUAAUAUCUCCAGCGUCUGCAAGAACAACGAAAACUCAGAAAUUGUGCUUAAGCAUUAGCCUCCAUCGGUAUGCAUUACAGGUAACGGGACUAACCUAUUAUAUAAUUAUUCAUAUGUAAUACAAAAUUCUGAAAUUCAAAUCAUAGAUGAAAGUGACAAAUUAACAAGGCAUCAAUGUAAACGGGAUUAGCAACGAAAAUAAGCUAUUUAAUUAUAAGUGAAAUUUACUUUAAGCAAGCAUGAAAACUACAAUAAAAACAGCGUUUGAUUUAGAAGACAGCAUCACAAAGCGCUCUCAAUGCCACAAUCUCAUAUCCGUAAGCCGAAAUUAAACUCCGAACUUGUCUUCUAAAUUGGUUGGUUAUACAUGCAGUAGCUAAUUUUUUUCUCUCGUUUUAAACAGAAUCAUAACAGCAUAAAAUUACCAAAAUUACAAAAUUACAGAAAAAUAACAUAGAAACCACAGAACCUGCGUAAUUUAUUCCAUGAUAACUGUUUGGUAAAACAAAACUAGGACAUAAAAUUGAGAGUUACCUCAAGCUUUUAACUAAAAAAGAUUUGCAAAAGUUACGACGGAAAGAUGAGAUUAAUUUAAAAAUACACAUAAUAUAUGAAUUAUGAAAGAGUGCGGAGGAAUAUGUGCGUGUGUAUUUCAUAUAUAUAACUGUGGGUACCCGCGUUCAAUUGUAAACUAAUUGUGGACAGGGUAGUAUUUUCCACUCAAUUGAGAUAGCCGAUAAAUUGCGCGGAGAUGACACAAACUUCCUGUUCUUAUCGGAUUUUGAAAGUAUGCUCGUUGCACUACGACGCUACCUCAAUGCAGUUACUUGGUGGUGUUUAAAUGUUAUCUUCGGCGGGAAAGUUACUGGUAAUUCCCGCUAUUAAGUUAUUUAAUUUUAGUGGUUCGGUACCUGGACAACUACGAUUGUCCACGUGACAACUUUAAACAAAAUAUUGAUGAUUUUGUCAUUAAUUUUGACAUGGGUCAAACCCGAACAGCGUUAAACGACGCCAUUUCGGGUAAAAAAUAUAAUUUCUUUUCUUCGCUUUCGAACGAUGCCGUUUACAGAAUAAUGAAACACAAAUCAAAAUAACUAUCGUCGAACCCAUUGCCCUUCAUCUACGAAACAACCCCCCUUUCCCUUGAACAAUGUUAUCAACAGUAAAUUUUUAAGCAGCACACGGAACCAAAAACACUUGGUUCACAGGAAAUCACAACAAACAAAACCAAAUGCAUUAACACAUCAAUGUCUACAUGCCAGAAAACAAUUCCAUACAUGACAACGAAAACUUAUCGGUAAACAUCCACAAGGUGGCCAUGACAAUUAUAGGGUAAACAGCCACAAGUGGUACUAAUGAAACAUCCAUAAAAAACUCAUACAAAAACCAAAAUUCCCCCAGGACCCACAUCAUUGCAGCGGAACCACCAACACAUCUUACCUGGAUGCUUUCAUUUAAUUUCAAUUGUAGUCUUCAUGGAUGCUCUCGGCAACUGCAAAAUUGACUCCCGAAGGUUGGCCCGGUUUUCUUUUGGUACGGAGGCCUUCGCCCACAUCAGCAUCUUCUCCAUCGUUGCUGCAAACUGUAAUAAGUACUUCAGCAGGGGCCUUUCAUCCUCGUCACCCUGAACGCCCUUGAUUUCAAUGUUCUUCACAGUGUGCACCAAACAGUGUGGCACAUCAAAAUCACUUUCAAGCCAUCCAAACUAUUCUUCGAUGAAUUGAAACCAACAUUCCUGAUGUCAAAGACGACAACGUAUUAACUUUUAAUGUGUUCACUGAACUCAUUAUCAUUGCAACUCAAUAAGAUACUGACCUUGUGCAGGACAAGACUUUCCAAGUUCGGUGAGCUUCUUAGCACGAUCGGCAGUACUCGCCAUCUGAUGGGUCCUACCCCCAUUUCUAUGUAGUUCAACUGACUAAAACUGGGGAAGCAACUAUCACAAGCAUGGUCAACAGCCUGCACAUGACAAAACUAAUAUCAGACUAUGUUUAAUUAUCAUCAAAUCUUAUAAGCAUUUACUAAAUUCUAUAGCUACUAAAGUUGAACAUAAGUCGAGAUAAUUUUGCUUUAUCAAUGCUGAAUCAGAGAUACGACCAUGCUAAACCAUGCCUGUAUAAAGAUACUAGGGGACGAUAAGUAGUAACUGUGAUUACUUACAGACAUAAUGCCCGCAGAUAAAUGGAGAUACUUGCAGCUAUUGAUCCCGGCGAGCAAUUGAAUUGCCCGGUAAGGAUCAACCUGUGCCCAUUCCGCAUGCAUAAUAUCUAAUUUUACUUUUUUCAGUGAAUGCAGGUCAUGCAUUACAAACGAUCCUAAAAGGUCAGAAUAAAUUUCCAGGCUUUCCAGUUUCGGAGCAGUAAUUGUUAACAUAUAGUCCACUUCCCGAAAUAACAUAUCCUCUGAUCGAACUAUCAAUUUGCAGGUUUUCAGUGUCGCCGACGAGAUGAUCAAAUUUGGAGGAGGAGUAUCAUCAUGCAAUUCACACGUUACCGACAACUCUUCCAACGAAGGGCAGCUGCAAAAAAGAUUCUCAGUGACACUCUUUUCUGGGUUUUCCAGCCGAACACUUAGGAUUUUGACACUUGGAAAACAUGUCCCACUAUAAGGAACUUGGAUGGAAAAAUCUGAGUCCAGUGUAAGUACUUUAAGACAGGCUGCACUGUAAAUGGCUUCCGGUAACUCCACGGGCUCUGCUGGCCAAGGUAAAGUUGAAUCUCCCCAACUUCACGCAUAAGGGCGGUCGCAAUCCAAUCAUAGAACCUUGCCAAAUUUGUAGGUCUGGAGCAAUACAAAGAAAACUUGCCAAUCUUGGCGGGGUUUGUCCGAAGUAGGACUGUAUGCACAAAGUCUGCAAACCCACGCAGUGGAACAUAAGUCGAUGCAGGGGGCCGUAGGCAUAAUCUAUCAUCAAAGGACAAAUUGGGCACUGCAGUCCAGACAUUUUGCCACCGUUUAGCGAUAACGGAUGUGGCCACAGCGUGUUUUGUGGGUAUAUACGAAAGAAUAUGGCAAAGGACCGAAUCAGGUAAUGCACUGAUCCUGUCUGCAUUACCACGAUUUGUUUUUGGCCUCCCUCUCUUGCGUUUAGUCACAUUAUUCUGUCUGUCAUGCGCCAUUACUGGAAAAAACAAAACCUGCCGAUUACAAACACAUACAAUGUUCGGUAAUUAAAUAGCACAAAUAGUCAUAUAAAUUUUAUCAUACUCUUGAACUAGGGGCAGAGCUCUACUAUCUGCCCUUAUAGUGAUUUAAAUCAGUACUUUGGUUAAUGCACAGGCACAGCAAUUACAGCCACGACGCAAAUAUGCCUUACGGUGUUAACACUAAAUUUGAGACAUUCACGGCCGACGUUAAUCGCGAUUCCAUCAUAUAAGUUCAUAGUUUUACAAAUGACGGUUCCGAUAAACUAUUGUGUUGAAAUGACGAAAUUAAACUACAAAUUCAAUAACACAAAAAAAUAAAGCAGAUUCAACAGUCCACCUUCACAAGAUACCCCAUAAACUGACCUUCGGUUAAUUGGGGCCAACCCUGGAGACAAAGUCCACGUCGCUUCCUUACCAGCAAACACGCAAAUCGACUGGGUAUUACUUUCAUUCAACGGCCACAGGGACUAUGUUCUGUCGAUUGCUUAAAAAUGACUAUCCACCACAUUCGAUCGUCUUAAAUUCUAAAAAACGGUUUGUAGUAGCAGAGGGGGUGGUGCAGAUAAACGCAUUAACCGUUUCGAAUCUCGUCAAAUCAUUUUAAAUUUUAAAUCCUCCUUUGAAGUCUUAACCCGACGUCGUUCCUGUUAUAUCUGGGCCUGUUCGAAAUUGCCUUACACAACGUGGCCCACCAACCUCGAGCCCCCAACAUCGAAAGUCUAUGAUAUGCCAACGUUCAGGCUUCCACGAAGACUAUCUUCAUUCCUAAGGCACAGUCUUCUGUUCCCGGUAGGAAGGUUAGGAAAAUGAACCUGCUUCACUAUGAGACAUAUGCACAGGUUUUGCUUAUAAAUAUUGAACUGCUGUAAUUUCAAUGAGAUUACGUUUGACACAAUUACUUUGGUGUUGAUGCCGGGUUUCUUAUUCAAAUUAUUAUUAUGAUACAUAAAUGCUUUGUCAGAGGACUUUAUUUCACAUAAUAUCCACCUUAUAGAUAGUUGUUAAAUUGGUUGGUUAUAAUUUACAUGGCUGACCGUUGAUUAAAUAAUCAACAAUGUUAUUAACUUGAAUAUAUUACUUUUUUAAGUACUAACAACUACAUACUGAUUCACCUAUAUUGUCUUGGGACGUCAAGGGGGUUAGGAACAUGACAAUCUCAUUUUCGUUUCUUACUGAAACAUAUUCCAUUUACAAUACCACGGCUCCGAACAACGCAACCUGGAAUAUAUUAAGUUACAACACGUGUGUUCUUACGCCAGUAUCUUAAUCAACACCGCACACACAAGUACAAUGCAACCGAUGAAUAAUGCCAAAUUGCCUGCUUCUUUUAACCUAUCACCUGAAGUGGUUGCUUCUUCCAUCUGACCCUUGAAGGCCCCUGAUAAGUUCCCCCUUUCGGCUUCUUGUUCAACACCCGUGACACAUAUGGCCCCCUGUGCACGAUGAAAUGCUUGAAAUACCUCCUCAGCCUCUGCUCUGGUGGGGUAAGAUUGGUAAGAAUUUCUGGGAAAACCAAUCACUUGUCUCUGGCAUUCCGACCAUGAACCAUAAAUUCCAGGCACCCGACCCAGAAACAUCACAUAGUGUUUCCCCCGAGGCAUUGUCUACAAACAAUCAAUAUGAUUAGUACUGUUAUUGGGCAUAAUUUAUGAAAUUAAAUAUUAAUAAUAUGAAUAUAGGAUCGUUACACAAGACUUGUCAGACCAGGGAUAUAAGAUUAAUGCAUACAAAGGAUCCUGGAAAAACCCACAAUAAGCUUGGCCGGUUCAAUACGAUGUGCAUCAUAGACCAUAUGUCUACGAGGAGACAUAUAUUUGAGAAUGAGUACGAAUCCACGGAUGCGCCGGUCGGACAGAAAACAGAAUAACUUAAAAAAACUGACCUUCCUUCGCUGUUGCGUGGCGUUUGCUUUGGCGACCGUGGACCGCUGGGUAACGGCAACGUUUGGGGCUUCAAAUCUUGAUUUGAGAUAUCCAGAACAAGAUAUCACACGAGGCAAAAAGCUCCAAAGAUAUCAGUGGACGGCAGAGUAACCUUUAUUUCCAAGUUUCAACUAAGUGUUUGCGUCCAUUGACUGCUUCCUUAGGAACUGGCUGACGCUUAUAUAGUACUCCAGUGUUACUCACGUGCCAAACUCUAUGUUAUGAACGUGUGCGCCAACUAAGUUGGUGUAGUUAUCACCUGAAGGCCUCAUUUGCUUUAACUAUAAAUGCAUGAGAUUGCUUAAAUAAUCCUACUGCAUUGAUAGCCUUAAAAUAUUCAUUGUGGCAUCAAAUAAGUGGAGUUACUAUUUAGUACAAUCAAGUUAAAAACUUUAUGUCAAUGGAGGUGUGCCGUGAGCUAAAAUUUAGACAUAGGAUUGGAUAUGGAAUGAAGUUAAAAAUUCGUCCCUAUUACUCUGAUAAUUAAUGUUAUGUUUAUAAUGAAAUGAUUUAGUAAAAUAUAACAUUAAAACUAUAUCAUGUUAUAUAUAAGAAAUUAACGGAAGAAUUAACAUCUUUUAACAAAUGAUGUUAAUUAUUUAGUAAUUUAUUUAAGUUAUAUUUCAUGUCAUUUUAAAAUAAAGGUAACGUCAUGUUCAUAAAUGAAUAUAUAACACAUAUUAGUAGUUAAUAGCCAAUAUCAUGUCACACUAAACAUUAACCUAAAUUAUUUCUAUCCCAAUAGAACUUUGCAUGAAACAUAAUAUAGUAUUAUAAAUAGUUAUAAUUUAUUGCAAUUUUUUGUAAUAUAUUUAUAAUUUUCUAUACAAUAUAGAAAAAGAAAAAAAUAUAUUAUGAAUUAUAUAAUUUUUCAAUACAUUUCGACAUAUAACACAAAUGCGGCACCUCAUCGCAUGCACAAGCACUUAUGCUGUUAAACACAUACAAUGUUAUUGUAAAUAUACUUUGUACCUACAGUUUGAUAUAUGUCAUUCGAAUUAACCUAUCAUAUUAAUAAUUUAUGGCUUCGGUAUUAUUAUAACGACUACCCAUUGGUUAAAGCUGAUAAAUGUACUUACAAUAAGUUAUAUUAUUUGUACAGACAUAUGCAAUGGGUGGUCAAAUUUCACAGUGAAAUAGAUGUCAAUGGUAUUGUCAGUACUGCUUCUGCGUAGUUGCAUUUACAAUGGCUCACCCAACAAUUCAGCCAACAAUACUCCAGUUAUUGUUUGUGGGGGAAGGGAAAUCAUGACUGUAUGUGCAUGCAUUAUGGUUUGCCCCCAUUGACAGUUAUAUAUUUCCAACACUAUACAGAAUAUAAAUAACAAUGUGCUCAAUUAAUGGUUAUUAAUUGUACCAAUGUUUAUGUUUGAGCAGGACAAAGAAUAGUCUUUUGAUUAAUGACGUAGUUAUCCGCUAAGCAUCGUUAUAAUUAUUAGUUAUGCUAUUGGUGUUGUUAUUAGUAUAAUUGGGAUUUUCAUGGACAAUUGUGUUAUUCUUACCACCAGUAUUAUGCAAAUUUAUAAAGCAAUUAUUACUAUAGGGUAGGGUAUAACACCAUAACUCCUCGCAUAGUAAACAUGGAGGAGGGCACAUGGCACAGGUAAUGUGGCGGCAGGAACUAUAUACAACUGCAUGUUCGCAUAAAUACAAAAAACAAAAACAAAAAACCCCACCACAAAAGCUGAAGUUGGGUGCGACACCAACAAAAGGAGAUAAUCCAGGUCGGGUGGUGACACGUAGGUAAGAAAGGAAGAAAAGGACAAAAAAACCCCACAUUACAUUAUCACUAUCAAUUAACUAGUCAAACAACUUGGUCUGGAAUCGCUGUCGGAACUUCUGCAUCUCCACUUGGCCCUCCAGUGCGUCGUUGCUCAGAUGACUGGAAUGCAAAUAACAAAAUGUCAAUUACUAUACACAAAACGUAUUAACCCAUUUUAUAAUUAUAAACAUAUGUGAAGUUACACACGAUGCACCCUGUGGAUAUAGUGUGGGUAGAGUUCAAUGUAUUUAUACCUCCCCUUCAUUCCUUGCACAUGCCUUGGUUAGAAUAGGGUUAACGAGCUUGCAUGUACAUUUGCUAUGGCCCACACGACCACAAUUUUGGCACUUGUACUUGCGACGUUCAUUGGACUGCUCGUUUCCACCCGGAGGCAACUUCAGCAUGAGGAGGAACAACUGUACGAAUCUGAGAAGCAAUAGCAUUGUUUGGUUCACCAGAUGCAACUGCGGGUCUUGGGGUGUUUAUAGGAACAGCAACUGGAGGAGCAGCGGUCUGGGAUGCACUUUCAACUACAACUACCUCAACUGGGUUAGAAACGACCGAACGUAAAGAUUGGCCGUCAUGGCCGUGUACAAGGUUGGAUACAGGAGGAGGCAGCGGCUGUGAUUCACGUGAGUGAUCGUGGUUGGAAACAAUUGGACUCACAUGCUGUACUUCAUGGCCCUGUGGCAGACCACCCAAGUCAUGAAUAGCGGGGAACUCAGACGAAUUAACCACCAUUCCAGGAAGGUGCUGAAGGCUCCCAUGUGCAAUAAAGUACAACCAAAUGUACAGUCUAAAUUCUCCCCUGGAAAUGCAUUGGUGGACGAUAACCCUGAGCAGAGCAUCGUUGUGCACCCUAACCAUUCGACCCAGCCACCGGGGUGCCACCAUUGGCCUGAAGAUAUGGUUAGGUGGGGAAAACUCGUUAUGCAAGGCAGAUGAAGCCACAUUACACAGGUACAGUAUUUGGAAUCGAGUGGGUUGAUCUGUGUGAAUUGCAAUUCUGUCACCAAUAUAUUCCAGAACGAAUGUGAAUUCAAGGACCGCGGGGUGAUUGAGGUUUGGAGGGUUAAAAAUUUGGUGUUGCAUUUGUUGUCGAGGGACCCCAGUAGGAAUCGGUGCAUGGUGGAUGAAUCCUACUGGGGGAUUUAAAGUUAUUUCAUGCACAAGGGGGUGGUUGAGUGGGAGGGGACUCAUUCGGGGGGCGCGGUGCAGGGGUGGUUGAUUUCGUAGUGGGUUCAUGAAAGAUGGUGGAUUCAGUGAUGGGAUGUUGAGAGUUUGUGGAUUCCUCGGUCCGGGGAGCGAAGGUGGUGGAUUCAGUUGUGGCAGGUUGGGAGGAGGUGGAGGAUAAUCCAUGGUGUUAACGGAAUACAGAUGGGACAUUUGGGGAAUGCAAUGUGAAUGUUGGUUGUCGUCCAGACGCGGGAAUGACGCCAUUUCCUCCCUGCAUCAACGGUCGUAGUGGGUUAGUUUGACUUAAAUAAACGGCCAUUUAGUUGAACAAUAAAAUCAGGAUCAAUGUCUACGUGCUGGGAAAUAACAAUCGUCCGCUGUAAAAGCAUAUAGGUGAAAAACAUGAUGAUAAAGCACAGGAAGUUCAGCUUCGUGACAAGGUGGUGCAUUUUGACUUUGUGAUGACCUUUUAAAAGACAGCACACGGCUUGUCUGCUCUUGGUUUCAAAGAUACACUGACAGUAACCAUCAUAGGAAAUUGACAUUCAGUAAGGCGUAAAUAUUCGUUAAAUUUAUCCAAUUGGUCGAAAACCCCAUCCAUGAGUCAUCCAUAAAUGCAAGGCAUUAAACAUAUGGGGAAAAUUAAUUAAGGCAAAAUUUCGCAUACACCGGGUUUUUUUGUUUAGUAAAUUAGAAGACUAUUGAAAGUAAAAGGAGACACAGUUGAAAUACAGUACUGACAACAACAAUGUCAUGCAAAUUUUAAAUAGCAAUUUGAAGGCAACCCGUAUACGAAGGCACAUAGCACCAAAACACCAGAUCCAUAGUUGGUAACGCACAAGCAUUGAAAAAAGGAGCGUAGAACAAAUUGAAAAAGUGAGGAGAAAACGCACCUGCGCUUAUGUCAAAGAAGAAUGGAUUUGUUGCAAAACUCGGCAGCAAAGCACGAGAUUUAUUGCAAUUUUUGGGUGGUACUAUGAUUGAUCACGUGGAGAUUGAAUGCAACUUUUUCCCAUUGUCCAGUCUUUGCAGGAGGAUUGACAGUCUUAUUGUCAAUUCCUGUAUAUGAUGUGACCCAUGCUCACGGGGAGUCAUAAAGAUAAACGGCAUUUUGAGAAGUAAAGGCGACAACAAGCAAAACUUUCGUUGGAUAUUUGGGUGUACCCCAUUGUAAUGUUGUAGCCAUAACAUCUGGUGGGUCACGUUAACAUUGUUGAAAGUGUUUUUCCACCAACCACACAAUCUCGUGCAAACAAGGUUAAUGGGGUACGUGGUCCCUGCCAUAUCUAACUACUGCAAUAGUUGCAACACUUAGUACCAAUAUAUUUGAACAUGUGAUAAAUUGACUCUGAAUCUUGGCAUCAGUCUGCCUAGGCCAUAGUGGGUUAUUCCUGCGAUCUUGGCUAGCAUUAUCUAAAUCUUCGGAAUAUUAUUAGUACUUCAUCCACUUUUACUUAUUCUGCACCGCAUGGACGGCGUAUCCCUUCUUUGGUGUAGUAAGUUUACUAUUACUACAUAAAUAACUAUAACGAAUAUAUUGGCUGUAUCGGUACAAUAAUAAAUAUUAAUUUCUUCAUUCAUCAAUUUGAAGUACUUAGUUGGUUGAACUAGUAUUUAAUAAUUGGUUCGAUUUGAUAUGAAUUAUUAAAUAAACAGUGGUAACCAUUAAAUACUAUCAGUACUGAGGGUUCAAAUGUUAAGGGGGAAACGAGACAAAAUAGUAUUACUUAUAUUGUUAAUCUAACUAAUUUUAUCAUUGUAUAGUCACCACGAUAAUAAUAAUAUUAUCGUUGUUAUUAUCGUUAUCAUACUGUAAUAUUAUUACCAAUGAACUGAACAAAGAAUUGGGGUUUUGUAUAUUGCACGGCUUAUAACUUCACAUUUGCAAACCUUUGGCCUUGACAAAAUUGAAGCAACUUACGUUCUUUGUGUUAUAUGUAGUUUAUCCCUUUACGCUGAACUCUGACCAAAACAAACAAUCGUUAUCAAUUUUAUUGGUCCGACAGGUUUCAACUAAAGGCAGGGACUGUUGAAUGAAGACUAAGUGCAGCAUUGGCCAAUAAAGUCAAUGAAGAGGACCCACUACAUCAAGUACAAAGGCUGCAGCGAACAAUAUACACAAAUCCCAAUAUUGUUACCUUUAAAGGGCAACUGACAGUGCAGCCAAAAAUAAUAACGCUAAAAGUUGGCCGUGGACAUUUUUUUGUAUACCAUUUUCACAUCUGUAACAAACAUAAGGCGUAAUACGACCGUCCGAUCUUCUAUUCUUUGUUUGUUCACUCCACAUCGAACCACUUCCAACGGCUGAUGCUGCAGCCUGUAGCUUACAGAUUAUAUAAGCUAGUCAAUUCCCAGUUUGACAGGUGACCAACGACGCCAACUAUGGCAACAUAGAGAUUGAUUGCUUGGAGCUUACGUGGUUGUAGAUUUCAAAUAACGUGUGGUAUGUUAUAUAUUCAAUUGUUCUUUAGGUCAUUAAAUCGGAGUGACACUCCUGACCACGCACAAUACAUGUUCUGAACCUGCUGUUGAAGGGCCAAAAAUGGGUCACCAGUCUGUAACAGUACGCAAUAAUGAAAUGGUAUACUUUGAAAACCUCGCCACUAUAAUGACAAAAAAACGCGGCUAUUUAUUACAGACGACCUUAGUAAUGACUGACUGAACGACAUGCAAAUUAAGGCACGUGUUUUUAGUAACAGUGCGAGUAUAUUAAAUCUCUGACAGCAAAAGCAUCGACCACAACAUUUACCCACGUGGAUGUUAUUGCCCGUAUACAUAAAAUUUAAUUAUCUAUAAAUAAAUCGUUAAUUAUCGAAAAUACAAGGCAGAAGGUUGCAGUGCCAAUAUGUAUAUUUCAGCAGGAGCUGGCUAAGUUACAGAUUCUAUAACAUACAGAACCCACGUAGGCAGCUCGUGAUUGGUUAGCUAGCUACCAAACUAAAACAAUUGCAUGCUUUUAGUCCAUAUGCAGGACAGGUGUGGUGCAUGCAUUGGCCAUAGUAAUGUGUGGGACAAAAUUGUUGAGUAUCCAUUGACAAUAUCGGCUGUACUCACAGUGGGUCAUACGCAGGCUGGUGCCAUAAGAAUGAUCAAAUUAUUCAAUGGUUAUAGAUGUAGUCAUCUGCACAUUACAUGGCCGAUGUAAUGCGACUAACAACAACAAUCGCAAUAAGAUAAAACCUGAGUACAAAUGAAGCAUUAGUAAACAACAAUCGUUAACUAAAGUAAUAUUAUUAUUGACCAGUGAGUAAAUUAAUCCAAAUAUAUAGAUGCGUAGUUCUUAAAUUAAGCGUUAAUUUCUUACCAUAGAGGUGGAAAAUUCAUAAACAAGCCAACAUAUUAAAUGAAUAUAUUGCAGGGACAAUAAAUUCCGGCAUAUUCACAAAACUUCCUGCGAAUAAUGAUAUGCAACGAAGCUAUGAUCAGUUAGUAUGGUAAGACCAUUAAUGUAGUAACUGGAUAUCAACUGCAAUCGUUGCAAGUAGGGGUGAGCAGUAAUUCAAUCUGAUCCGCUCAAUCUUUCCGAUCUGCUGAAUCUGAUCUGUAUAAAUUCGCUCCGUGGAUUGGUGGAUUAGAUAUGGAUUUAAUUCUGUAAAUCCGCAUAAAUUCAUGAAUAAGAUAAAUAAAUAAAUAUAUAUAUAUAUAUAUAUAUCUAAUUAGUAAAGAUUUAUAAAUAUAAAUUAAAAAUUUAUAAAUGUGACAUUGAAUAGUUACUAAGCACUAGAACAUAUCUUAGCUAUUACCCAUUAAUAAUAUGAAAUGAAAAAUAAUUAAAUAAUCAAACACGACGCAUAUAUAACUUGUUAAAAAUUGUUACACAAAUUUUAAACAAUUAAAUUUUGCGCACUAACAAAAGCAAAGUAACAUACUGCCAAGUUUCCAAUAAUAUGAAAACAACAAACCCUAAGCUUCCCCACCGUUACACACACUAGCAACACUCAAUACUGGUUUGAUACAGUAUCGACACGAAUUUAAAGGACAUCGUGCGCGUGAUUCCGGCGAGAGCAAGUCAUCUUCAUUCGCAAGUCCAUCGAGCCACUUGACAUUCACUGGUUCCAGCGGAACAAUUUCAUUAUCACAACGUUCAAGAUCGCCACCCGUACGGCUUCUGUUGUUUCGCAUCGGAUGGCUCCGCAAUCACAACUUUUCGACAGACGCAACAGCCCUGGUGAAGGAUCAAAUUGUGCAAAACACUAAUUUGUCGCUUUCAAUGUAGGCUUUUAGGUGCGGCCUCACCAGGCGGAGAUCAAUCCGAGCAUCCGGACUUCCGUAUGUAUGUCCCCACGUGCAUGGUUAAAUUUUGAUGUCCUAUGUUUUGUAACUAUUUUCAAUGUCACAUUUAACAUAAAACAUGGAUCAGAUGUGCAGUUUUUACUCACCUUUCAGGAUAACUUCUCUUACCUACUUCGCUUGCUCGCUGCGUAUGGAGAUGUUUUUAUUCCCGUAAAAACCAUUGCUAUUUGCAAUACCAUAUAAUAAAGUAUAUCUUAUUCACGUGUUACAUUAUUGUCUCUAUUGCCGCUUAUUAGUAAAACUACAAAUCGUUAUGUAAAUGUGGCCACACCUUUGGGGUUUUCCACAUGUUUCCUACAAUUUUUCAGCAUGUAGGGAUCUUCUUAUAUCUAAUAAUAUUUCACAAACCUGUUGCCUCAAACCAUGAAAUGUAAUUUUUGACUUUCCAUGUAAUUUGUCUCUUCAGAAUUAAUUGAACAAUGGAAAUUCAUAUCUUAGCAAAUGCAUCAAACAUUCCAUGUAAUUAUCUCUGCCGGCAUAUCUUUGUUUUCGUUGCUGUACGCAUUGCCCAAUUCAAUACCCAUGGUCUUUAAUUAGUCGUAUUUGCUGCACCUGGAGGCAAGUACUACUUUAUACGCAACCAACACAACCUUACCUAACUGGCCCAAGGCAGAAUGUAAUUAACAACACCUACAAAUUUACUUUCCAACCUGAUUUUACAUCAUUUGACAGCAAAUUUCUAUCGUAAUUUGGAGAUAAGUGAUGAUAAUACUAUAUUUAUGAAGAUAGUCCAUAAUUGCUCGACUAAAACUACAAAUUAGUUCUUUCUCAAGGGCCAACUGAGUUAAUAAGGUCCAUUUGCUAUUGUAUACACGCUUCUUUAUUUGACUUUGCAUUUUCAAGCCCAUAAUCUCACUAACACAGAAAUAUUUAAUUUCACAUAAGGUCCAUUCUUCAUUGCAGUUCAUUAUGCCAUCAACUUACAUUACCUUAUAAAAAACCUUCACUUACAAGAUAAUACCGCCUAUUAUAAUUGAGGGUCCAGCAAAAAUACAUGUAUUAAAACAAAUAUUGCAAGUUAAUUCAACUGCAUCGCGAUGUUGACAGCCAUUAUCCCACAAAACUCAAAAUUCCCACUAUCAAUAACAGUACCAACCUACUGACGUUGAAAUUUAAGUUAUUCAUGUCAAUUAUGCUACCACGAAGCAAUCAAAACACAAGCUAUGACGGUUUCUUUCUUCGUCAAUAACCACGCUAUCAACUCCAACUCAUACACUUAAAAUGGUAAUAGAUUUACCCUCGAAUAUGGCAGAACGUUAAAGGCCUUCAUAUCCACUUCUUAUGAAGGCCUCACGAUGGAUUGGAACUAACCAAAGCCCAAAUUAACAUGUACCAAUUUUUCCUUUUUCCAAUUGAAUAUUGCAUUAAUAAAUGCUUUGGUACCAAUGUAAAGCAUGUCCUCAUACUAUCGUCAUCUUCUUUCUUCAAACUAAUUAACUCUAACAUGUAAUUUCAUUCCUGUAAAUUUACUUUAUUCUCAUCGCAUACAUUACAUUAUUUAUUUUUAAUACAUAAUUUUUGCUAUAUUUAUCCUAUUACUUAAUUUUUAAAUUGUCAACAAUGAAUAUUCACCUGCAUUAAUAGAUUAUGGGACAUUCUCCUAUCAAGUUACUGUUUUCUAAGGAACUAUCUUUUAUGCCUUCUAACGUAACCCUUUUAUCUUCCCUGAUGAACAUAAGAUUCGAAAGUCCUGUAAUAUUUUUAGGUACGAGUCAUCUUUCACCUUCUAAUUUAGUAUACCGAAACUAUAUUAUUCUUACUUUAAAUAACCCUUCAUAACUUAUUGGUGGGUAGAGAGACAUUUUGCAUCCCGUGCCUAACAAUUUUCUUAUUGAUGCCGACAUUCGUGCGAUUGACAUCUUGGUGUCCGAUUGAUAUUGUUUAUCGCCUCCGGGGGGGGUGCAUCUAUCACUAUACUACUUAAUCAGGCCUUCAUUCUUCUCAUCCGCCGCCAAUAUCGUUCAUCUUUGUUCGUUACCACAUGUUCUUGUUCAUUUAAUUUGGAUAUGUUGGUCCACAUCCCCCUCCACACGAAGGUUCACUUUUACGGGUGUUCGCGUCUUAGAUUUUGCGGAUUGCACAUCAAUCCAUAUUUGAUCCACAAUUUUACGGAUUUUAAUGUGUUCAAUCAAAUCAAAUCCACUUAUGACUUAAACUGAAUCGAAAUCCAAUUCAUAUUUUUUCGGAUCGGAUGCAAAUCAUAUCCAAUCCAUAAGUAAUCCAUAGUUUGCCGGAUUGAUUUGUAGAUGCAAUUUUUUUUUUCAUCCAAUCUACGCAAUAUUUAUAUAAACAAAUAUCUCAUUCAUAUUGUUUUUUUAAAUUAAAUUUUCUAAUGCAAAAUUUACUUUACUAUCAGUUAAAAUCAUAAUUGAACAACAUAUUAAUUCAUAUUAAGCUACGAUAAUACAUUCAUAAUUUCCAAUUUUAACACACCGAUAUAAAAAUUUUCAUUCGUUUUCAUCAGUACAUCAAAUGUAACUAAAAUUAACAAUUUCUAAGUUCAAACUUCAAAGUUUCGGUGUAACAGCAAUAAAUUAUGAAACUCGAGAUGCUUCAAAAGAAAGUAAGCAAUUAAAUUUUAUUUCUUUAACUGCUGAAGUGAAAUAAUUAUGCGUUGUGCAUGCCGUCAGGGAUAGCUUUGGUGUUAUAUGAUAAAAUUUUUUGUUUUGCUUUUUAUUUCUUAAUGUUUACGAAGCUAUAUUUACUUAUUUAUUUAUUUUUUUUUCAAAUUGUUAUCGAAUAAGAUAUAAUAUUGUGUUACUUUAGCUAUAUCUAAAUUUUACAUUUUUUUGUACAGUACUCACUACCAUUGCUAUAUUUUUUAUUCAAUAUUUACUAUUUCUCCUGAUUUAACGAAAUUUGCCGCAUUUACUGACUUAAAUCCUUUUCCAAUCCAUCUAAUACGGAUUUUUUUAUUAUUAUAUUUUAUUUGGGUCUUUUUCUGUAACAAACUAUAAAACUCAUAGUUUCUAUUACUUACAAUAAACAAUUUAGACUGUCAACAAAAAUACUUAAAAUAGAGUGUCGAAGAUAUUUUUUUCUUUCUUGUUUCCUCUUUUAAUUGCUCCAUCAUCUCAAAAAUACCUCCAUUUCUUGGUUGAUCAUUUACUAUUUUCCAAAUUAUUAUUAUUACGCAAAUUAUCAUUGUCGUCGUCAUAAUUAUAAUAUUAAGCAUUAUUAGUUUUAUUAUUAUUGUUGGUGUUGUUCAAAUUUGGAAAUGACAUGGCCUAUUAUAUAAACUCUAGCGAUAAAAUUAAAAUUACAUAUUAUUCAGGUUAAAGGGGAAUUUUCCCCUUUUUUCCCCACCACUUACUUUUGCAAUGCAUUGCCUGAUCAUUUUAUUAUUAUUAUUAUUAUUAUUAUUAUUAUUAUUACACGCUACAUAAUUUUUCGUCACUAUUUUCGAACAUUUCAAAUCAUUAUUACCCCAACCCAUACUUGCACGCUUCCAACUUCUUGUUUUUAACCAAUACUUGCAUGCACCCCUUUUUCUCUUGUUUUACAUGCGUUACUUUAACAUCGUCCAACCCACUACAGCACUUUUUUUGGUCAAAAAGUGAUUUCCUGCAGUGUUACCGGCACAUUACCUUUAUUUCAGGUUACUCCCUUGCGUCUGUGUGUCUCUUCUGCAGCCAAUAGAUGAAAUCUAACGGUGCCCAUGCUACAAGACAAAUGACUUGGGUACGAAACCCAUGACGCAAAGUAGCUGCGGCCCUAAAAACAAUAAAUGGGGUAACUUGAUAUUUUUAUACUUUUAGGUGAUAAAUUAAAGAUUUUCAUUUUAAAUUGGGGGCAAAUUAAAAUCUAUCCUAUUUCUAAAGGCACCACGUGAUUUGGCAAAAUAACUAUAAAGAUAUUUUAUUUUUAGAAAAUAUCACACAUGUCUCUUUUGAGAUACACAGACUCUUUUUUAGCUAAAAGAUUGGGAUUUGUGUGAUUAUUUCUGAACCAAAAGGUUUGUGUUUUAAAAAAAAAUGAUUAUGUGACUGUUUUGCCUAACCGAGAGGGUCAUUAUUCAAACACCAAUCACAUUUUUGUUUUAAAACACCCUUUCAUUUAUUCUUUAAGCUUCUUCUUUUUUCCCAAAAAAUGAUGAAUAGAUAUUGAAAAUUUUGUUUUCAUUUUUUUAUUGAAAAAAAUGAAAAACACCAAAUAUUACUGCUUCCUUGUCCAUACUGUUUUUCGUCCUAUAUUACCUUAAUUUUAUAUCGUUUCUCUAUUUCUAUUUUUAUAGUCCAAUUCUGAAAAUACACUAUUAGACACAUUUUUAAAUUGAAAAACACCAAACAUAGUGCAUCAUUUUCAUUAUAAGCAUUAACACCAGACGUACACAUUCUCCAAAUGGGACUAAAAAUGGUGACUCCUUCAGAAAUGAAGUUGUACAAUUAGUUUGAAUUGAGUCGAUACAGAGACGUCUCCAUUGCGUCAUCUAUUCAACUGUCUUGUGCAACCUUAUUCUGUACUAGUAGGAUUCCUCAUUGGCCAAGUAUAUGCAUAGUUGCUGGUUUAUUAACCCCAAAACACCCUCCACUUAAUUCAAGGUCUUAAAGAGAAGUCCAAUCUUACAGGUUCGUUAACAUUUUAAAGGUAAGUUUUAUCUUGUAACAUUCACACAAAAUUUAUAAUCAACUAGGGAGGAAAUUUUGAAAAUACUAUGAUUAGCACAAGUAUUUCAACAAUAAAGGAUGUAAUAAAAGCUCAUUAAGUUUAAACUUGAAAGGAAAAUUAGGGCAAGGUCAUUUCUUUAAAAAGAAUAAGGCAAGAUGAUGCACGGCAUGAAAUACCUAUGACCAAGCCUCAAAAGAUUCAUCAAGCCCAGUAUUUUGCUUGCCCUCGGCAUAAUUACACUUGGCUUCCCAAACAAACAAUUGCUGGAGCUCGGACAAUGGAAGUAUUCAAUUUAACUACAUAAAUAUCAGCCGGAGCAUAAUUACACUUGGCUCCCUAACGAAUAAUGCUGGAGCUCGGACAAUACGAGUAUUCAAUUUAACUGUACAUAGAUGUGCGGGGUUUUGAUGGUAAGUAAAAAGACGUGCCACUAUCAGUUGAGGAGUGCAUAAGAGGAUUACAUCUAUCAAAUACUAUCCGCACUCCUCGGCCAAUUCUUCCAUGAAAUUUGUGAGUUCGUGCUAUAGUGCCAUUCCUCGUAGAAGAAUCUGACGGCGGAACAAUACCUGCAGCGUCCAAUUUUUCUGGCACAAGGGGUUUUGUGAACAACAAAACUGGCACAAGGGGUUUUGUGAACAACAAAACUGGCUCAAGAGGAUCCUGAAACCCCACAGUUACAUUUUCAAAAUGAUGCACUGCUGAUAUUCAGAAAUAAAACAAGGAUAAAACAUUUUCUAAAGUUUACUUAAAUCAUUUUUCUUUCCAACCACAGAUAGGUCAAUAAGUCAAAUAUGUGAGGAAAAAUACUAAAGAAACUGAAGCUGACAGAGGGCAGGCAGAAUUAACUACAAAACCACCAGAUUUAUCGUGUUUUGUCCCGUUGAUUAAUUGUUUUCAAUUAACACGGUAACCCGGCUCGGGUGUUAACUCUGUUUCUGUAAGUCUCUGUUGAAUAUUUAUGUUUAAAAAUCAGCACUCGCAUGUAAGUUGUAUGGCAGCAGCAAAAUAUCAUGUGUAAUAAUUAGGCUAUAUUAGUUCUGGGUCCAGGAAUCGAGAUAAUCAGAGUAGGUGCAAAAGCUAUAUUUACCAAUUUAUGUAGCCAUGCAUAAUAUAUUCAUUUUUUACUUGCAAAUUCUUCCUUUUCACAACUUUAGGUACAACUUUUCCUUUCCUUUUGAAGGCCCACUCCACUAGCAUAGAGAGUAAAAAGAGUUUCUUAUAAAUAAUUUUAGGAGGAUGGUUCUGCCACGACAAGUAAUACCAUAAACAAAUGAUUUCACCACAUUUCAAGAAAGCAUUUAACUUAUGCCUCAUUUUCAUUCUAGCAAUUUGCUUGCCAUUGGCUGAUUGGAAAAAGUGCAUUUAAGUGAUAGAAUAUUGUCAACCUAUAGCACGAAUAGGGGUUAAACAAAGUAAAUCCCUACCUUUACAUGUCAAAUAAAAGACUUUCAUAAUAUCAAAUAUCAAAACUCAUGUCUAGUAAACGAUUCCCCAAUGCUGGCUCUCACAAUUGCUUUUGUUUCAUGGAUGAGAUGAUCGAUUUUGUGGAUAUUCUGCUCAACUUGGAUUAUGACUUGGGUCAGAUCCCAACUUGCUGCAUAGCUCACCUGACUAAAUCUUAGUUGAUUUGCUUUUCCAUACUAAAUCCAAGCAAGUAAGUACAAGAGAUAAAAGCAAAAGUUCAAGCAUCUCAUUUGAGCCUGUCACUAACAAAUGGUCAACGAGCAAUGUCUAGCUAUGACUGAGCAACAGAAUCAAUAAACAGACAGACAAAAAAUAAUAAUCAAGUCAUCUGUCAAAUGCUAGUCCAUGAAAAUCAUAUAUAUAUAUAUAUAUAUAUAUAUAUAUUUCCUUCUGGUAUCAGAGCCAAGGGGAGGAUAGUGUAAAGCAGUUUAGAAUUUCGUGUUUAAAAUCUUGUGUUUUAUUUUGAAGUUUUGUUUUUGUGGUGAAUCUUUACUGGUUGUAAGUCCCGUUUUAGGAUAAGGAUUCCGCUGAGGGCUGUAAAUCCAUACCUGUAGCCAUUUUGACCAAACCAAAAAUAGACCAUAAGGUCUUAUUCAUGGAUCCUCCGAUCUGUAGAACAUCGUCCUUUUCUAGCUCUUCUUCCGGGAAGACUAGUGAUUCAAAGCAUGUUGUGAGUUCAGAAGAAUUCUUUAUUGAGAACUUUGAUAAAGCAAUUGAUUGUUGGGAACUUCCAAAAAUUUCUAAAGAAAAGAUUUACAAAACAAAAAAGCUUGAUUUUUUAAAGAAUGAUUAUAUCAUAAAGACUGAAGAACGUGAUAUAACUCUUUCAAAUCCUUUUGAAACAAUCCACUUGUUUUCUGAGCAUUCUUUAAAGAAAUUAAAAAAGAAUUUCAAUUAUGUUCACAUAGGUCUUAUUCAAGUCGGUAUAAAACCCUUAACCAAAGAAGGCUUGGAUACUUCUAUCCUUGCUGUCCUAAGAGAUGGACGAUUCAUCUCUUUUGAUGAUUCUUUGCUAAGUAGCAUCGAAUCCAGUCUCUGUAAAGGUCCAAUCUCAUUUGAUUGUUAUCCAAACAUAACAAUUUCUCUUAAAGAUAAGAAUAUUUUGAAAAGCAUGAUUUUACAAAUCAAAACCCAUAAUUAUAAUAUGAUUGAGGGAUCCAUCCCAGUUGCCUUAAUUUUUAAAAUCUCAUAUAAGGCAAUGAUCACUGCAUUCAGUACACAACAUAAAUUCCAGUCAAAAAGAGAUGAGACUCUUCUCUUGCAGACUGAUUUGUCUAGAGCCAACACUGUCAUUCCAAAACCUAUUCAAUGGAAAGAUGUCCAUCUUCCAGAAGAAUGGAUUCUUGAAGGAGCCGCUCCACCAGCGAUUCCGAAACAACUUGAGCCCAAUACAGAGUUGCAGAAUGUGACUCAGUAUUCCGAUGGUAAAGUCAAACUAUCAUUCAGAAGAUCUAACUCAUCUAGAUUUUCUGAUAAAGCUUCGUGCUCAAGCAUUCCUUCAUUAGAAAGGAAAUUCACAAAAGUCCCUUCUGUUAUAAAUCUCCCUUUUCAAAGUCAACCUAGGUUUUCAACUUCAGAUAUACCUAGUACCUCCAUUAGAUCAGUUGAUUACACCACUAGUGUUCCACAUCCGAUCUACACUAGCAAUCAACAUAUUCAAAGUCAGGAAGAGAAAGAACCUUCUCCUCCAACUUCCCCUACGUUUUCUGCAGUCACAGAAAAUGUUAUCAAUGUCAUUGAAAAAGAAUUUGAAGUAGAUAAGGCAUUCUUGCAUGAAGAUUUUUAUUCUAAUUCAAACAAAGAAAAAAGACUUUGGUUUUUCAAACACUUUUUAAACCAAAGAAAAGAAAUCCAACAAACUUACUAUGAUUUUGUGAAUCUUCAUAAAGCUCAUAUAUUGUUUUUUGAUUGGUUCGAAAUAUAUUCUUCUGAGAAUAACAUCUCUUAUCCUUUUAAAGAGUCAAACCCUAUUACUAUUAGGAAGAAAGUUCCUGAAUGGAAACUUCUCGAUAGUAAUAGAACUAUAGAAUCAGAACACCCACCUCUUCGGAGUUUAACCAUUGAUCAUGGUGAACCUCCUGUCGAGAUUCGAGCUUCACCUUACAAAAUUCCAAAGCCAAAUGAUUCCGAGGCAAAUUUAAGUAGUGUUAUCCAACAGAACAAUUUCUGUAAUACUAACUUAAAUACAAUCGGAAAGCAGUUGACUAGGAUAGAGAACCAAAUCCAGAAGUCAACCAUUACUGUUCCAUCGAUUUCUCCUAUUCCAACAAAAUCGGAUUCUGACAAAAAGCUUAAGGAACCUAUUUUCAAACCCUUUCAGGUUUCGAAAACUAGCCAAAAGCUUGUUCAAGAGUCAAAAUCAGAUUUUGCUAAAGCCAUUAGAGAACAAUUAGAUAGGAUAGAAGCUGCUUCUUCCUCAUCUAGCAAAGCCCAAAUAGCCCCUGAUACUCCUCAAUCUAGCAAGAUUGGAGUAUUAGAAAAAGAUGACCAAACCUCUAUAGCCUCUUCGGAUGUUGAAGCCUUCCAAGAGGAACCCAUUCCUAAAGCAAACAAAAUCCAUUGGGAAUUAGCCCUUCCCACUGUCAAGACUCCACCGGAUCUAGCAAUAGAUAAUAGACCAAGUGCAUUAAAUCAGUCUAGGUAUAAUGCAUCUUCAGUCUAUGAGUGGAAUAUUGACGGCAUGUCAGAAUACAAUAUCCUAGGAUUGUUGCAACAGAUGACAAUGGCAGCUAAUGCCUAUAAAACCCAAGCAGGAACCUCUGAUCGUGCUAUAUCAGAGAUCCUAAUUGCCGGUUUUACUGGUCAACUGAAAGGUUGGUGGGAUCAUCUUCUCACUAAUCAGCAACAAUUAGACAUCCUAAAUUCCAUCCAAGUCGAUGAAAAUGGAGUCCCUAUUCUUGAUGAGUUCAACAAUCCUAUCCAGGAUGCUGUUGCUACUCUUAUUUUGACCAUUUCCCUCCAUUUCAUUGGUGACCCUUCACACCUUCGUGAUAAAAACGCUGAGUUAUUACAUAACUUGAGAUGUAAGAAACUUAGUGAAUUCCAAAGCUACAAAACCGCAUUUUUUACCAGAUUAUUUCUAAGAGAUGAUGCAAAUCAUACAACUUGGAAAGAAAAAUUUCUUGCUGGUUUACCUACCCUUCUAGGUGAAAAGGUAAGAAAUUCCAUUAAAGCACUUUAUGAUAAUCGUAUCCCUUAUGACGAGCUUACCUAUGGUGAACUUGUCAGUUUCGUCAAUAAAGAAGGUUUAAAGAUUUGUCAAGAUUUGAAAUUACAGAAACGUCUUAAGUGGGAGCUUAAGAAGUCUAAACAAGAGUUAGGCGGUUUCUGUAAACAAUUCAAUUAUGACCCCUUUAAAGCUUCUUAUUCCAGAGAUUGUAAUGGUGAGUGUUCUAAACCUCGCAAGAAACAUUACAAAUCAAAGAGUUUUAGAAAACCUUUUCGAAAUUUUAGAGAACUUCCUUAUAAGAAACCCUCGAGGCCUUAUAAGAAACCCAAAUUCUCUAAAAAGAAAGAAUUCAAAGCCAAACCUAAGACCCCUUUCAACUUCAAAGAUGCUACGUGUUUUAAAUGUGGUAUGAAAGGCCAUACUGCAAGAUUUUGUAAAAUGAACAAAAGGCUCCAAGAACUUGAACUCGAUGAGGACAUCCUUUCCAAAUUAGCCCCACUCCUUGUCGAUUCUUCUGAUUCUGAAUCUUCCAUGUCGGGAGAUAGUAAUCCUUAUCAAAUUGAUGAGCUUUUUGACUCAGAUGACUCUGCAUCUAGCAGUAGUGAAUCUGAAUCUGAUUUUGGUUUAAAUAAGAUCAAUGUUUUGACAAAAGACCAAGAGACUUACCUUGAACUUGUAAAGCAUAUUUCUGAUCCAAAUCUUCAAAAAGAGUAUCUUGAUAAACUUUUGAAAACCUUGGAUUUUAAUAAAGCCGAGACUUCUAAAGUCCCAAUUGUCAAAAAGAGUUCUUAUGAUCUUACACAAAUCUUGGAUAAAAAGAAAUCAAAAAAGGCAGUUCCUAGCAUCCAAGAUCUUCAAAAAGAGAUUAAAGAAAUCAAAACCGAAAUCAGGGAUUUAAAAGAAAAACAAAAAUGUGAUUCUGAUACUAUCCAACUUCUUUUGCAAAAACAAUUGCAGGAUAAUUCAGACAAUGAAUCUAAUCCUGAUGUUGGUGAUGAUAUCAAAAUAGAAAACAUUGAGUCUGUACCCAAUGAUUUUCUAUUCGUUUUAAAGCAAAUCACCACAAGAAAGUAUUUGAUUAAAGUCACUUUAAUCUUCUCUGAUGAUUUUGCAAUGGAUGCCAUUGCCCUUUUUGACACUGGUGCCGAUUUAAAUUGCAUUAGAGAAGAAAUCGUCCCCAAAAGAUUUCAUGAAAAGACAAAAGAAAGACUUUCUGCCGCUAAUAAUUCAAAAUUGAAUGUUAGCUCCAAAGUUGAAGCCUCGAUUUAUAAUAAUAAAAUUGAAUUUAAAACUUCUUUUGUUCUUACAAAUGAUAUACACCAUGCUAUCAUUUUGGGAUCCCCUUUUAUAAAUCUUAUAACCCCAUAUGCUGUCGAUUAUAAUGGUAUAUAUUUCAAAGCAAAAUCCAAAGACCUUGUUUUUUCAUUUAUUGAAAAACCAAAAACUAGGAAUUUAAACAUUAUCAAAGCUUGUUCUGUUUACCAAAAAAGAAUCAAUGCCAUUCUUAAAUCCAAACAAGAUGAUUUGUUUUGUUUGCAAAAAGAUUUAAGUUUUCAAAGAAUUGAAAGCCAACUACAAAGCAAUUUCAUACAAAGAAAAAUUUCUGAUUUUAAAAGCCUUGUUGAAAGAGAAAUAUGUGCUGAUUUACCAUCUGCUUUUUGGAAUAGAAAACAACAUCUGGUAGAUUUGCCAUAUGAAAAUUCGUUUGAUGAAAAACAAAUACCCACCAGAGCACGUCCAAUCCAAAUGAACAUGGAUUUGGAACAGCAUUGCAAAAAUGAAAUCAAAGAUUUAGAGUCAAAAGGACUCAUUGUUAAGUCAAGGUCCCCAUGGUCUUGUGCCGCCUUUUAUGUUAACAAAAAUUCUGAGAUUGAAAGAGGUGUUCCUAGACUUGUGAUAAAUUACAAACCUUUGAAUAAAGCUUUGAAAUGGAUUAGGUACCCAAUACCUAAUAAAAAAGAUUUGCUCCAAAAACUUUGUUCAUCUUUCAUCUUUUCUAAAUUUGAUAUGAAGUCUGGUUUUUGGCAAAUUCAAAUCCAUCCAAAAGAUCGUUACAAAACAGCUUUUACUGUUCCUUUCGGGCAAUACGAAUGGACAGUAAUGCCCUUUGGUUUAAAAAAUGCACCCUCAGAAUUUCAAAGAAUCAUGAACGAUAUUUAUAAUCCAUAUUCUGAGUUUUGCAUAGUCUAUAUUGAUGAUGUGUUGAUUUUUUCUCAAAGUAUUGAUCAACAUUUCAAACAUUUAAAGACUUUCCAUCUUGUUACUAAAAAAGCUGGGUUAGCCCUUUCUAGUUCAAAGAUUUCUUUAUUCCAAACAAAAAUCCGAUUUUUAGGACAUCAUAUUUCUAAAGGAACCAUCACUCCUAUAGAAAGAUCACUCUUGUUUGCGGAUAAAUUUCCAGACAAGAUUUUGGACAAAACCCAAUUACAAAGAUUCCUUGGUAGCUUAAAUUAUGUUCUUGAUUUUUGCCCAAAUAUCAAUAGGAUGUCUAAACCUUUGCAUGAUAGGUUAAAAAAGAAUCCUGUUGCAUGGUCGGAAGAACAUACUAAAGUAGUUAGAUUAAUAAAGCAGUCUGUUAAAAAUAUCCCAUGUUUAUUUCUUGCAAAUCCUGCAUUACCUAAAGUUGUUGAAACUGAUGCAUCUGAUAUAGGUUAUGGAGGAAUUUUGAAACAAAAAGAGAAUGACAAAGAACAGAUAGUCCAAUAUGUUUCUGCACACUGGAAUGAUUGCCAGAAAAACUAUUCUACUAUCAAAAAAGAAAUUCUUUCCAUCGUUUUAUGCAUUACAAAAUUUCAAAGUGAUUUACUAAAUCAAAAAUUUUUACUUAGAAUUGAUUGCAAAGCUGCAAAACAUGUUUUAGAAAAGGAUGUUCAAAACAUUGCAUCAAAACAGAUUUUUGCACGAUGGCAAGCUAUAUUAAGUGUUUUUGAUUUUGAUAUUGAAUUUAUUAAAGGUGACAAAAAUUCUGUUCCUGAUUUUCUAACUCGGGAAUUUCUUCAAAACAGAUAAUGCCUCCAAAGAAGAAAGAUAAAGGUAAAGCAGUUGUCAAAGUUACUGGAUCUCAAGAACCUUCCAAAGAAUCCUUUUCUACCCCUUCCAAAGAAAAAUUACUUUCUUCAGCCUUACCCAUCAAAUCCUGGAUUGAAGUGGUUGAAGAACAUGGCUCCCAAUAUAAAUCUAUUUCUUCUGAUGACCAAGUAAAGCAAUGGAUGAAUUCCAUUACAAAGUCUCCUGAGCUCAUGAUCGCCCUCCAAAACCUUUCUCAAAGCCAAAUUUCUCCUAAAAAAGAAAUUGAAAUUUCAAAGCCCUCUUCCCAAAAUGUUGUUGUCUCUGCUGAAAGCUCAUCUUCCCAAAUUGUGCUUUCUCAGCCAACACCUCCAAAGAAACCCUCCGAUUGGUUUGAUAAAACCCAUUUUCAAAACAUUAUUUCUAUGGAAGAUGGAUUUUACCAUACUGAUCCUUUUCAAAGUAUUUCAAAGUUUUUCCCCAAAGGCUGGUUUUUUAAACCAUGGGAUUUAACAAAACCCCAGUCUUAUUAUCAAAGCAUUUUGGAAAUAACUGAAUCAGUUAAAUUCAAACAUUUCUUUCUUGAUAAAGCCCAUUCGGAACCAGCUUAUUCCACGGCCACAAUCCUAAAAGUAUUGAGCCCAAAUCAGUGGGGUGACCUACUCCACAGUUAUAAAACCUUCCCUUUAAAUUUUGAGACCCGUUUACCACAUUGUAGGACCUUCUCCUAUUGGGAUUACCAACAAGCGUGGUACAACACCUUUUUUAUCCAGAACCCUAAAAAGUCCCAUUCUUGGUUAUUUUUCUUCAAUACGAAGAUAACCGUCCAAAGUCUCCCAAAUUGGUUUCAUCACUGGUGGAAUCUUUUUGGCCCAGUUCCUCAAAUCCUAACCCUAAACGCCACAAACUGUCUAAGCCUUUUCAAAGCCCAUUAUCUUCCUUCCGAUUCAGAAAAAAGAUUUCCCCCCUUUCUUUGCUUUUGUGCAAAUUUCUUUCUUCCUUGGGUUUGUUCAUGGAACCUCCGUUUCCAUACCCAAGAUUCCCAAGUCAUUCUUCAAAGAACCUUUAAAGUCAAAUGGUGGUCAAAGUUUGAUGAACAGUCCAAAUUGACUGUUGAUAUGAUCAAAGACUGGCUCUCUUCUAAAGGCCUCCUUCAACCUACCAUAACCACCUCUAAAGCCCAACAAACUUUCUUGACCCAAAAAUCCAAAGCCCAGUCACUGUUGGCAGGUGCCAAGACUGAAGAUGAGUAUUUCAAAGCCAUGGAACAGCUCCUCGCCUCGCGUUCAAAGUCCUCAGUUGCAGCCUCCUCUGAAGAUGAAGACGAAGAGGAUGAUGAUGACGAAGAGCCUUUCAUUUCUCUCGGAGAUGAUAAUGAAGAUGACUGUUUCGGCAUUUUCUCUCCGAUAAAGCAUUGUAAAUAAUUAUUUGAUUAUUUACUUAAAAAAAAAAAAAAAAAAAAAAAAAAAAAAAAUCAGAAAAGUUAUUUACUUUCGGGUGGUCCUUUGGACACAAGUGAGAGCGCACAUGUCUCUUCACCCGUAUCAUACUAUUCAAAGCUACGAUCAGUUUACUAUUCAAAGCUACGAUCCAUUUGUUACUGUGCACUUAAAACCCCGCUACAGUGAACAGUGCAGUUUGCCAGUUGUUACUGUGCACUUAAAGUCCCGCUACAGUGAACAGUUUAAAGAUUUUUGUAUAUAAACCGAGAGGAAGACUUAGACUCCUCAGGUUUUUCAUUUCUCUUCUUCUCUUCCUUCUCUCUAAAAAAUCUCUCUCCCUCUCUCUCUAAAGCCCGAAGAGUUCAAAGAAAUUUUCUGUUUACACAAUAGUUCUAUCACAGAGCUUUGGGUGAUCAGACUAGUUCUUUAUCUUCAAUCUUCCCGUCUUUCAAUCUUCCCUUCUGGAAAGAUUUGAAAAUUUGUAAAGACCAGAAAGCAAAAAUGUAUGUUUAAAUUUCAGUUAUUUAAAUUUUUAAAGUUCAAUGUAAUUUACAUUUUCGCAAUUUACUUUAAAGCAUUUACUUUUCUGCAAUUUAAUUUUAUGCACAUUUAAAUUCCAGCAAUUUAUUUUAAAGCACUUUUCUUUUCAAAAGCAUGCUUGCAGACUGAUCUGUAUCAGAUCUGCCAUAUAAAUUCUACAUUCCUCUGAGGCAAAGAGACCGGAUCUCGAUCCUCAGUUGUAAAUCUUCUCUUCUCCCUCCAUUCCUUCAGAGCACCAUUUCCGGGAUCCGGAUCUGGUACUGUGUAUGUACCUAGGCCCUUAAAAGAACCUAAUCUAAAGUUGAUAAAAGCCCAAUAAAAAGAAUCAACCACGUUUAAAGCAAAUUAAUUAUUAUUUGGUAAAGCAAAAUUAAGUUGGUAUAUCGGCUGGAAACCAGAACGUGCGGAUUAUUGAUCUGUUCUAAGUCAGAUCUGGAUCCAAAGGCUUGACUACGGUCGCAUCGUUCCGGUAGAACAACGCCACGUACUAAUUUAAUAUAAAAAUUGACCAACCGCGUUCAAAUUUGUUUGAACAUUGUAUGAUCUAAAGCAAAUCUACUUAUAUUCAAAGCUGGUAAUUUAUUUUAAAAUUUGGAAAAGCCGAUCCAUUAAUUGUUUAAUUUAAAGUUUUAAUACUGAGAUCCGACGAAAACACAUCCAUCCUUCGAUGGAUGUAUAUGUAUAUGUAUAUGUAUGAUCAUUCAUUUCUCAAUCAACCACCAAAUUGAUGUCAACAAAGCCAGGAUUGUCUCACAAGUCUUUCAAUUUCCCUCUCUUUAGGCCAGAGACCAGUAAACCAUUUGAAAUAUGGAUGUGCAAACCAGUAAAUAAAUCAUGAAGUUACACACUACUCUGCUUUCGCACUCAUUCAGAACUAUCAAUGAUACUUACUGCAGGUACGGUGUAUACAUUAUACUAAAGUGAAGGCUGGAUCAAUAAGAAAUUCAAAAUGUUUCAUCACAUUUGGGGCUUGAUGAUGCCAAAAAAAGACCAUACCAAUUAUGAUGAACAGUAAAAUGUGAACAAGAACAAGCAUACAUUUAAGAAAGCAGAGAAGCAUCAUUAAAAUAAAGUAUUCUUCUUACUAUUCUAUGUUGUUGGAAAAUGGACCAAAAUAAAAAAGAAACCAUAUAUGGUUAACGUCACAACAAGAGUAUUUGUGCUUUUGUACAUCAUAGGAUAUUGGGAAGACAUCAGCAGAGAAGUGCAAAUUUUUUUUUUUUUUUUUGAGGAAAGGAACAGAGAAGUGCAAGUCAAAAAGGAGAAAAAAUGAAAAGAGAGAGAUCAAAAGGAAUGCAAUCUAAUUAAUCGUCUAAGGAGACUACUAUGCUACAUUUAGCCAUUGGUUGAAUAGGCAGCUUGUUUUCUAGUACAACUUUAAAUUUUCCAAGAUUUAGAAUUUUCCUACUGAAGAAAACUAAUUUCUAAAGCUGCUAUUACCAUCUUCAUCCCAACGGUAAGCAGCUCCAUACUAAGGAAAGAGUGAAAUAAGUGUGCUUUACUUAUAGAAGCCCAUUCCUGUCCAGAGUGAUUAGUAAGUUGUUUCACUAUGACCCCCAUUAUGGUGACUGAAAAAAGAAAAAAAAUAUAUAUUUGCCGAACAGAAUAAUAGCACCCAAGAAGUCCUACUUAAGAGGCUUCAUACCCUGCACAAAUCAGAAAGUUUUUUAAAAUUUUCAUGUUUCAAAUGAAGAUUGUCCAUUAAAAAAUUACACACAUAAUGUAUGUAAAGCAAUUAAAACAAAAAAAAAAAAAACAAGGAUAACCCAGAAACAAUCCAACCAUCAAUGAAAGUGAGCAAUGUUAUUGUUUUAUUAUUUUUGAACUCGUGGUGGCUCCGUAUUAUUUGCAAAUUAUUUGCAAAAUACUCGUAUAAGGAGAGGGACAUAUUUUAUGAUGGAAUAUUUUCAAUAUAAAUGGUGCUCUAAAAAUGUGUCCGACUGUAAAGAUAUGUCUAAUUAAACAGUGUCAUAUGUAAUAAAAAUGUAUCCUUUUAUUUAAAGAUGCAUCCUUUCACGGUUUCAUGCUUCAAUUUGAAAUGACGAUAGUUUAUUUUGGACCAGUGAUGAUCUAAUUCAAAUUUUGAUUUAAUAACCAUGAAUGAGAUAACCACUUUCUGUUAGUUCUCUUAAAAUUAUUAAGAAAUCUAUAUUGAAGGCUAUUUCAUCCUUUAGUGUUGUAGAAAAUACACUUUACAUUUUGAAAUUUAAAAUGACCUUCUUUUAAAUAAAAUUUUAAAACAAAUGUCUCUAACUAAAGAAGAAAUUUUAGAAUACAUUAGAAGUACCAUGUUAGCCAUGCAACAAGUGAAUCAUGCUACGAUACAUGUGCACUUAUUUUAAAAAACUAUUAUUCAAAUGGUGGUUAUAUUGAAUAUAAAUAUGUACAUAUCAUACAUGACACAAACCGCGUCAACCCUUCUGUUGGAUCUUGGGUGAAUCAUGCAAUUUUAUAUCUAAAGCUCAUAACAUAAACUUAAUUCAUGAAUAUAUAACACUAGCCUUGGGCUUUUUUAUAAACUUAUAAUAAUCUAUGUGCCUCAUUCAAAAAUUUAUUAAAAACUUACAUAGUUCAUAUCUCAUUGUACGUACAUUCACUUCGAAAAUAUACAUAUAAACAUAAACGUGGUCAAAAUGUAAGUCGUGCAGUAAUGCGUGUUGUGGUCCAACCUCAAUUGAUCAGAAAUUGAACUACACGAAAUCCUAUGGAAACCUUAGAGAAAUGGGGUAAAUAGGAAAAUAGUAAGCUUGCAGCUCAAUGAAUGAAUAUAAUUAUAUAUAAAAAUAAAUUAGUGUUUUAGUGCUCGUCAUAAUUGUAUGACAUAACUUUACACUGAACGCUUUACAAAAGCAAACAUGAACUCGUAUAUACACACAUGACAAAAUUGCACCAAAUAAUAUACAAGGAAAAUAACUCUCAAUACUCACUGGGAUCAUCAUUGCACGAGUAAAAAGAGGGAAAAACCUCUCAAUACUCAGUAGAAUUAACAACUUCACAAGGGUCGAGUAAUUUAACUCUCAAUACGCAUGCGUAGAGCCUAUGGAGAAAUGUACACAUAUGGUGCCUGUCAAUUACAUCUCAUGACUCAAUCAAUCAUAUAAUGUACAUACAUUUAAUCAUAACAUUAUACUAAAUCAAACUAUUAAACAUAAAUGCUUUGUAAAAUACAUAAUAGUAAUAAUAAUCCACUCACAGAUCCUAUUGAUGAAGCACGCACGUGCUUUGCUUUAAGCUAACAGCUUGCUAUUGCUUUGACAAUUAACCACAUGUGCCUCCUUUUAGCUUGCACGUGCAUCACAAUACAUGCAUUAGAAUUGGUUGUAUUCUCAUGGGUGAAGCAUGAAUGUGCUUUGCUUUAAGCUAACAGCUUGCUAUUGCUUUGACAAUUAGCCACAUGUGACCCGUUUAUAGUUUAGGAAAUAACAAUAUUGAAUAGAAAUAUUCUUCGAAUAUACUAUUUAUUUUCCAUUCAAACAUUUUCUCAUUUAGGUAAAGGUCACAAAAAAAAAUUAUUUUUUUAAUUUAAAUAUAAAUAUUUUAAAAUCAUAUAUAAGUUAUAAAAAAUAAAUAAUUAAUAUUUUUUUUAAAGUUAGACUUUAUAUGCUUAACAGUCAACCCUAAGGAACAUGGAUAAGAGCUACUAAAAAAAAAAGAAUAAUUUUGAAACUAAAUACAAUUAAUUGAGAGAUGAGGACGGAUAAGACAAAUUCAGAGAUAAAAAUUAGGGAAAUUAUCACCGGUAUACCCUUAAAUGUCACCGGUAUCAAACGUACUAUAACACUUUUUUCUUAUAUCACUCGUAUACCCUAAGUUGACAAAAGAGUUCUGGCAUCCACCUUUCCGUUAACUACUGUUAAGAACUUAACAUAAUUUGAGCAAAAUGACUAUUUUACCCUUUAAACUCAAAAUGAGGUAAAAAACAAAUUUGCCUUGAAAAUUAAUGUAAAUUUUAAUACACAAUUUUUUUAUUUUGUUAUUAACAAUAUAUUUUUUAUUAAAAAAAUGAAUUAUUAAUGGUACAUAUUAUUAACAAUUAUCCAUAAAAAAUAUCCAUCUUAUACCAUAAAAAAUUAUUAACAACAUAUUAUUUAUAAUUAUACAUAUUAUACCAUAAAAAAUUCAAGUUGGACCUUGGAGGAGUAGAUCUUCAAUAAUUUAGGUUAAAUUUUGAAGGAGUAGAUUCGGUUGUAAAGUAAUUUUUUUUAGCAAUUAUUAACAAUUAUCCGAUAAAUAGGAUGACAUGUCAUUUGUAUCAAAAUAUAUCAUAUGAUAUGUCGUUUUUUACUAGGUAAAUGGGAUGACAUAUCAUUUUUAAAAAAAGACUAAAUUACUCUUAUGAUGUCAGCGCUCGCAAACGGUAGUUAACGGAUCGGUGGACGGCAGAAGUGUUUUGUCAACUUAGGGUAUACGAGUGAUAAACUUAAAAAGUAUUGUAACACGUUUGAUAUUGGUGUCAUUUAAGGGUAUAUGACUGAUAAUUUCCUUUAAAAUUAAAAUAUCACCCUACUUAUUGCUGGCAGUUAUGAGCAUUAAAGCACAGAAGCACGUGUGUUGAAAAGUAUGGUGCUCGUGUGGAAUUUUCAGCUAAAAGUCUACAAGGCAGUUGAAUUAAUCAAUCAUCGUGGAGUGCACGGUGGUUGGACAAUGAGAUGAAAUUGAAAAACUAUCACGGAACUUGAAGGAAGGUUCAUAGCAUCGAUUUAUUCUACGGAGUCACGCACAUUUGGUUCAAUAAUUGUUUUCAUCCGAAUCAAAAUCUCUCUCUCAUCAAUUCAACUGUUUCUGUUGAUUAUGGCUUCUUCUUCUCGAAACAACAGGAAGUAUGAUGUUUUUGUUAGUUUCAGAGGAGAGGACACCCGCGACAACUUUACUAGCCAUCUCUAUUCUGCUCUGUGUCGACAAAAUAUCCAGACUUUCAUUGAUGACCAACUUAACAGAGGAGAUGAAAUUUCGGAGUCAGUUGUGAAUGCAAUUGAAGCAUCAGCCAUUUCAGUUAUCGUCUUCUCAGAAGGGUAUGCAUCUUCCAGAUGGUGUCUCGAUGAAGUUGUAAAGAUCCUCAAGUGCAAGAAGGAGUAUGCACAGAUUGUGAUUCCGGUUUUCUAUCGGGUUGAUCCAUCGGACGUGAGAAACCAAACUGGGAGUUUUGGGGAUUCAUUUUCGAAGCUUGAAGAAAGAUUAAAGGAGAAUUCAAAGAAGCUGCUGACUUGGAGGAAUGCUUUGAAGGAAGCAGCCAGUUUGUCCGGCUUUAAUUCUCUUAACAUCAGGUGAAAAGUUAGCUUUAAUUUCUCAUACUAAUAUUCAACACUGUAAAUAAAAUUCACGCAGCACUCUUAGUUAAAUUUUCCAGAUGAUAAACUACACUUUUAAAUUUUUUCAUGCAUCAAAUUCUAGACUUCUUGAACUUCCCCACUUUUGAACUCCUAUAAAAGAAUUUUUGCAGAAUUAAUAAUAAAAGCUCCAGAGGUUUACAAUAUAUUUUAACAAAAUUAAUGGUGUUCUGUCGUUUUUUAAUCAAUUUCAAUCUCUUACUCAUAUACCAUUAGGAAAAAAAAAAUCUCUUCCACAUAUAACAUAUUCCUGUAAUUAAAGAGUUAUUAAUUUAUAGGGAAAUUAGAAAUUUCCUUACUCAAAUCAAUAUAUACCACUUAUUUUGACUAUUUUUACAAUAUUUAAUAACUCUCCUGGAGUCCUGGUACCAUCACUUUGCAAUAUUAUCCUUAUGAAAAAAAAUAAGUGGUAUAUAUUAAUUUCAAUAGGAAAACUAGCAAUCUCCUUUAUUUCAAAUUUUAUGCAAAUCCCUUCUAUUUGAAGUUACCGCUGCUAAUUUUAUGUAUUUGGUAGGCCUGAAUCGGAACUUAUAAACGAAGUUGUUCAUCACAUUUUGAAGAGACUGCUGGAUCACGUUUUUCGGCGGAAUGAUAACAAAAACCAUCUGGUUGGAGUAGAAUCAAGAGUUGAGGAAAUUGAGUCUCUACUAGGUGCUCAGUCGAAAGAUGUUUACGCUUUAGGGAUUUGGGGCAUUGGUGGUAUAGGCAAAACAACAAUCGUUAGAGCUAUUUUUCACAAAAUCUCUAGCGGUUUUGAAGGUUCUUGCUUCCUUGAAAAUGUUAGAGAAGAGUCACAAAAACCGGGAGGAUUAGCUUGCUUGCGACAAAAACUUCUUUCAAAUUUAUUGAAAGAUAAAAAUGUGAGUCUUGUUAUUGGUCUUAAUUUUAGAAGGCUCAGCCGCAUGAAGGUUCUGAUUGUUUUUGAUGAUGUGACUUGCUUCAGCCAAUUAGAAUCUAUAAUUGGAAGUCUUGAUUGUUUGACGCCUGUGAGUCGAAUCAUAAUAACCACAAGAAAUAAACAAGUGCUUAGAAAUUGGGGGGUGAGGAAAAUAUAUGAGAUGGAGGCAUUAGAAUAUCAUCACGCUCUUGAGCUUUUCAGUCGACAUGCCUUCAAACAAAACCAUCCUGACGUUGGUUACGAGGAAUUUUCAAGCAAGGUAAUGAAAUAUGCUCAAGGUGUUCCUUUAGCUAUUAAAGUUUUGGGUUGCUUUCUAUAUGAAAGAGAAAAGGAAGUCUGGGAAAGUGCAAUAAAUAAAUUGCAAAGAAUCCUCCAUCCAAGUAUCCUAGAGGUAUUAAAAAUAAGUUAUGAUAGUUUGGAUGAUAAGGAGAAAAAUAUUUUCCUUGAUGUUGCUUGUUUCUUUCAAGGCGAGGAUGUAAAUCUAGUAAUGAAAUUCCAUAAUGCAAGCGGUUUCUACCCAGAAAUAGGAAUAAGUGUUCUUGUUGAUAAAUCUCUCAUUGCUAUUGGUUCGUACAACAAGAUAAGAAUGCAUGAUUUACUACAAGAGCUGGGUAGGGAAAUUGUUCGACAAGAAUCAAUUAAUCCUGGAAACCGCAGUAGGUUGUGGCAUCAUGAGGAUAUCUAUGAAGUUCUUACAUAUAACACGGUAAGCAGUUUGUUGUGUAUAAUUAUUUUGAAAUAUUCUAGCAUUUACAAACUUGAUAUGAAUAUAUUUAUAUCUGCUCGAACUGAUGAGUCUUAGAAUUAUUAGAAGAGCAACAAUGAUUGGAAAAAACCAUAGCGGUUAAAUGACGUAGCAAUAAAUUAUAAAUGCCAUGACAACUUGCAUAAUCGUUUGCAAGCAUAAUUGAUAUGCCAAUUUGUAUAGUACACAGACGGAAUUUUUCUUUGUGCAUUUGCAAUUAAAAGUUUAACUGCCGAGCAAUAACUACAAGCUACCUCUAAUUGUGAAUUAGUGAGAAAAUUGCCCCAAAAAUUAUCCCUAUGUAUUGUUGAAGGGCGAUUCAUUGGUGGAAUACAAAUAUCUUUCAUUUGAUUUUAACUUUAUUGCUUUUUCAUUUAUUUUUAGGGGACAGAAAAAAUUGAGGGCAUAUGUUUGGAUAUGUCAAAAGUAAAAGAGCUCUGUCUUAAUCCCAAUACUUUCACACAGAUGCCUAAAUUGAGAUUUUUAAAGUUCUAUAGUUCAUCAGUCAAUGGAGAGAACAAAUGUAAGAUAUCUUAUUUGCAAGAUUCCGGAUUUGCUGAAGUGAAAUAUCUUCACUGGUAUGGAUAUCCGUUGAAGUCAUUGCCGUCAAACCUCGGUGCAGAGAAACUUGUGUUACUUGAAGUGCCUGAUAGUGACAUUGAACGACUUUGGGAUUGUGUGAAGGUAUGCAUAUCUUAUUAUAUAUGUGCAAUCUUUCAAUAACAACCUUAAAUUAUUAUACGUGGUAACGAUUUUGUCUUGGCCUCUUUUUUGACCGAGCAGCAUUAUAGUAAGUUAAACCAGAUAAUCCAUGCUGCCUGCCAUAAGCUAAUUGCCAAAAUUCCAAAUCCCACGUUGAUGCCACGUCUGAACAAGCUAGUUACGUUGAAUCUAAGAGGUAGCAAAAGCCUGAAAAGUCUUCCAUCUGGAAUAUUUAACUUAGAAUUUCUUACCAAACUUGAUCUUGCGGGCUGCCCAAAACUGAAAAGGCUUCCAGAGAUCUCAUCAGGUAAUAUAAGCUGGUUAUUUUUAAGGGGGACCGCAAUUGACGAACUGCCCUCAUCAAUUGAGCGUCUUCUUAGGCUCGGAUACUUAGACCUUUCAGAUUGUAAAAGGCUUAAGAGUCUCCCAAGCAGCCUCUAUAGAUUGAAAUCUCUUGGAAUUCUUGAUCUCCAAGGUUGCUCAAAUCUUCAGAGAUUGCCCGAAUGUCUUGGCCAAUUAUCCUCGCCAAUAACAUUUAAUCUAACGAAAACCAAUAUUGAGAGAAUACCAGAAAGCAUUAUCCAACUUUUCGUGUCGGGAUACCUCCUCUUAAGUUAUGGUGAGAGGUUCCAAUUCGUACAAAAGUCUCCAUUCCUUGAACGAGGUUGCUUGGCACUGCAACCAUUUUUAGGUUUGUUCUCUAAGUUAUGAAUCUUACAGGCAAUUUUUUUUUACCGGAGCAAUAAUUUUAAAUUGGAAGGUAAUUCUACUGCAGGAAUUGUUGAAGAUACCCUGAGAAUUCAGCUGAAUGUGUGUCUUUAACUCUCUCUACUUACAAUUUCUACAAUCUUUGUUUUUUUUUGGGUUUAAAAUUAUGUUUUUUUGGUACAGAGAGGUUUUUCCUUGGGCAAAGGUCAUAUAGUACUACCUGGGAAUGAAAUUCCAAAGUGGUUUGAGUUUCAAAGUGUGGGAUCUUUUAUAACCUUGGAGAUGCCCCUAGAUUUCUUCAAUAAUAGCAGAGUGCAGGGCAUUGCAUUUAGUGCUAUUUUAGCAUUUUCAGACCGUCAUGUAGCUUGUGGCAGAUGGUUUUCAUUUUCUUUUGAGCUCAAAGUGAAAACCACCAAAGAUUGUGGUACGCAUGGCACACUAUUAUCUCAGAGCAGAGUUAAUUAUGUAGAAUCAUAUCACUUACAUUUGGGGCACUAUUUGUUCUGUGAAGAGGAUUUUAAUGGUUUUUGGAAAUGCAAUUGCAUUCUUGAGGCAGUCCACUUUAAUGUUUUUCCACCUUUGGAGUGCCAGUGCUGCGGGGUGAAAAAAUGUGGGAUCCAUUUACUUCACACCCCAGAUCCUACGUCAAUGGAAGACCCAAGCACAUGUUUCAACUGUAACGAAGAAGACUGAGAUAGGUGUCAUUUUCACUCAACUCACCUGAGUUGUGAAUCCAUUUGCUUAAACAUGUAUGCACUUUUUCAAGUAUCUCUACCAAUUCCAUAUUUGGAAUGGUGCAUUUGAUUCCAUAGUUGAUGUGGUAUCGUCUAUGGUUAGAAUUUAUAUUUACAAAAAGGACUUGUAAGGAAAGGAUUGAAGAUGCCCGUGUACUUAUAUUUCGAUUUAGAUUAUUAUAUCUUUUUCAUGUAUAAAAUUGGAUCCUAUCAUUCACAUAUCAUUGACAUGAGCAAUAUGGAUUACUAAAUCAUUAUUCUUUAUUAUUGUGCUGAAUUUGAUUUUUUAUUGAAUAAUUUGAUAUAUUUCUUGAAUCAAUUUAGAGCUUCUACAACAUGUCAGAGAUCAGUUUCUCCAACAUUCCUUUCGGCGCCAAAAGAUAACCAAUCGGUUGAAUAAGAAUUGAUAUAUACAACAUAAAUACAGGAGUUGUUUUGUCUUUUUACAAUAGGAAUAAUAUAUAAUGCUCGUUAAAACUUGCUGAUGAGAAAGUAAAUUCCUCAGAAAUUAAAUGUUUCAGCCAACCAAGGAAGCAGCUUUUCGUGGACCAAUUCAGGCCUGUCGUCAUGGGGGCAAUGUCCUACUCCUUUCAAUACAGUUAACUUCACGUUUGAGAGUUUAGAAAGCAGAGAUGAGAAGUAUUUACCAACAGGUCCAUCGAGGGGUGUGAAUGGAUCCUCAUCACCCCAUAAAACUAGUAGAGGUAUAGAGAUCGAUGGCAUCAAUUCAACUGGGUUCGGCCCUGGUGGGCCGGUUACAAUCGAAACAAAUGCAUCAAGUGCCCCUUCCUCAUUGGCAGGCUCUCGUAUGAUCUGCAGUUUUGAG